rnacentral:lncRNA from 1 species
GUGGUUCUUCAGCUAUACAUUUGUACCUUUCAGAUAAAAUAAAAUAAAACAUGAUUCAAGAGGAAAGUUUUCGUCUAAACCCAUAAAAAGGAAGUGACUCUGAUGGAGUAGUUAAAUACCACUCUAGCCUUUUCAAUUUGCUUUCUCCAUUUGUAUUUGGUCCCUGACAUAAGCAUGUGUUAUUGUUAGAAAUUCAUCCACCUGAAGAGGAAGGCAUAACAAAGAAUCAGGGACCAUAACAAAUUUCAACCGAACAAAUUAACGCAUGUUCAAAUUACGUCAUAUAAGCCCAUUUGGCCUCAAAAGAGCCAUAUAUAUAUAUAUAAUCAAGAAGGCGAUCGAGAAGACAUGAGUUCCCAAACUGUAGUAUAAGUCUUUAUCGCAGAUGUGAGCUUCCCCUCAUCUUACUUCCCGCCACAAAGAGGGCAUGGAAUUUCGGAGUGAAUGAGUGCAACAAAACAAGGAAAGAGCAAGAAUUUAUCACGAUUGGGUUGGUGUGAAGUCUACCGCCUGUCUAGCAUAUGCUUUGCAUGAACAUCUCAAUGUCCAAGAUAAAAAGAACGAGGGGAAGAAUCGACGAGGGUCAGACUAAACGAAAAAAAAAAGUCAGGCUUGAAGCACUGCUGGAACCCGUUUAAGGGUCGCUAACAAAAGGUGAAAGGAGGCCGGCCGGAAGCGACUCGCUCCUAUUCUCGUUGGGAUUGGAUAUAAAUGGGAACCUUCGCUCUCUUUAGCAUUUUGGUUUAACACCACGCAGGCAGCUGGUACCUUCCCAGCUUCUUCAUCAGGUAACCUGCCAAUUCAACACAUUGUCAGCGGCAUUUUGCCUGUAAAAAUUCAUUAAUGAAUCAGUAUCUCCUUUACUUGAACACGGGUUUCGACUUCCCCUCCGGAGGACCGGUGUAGCUCGCUUCGCUUACCGCCUUCGUCUUUCGCCAGGGCUUAUACUUCAUCAAUGUCAAAGAUAUGGUGAUCGUGCCGUAAGACCUUGUUCCUUUCUACUUGACGUUCUUUAUUUUCCUCGGUUUUUACCCCACGGAGCGGUAGCUUGCUUACUUAGCGCUUGCGCUAAGGAUCUAAUCAGAGUCAAACUUGGAUUUGAAAAAAAAACCUUUCCCUUAUUAGCCGGAGUACAAGUGUACGUAAUUCUCCUUAGCUUUUUUCGUUGAGGUAAGGUAUAAGGUAAGCCUAUUAUAGUACUGCCCCAGUAAGAAGUUCGUGAGUGAGACAAAACGAUUCCCUCAAUACAGCUUCACUCCGUCAAGUAUAUAUAUAUAUGAUGAAAAAGUUAGUUGUAUUAUAUAUAGCCAUUGGAUGGGUUUGGAUGGCUUAAAUUUAGGGUGAAGAAGCACAAUCCAUAUGUUUGCCUUUGUAGCACAUAUGGAUAAGUUGAUUUUGGGAGACUUGAAUUGUUAAUUUUUUUUUUGCUUUUUUGGCCUAAUUUUGAAUUGCAAUUGUAGUCAAUUUCUUUGAAAAAUAGCCACUAUUUAUUAUUGUUAUAACCCUCAAUUAAUUGCUUAUUUUCCAACUCUACAUAAAUUAUUGUUAUAGCCCUCAAUUAAUUAAACCUAAGUCAUUGAUAUCAAUAUUAGACAUGUGAGUUGUGACAAUUGACACUCAUUCAAGAAAUAAUUUGGGGAAAUAAAAAUGAUAGUUAAAUCUUUUUUUUUUUACAAAUAUGGUUCUCCUAACACUAUAAGAAUUGAUUCCUAAAUAUUGAUAUGGUAAAAUAAAGGUAAAUGUGGAUAAAAUAUAAAUAGUACAACUCACAUAACAUAUUAUACAAUUAAGUACCGCAACGUUAGUCCUUUUUGUUGUUGGCUUAUAUAUAAGGUAAUAUUACAUUUCAAUCUCGUAUAAGUUGGUGUGUUGAACUGGAGAUUAUACAAUUUUAUUUUUGAUAUUCCAUCUGUUUUAAUUUGUCUAUCAUGUUUUAACUUGGCAUAAAAUAAAAUAAAAUAAAGAAGUUUUUUUAAAUCUCAUGGUAUUAAAUUAAAGAUAUGUUAAAUGAAUUAAAAUAACGUUUAAUCUUGUUGUCUUAAAUAUGUCAUUUAAAAAAUUGUCAAAAAUAAUAAAAAUAAUAAUUGAAAUAGACUAAAAAAAGAAGUAGAACAAAUAAAUUAAUUACUAUUUGGUAUUUCGUACUCCAAAUAAAUUAAUUACUAUUUUGCAACAUUUAUACUAAUUUAAUUACUUGACUUUUCCCCCCUCUUUUUUAUACAAUUAUUUGGUAUUUCGUACUUAAUAUUCGUAAAUAAACGUUUUUUUUAUUAGGGAUUUCUCUACCAAACAUCCUUUUCGACAUAUCAAACUUAAUCAAUCAAAACGUAGGACUUUUUUUUUAAUCUCAAUUCUCAAAUGUCUGCUUAAUUAUAAUGUAGCAUUAUAUUGUAUGAUCCGAAAGUUUAAUUAAUUUAUAAUUACUGGAUUAGUAUACUUGAAAGUUGUACUGCAAAUCUAAUUAAUGUAUCUAAAAGCCCAUGUUCCAAGGGAGGGAAAUCAUGAUUGUGGAUUAGAAAAACAAAUUAUAAUAAAGUAAGGUCAUUAGCUUUUCUUUUCUUCCAACUCUGCAUUUCCCAAUAAUUAACAUGAUCUGCACAACUUUUUUUCAACAAUUUCCUUCUUUACAGGUAUUAACACAAGUAAAAAAAAACCAUUACUCCAAAUAAACUAGCUAAACCCCAAUAGUGACAACCCAUUAAUAAUUUAAGGGCGAUCAAUUAAUUAUUCUUUCAUUAGAAACAACAAUAACGUAUCUAGUGAAAUUCCACAAGUGAGUUCUAAGGAGGGUAAAAUGUACACAAACCGUAUCACUAUCUUGUGGAGGUAGAAAGACUACUUUUGAAAGACUCUCGUUAGCAAAUCCAGAUACAAAAAAAAGACAAUGAAAAAAUUAUAGCAAAUAAUACCUAAGUAGUGCAAAGUUUGCCAUAAAAAAGCAAAACAACAAUAAAACAGUAGUGAUCAAUUAAUUUAAAAGCAAAACAACAAUAAAAACAGUGAUCAAUUAAUUUUCUAAUAUUCUUUCAUUAGAAACUUACUUUAUACAUAAUUAUAUAUAAGUUUUUUUUUUCAAUGUGCAAUAUUAUGGCUAUUGAAACCAAUUAAUACAAUGAAAGUCUCAAAUGUAGUGGCUAAGGGAGAACAAGAAUUACUUGGACUUCCCAAAAAGGCGUAGAUGGCGUGUAUCGGAUACUCUAAAAGUAAUUAAUGUAAUUUUGUAGGAUUUAAUACACUUGUUUCAAUAUUUUUAGAAAGUUCAAGCAACAUAAAUUUUAGAUCAUGAUCCUGACUUUUGACAGUUAUACUAGCAUUUUUAGAAAGCUCAAGCAACAUAAAUUAUAGAUAAUGAUCUUUAAUUCUCAACCUCGACAUUUUUUUUUUUUUUGGUGUGUGUAGAGUUGGCUGGACCCAUGAGUACCUAGAUUUUUUUUUAUUUUUUUUUUUGUGUGUGGCUUCAUCAUGAAUUUGAUGAUGAAUUGAAAUAGGUUUAAAUAAUUUGCAUUGUUUUGGGUAUAAUCUUUAAUGCCCCCUUAGAAAUUGAUCAACAUCAAUUGGUACAUGAACAUUUAAUGAACAAACCAAAUUCAUCAUUCUUCUUUUAUGUUUACAUACACAUCAUUGUCACUCUUCAAUAAGAAAAUCAUGAAUGGCUCUGGUGGAAUUUGCUGUUUUUAAUUCUGCAAAUUAAAACUAUGGAGAAUUAUUUUUUAUUAGGGUCCCAAUGUAGUUACUCUUUGGACCUUUUGCCUACAAUAAUGAAUAAGCAAUCUAAUAGUAGUAUAGAAGAAAAUUAAUUAAAAAAGCACUGAUUUCUUUGGUUUACCUUAAUUUCUGUAAGCUUUAUGUGGCGCAUAUAUAUUUUUAUUAGUAAGAAGUGACAUACAACUUAUAUUAUUAGAGUGGGUGACAUAAUAAAAGUCAGUAUGCUAAAGUCAAACACUCUAACUACUUGAUUAAUCGAAAUCAAGGAAAAUGUUUUUAUGAGUUUUUUUAGUUAUGCACACAAUAUUUGAAAGUUAUUAGUUCGAUUAAUUUAAAUUGCACUAGUAAAAUGUAAUAAAGAGAGAAAUGUUCUCUACCAUAAGUUUUUAUUUUCAUUCCUAGGCGAGAUCUUUGUUUUCCGAAGUGUUAAAAACUUGUGUUGCUUGGACUCUCAAAAGAGAUGCUGCCAAAUUUUUAUCAAAUAGUGAUAUUUUUCAUAAAUCUGAACAAUAUAGGUUGAAAUAUAUUUUAAAGAUUCACAAAGUCAAAGAAAAGAUAUUAAAAAAGAUAAAAAAGAAAAACACAAUUGUGAUCCUACGCGCUUUAUACUUUUCAGAUCUCACUUAUAAGAUAAUUUCAGUGAGUAUGUUAUUAUUGUCGUGAGCAUACAUGUAUGUACAGCCAAGACACCCUGGCAAUAUGCAAUAUAUUGUGGGCCUGCAAGCUAAGAUAAAGAUGUAGUUUUUAUGUAUUUAAUUGAGAUCUCUAUUAAUUUGCCAUCUAAAUUUCUUUAAUAUUAAUGGUGACAAGCUUCCCAAAAAUCUAGCUUUUUUGCUUCCUCUUUUUAUUUUAGAGUCCAUAAACUGAAGAAGAAAAUAAGGGGAGCAAAAGGGUACCCAAAGUGGGGCUUUUUUGGGGUCACCUUUUUUAUUUUUCACUGAAAACCAGGGAACAGAAUUCUUGAUUUAUAUUCUUUUGCUCAGUUAUGCUGGCAGAGCUUUUUUUAACUGAUUUUGCAGACUCAACAAAUGUUAAAGUUCAUGCCUUUGGCAUUUUCUGUCAGAUUAUAUUUGGAUAAACAGAGAUGGUACUGCCAAUUCUGCUCUGAUUCAAUUACUGGAGUUGUUUUUUGUCCUCUAAGCCAUUAAUGUUAGCUCAGAAUUGUGGGGGUUCUUUUUUUUGGUUUUUUCCAGCUGAAGAAGAAGUCUUCUUGAUUUGUAAGUUUACUGUUUUCUUGAAUCUUGAUGUUAUACAGUAGUAAAGUUUCUGCAUUUGGCAAGUGUUUAGUGGUAGCUUUUUAAGAAUGUGAUUUCAGAUUCUUGAUACAUGAUAAUAAGAUUGUUUUUUUUUUUUUCCUUUUGUUUAUUUUCCAGUAUUUAGCUUGGACCACAAGAAGUUGCUCUUGUCUCUUUCACUUUAUCAUGUUUUAUGUUCUUCCAAACUCCACCUCUUGAACUAAAAUGAAAUCUGGGACCUUUUUUUGUUUGUGUUUGUAACUUAAAGGGGUCCUUUUCCUUCUUUUGUUAUCUUGAUUUUUUCUUCUAAAUAUCCCUUUUCCCCUAAAUUUUUAGUGAGGAGGUGAUACUUUUGAAAUGAUAAUUAAGGAGUGGCUUAUGUUUAGGCAAAUGCCCUGAUGAGUUUCUGAAUUCUGACACUUUUUUUUUCUUCUCAAGGGAGAGAAGGUUAAUUGAGUAAUGGAUGAAAAGGGUGUCUUAAGUUCCUGUUUGAUUACAUCAGAAGGGAGAAGGGAGAGCUUAUGUCCAAUUUACUUUGGUGUUUCUUGUGCAUUUGUUGCUCUUGGGCUCUUACCGGAGCCCGAAAAAUGUGAUGAGAAUUUGUUAGAAGUGAGAAAUAAGAUGCUUCAAGGAAGUGCUCAUCUUUUGGGGUUGCUUGUGUGGAGAGUUCAGAGGGAUGAAGCAAGAAAUGAAAAGUCUGGAUUGUUACUUAAGUUAGCGAAUGCAGAGAAAAAAAUCGACGAACUGAAGGGGUUAAGAAGGGAGGAUGCUAAAGCAAAUGAGAAAGUUGUGUGCAUAUAUGCAGCACAAGAGCAGUGUUGGUUUAAUGAGAGGAAGAAACUUAGGCAGCAAAUUGGUGCUUUUAUGAAUGAGUUGAGAGUUGUUGAGAAGCACAAGGACACCCUUAUUGCUGAAUUGGAUAGCAAAUUGGAGGAGAGUAAAGUGGUUGUGCAGUCGAAAGAUAAGAUCAUUGAGGACGAAGGGAAAGCGCGUCAUGAUCUUGAAGAAAAGCUGAAAAAGGCUGAUUCUAUAGCAGAAGAAUUGAGGAACACUGCUAAAUUUGAUGCUCAAAGGCACUCUAAUGAGAUCUCCAAACACAAGACUGCAUUCAUUGAAUUGGUGUCUAAUCAGCGGCAGCUUGAAGCGGAGAUGGGGCGUGCGCUCAGACAAGCUGAAGCAGCAAAGCAAGAGGUUAAUUCGGUACUUGAGCAAAAGGAGCAGGCUAUCUUGAUGACCCAAAAACUAUCGAUGGAGCUAGUCAAAAUGCGCAAGGAUUUGGAACAGAAAGAACAGAUUUUGUCAGCUAUGCUGAGGAAAUCCAAAUUGGAUACAACAGAGAAACAAAUGCUUUUAAAGGAGAUCAAAUUAUCAAAAGCCAAGAGAAAGCAAGCUGAGCUAGAGACUGAGAGAUGGAAGACAGCUUCAGAGUCUAGGUAUGAGAGACAUUCAUUGAGAAAUAUGCUGUACAAACGUAUGAAUCCGAAGUUGGAGGUUGUUGCCAGUGGGAAAGGGAUGCUUUCAAGUGCAAUGAUGCUACCAACUGGAAAAAGUAGAUCACAGAAGGCUGAUUAUCUUCUCGACGAGCAACCUGGGGGUACAAAAGAGCCAGAACUAUUUCCUCAUGUUCCUGAUAAAUUCUUGGCUGAGGAUGCUGAAGAAGAAAGUAAGACCAUAUUUGCGAUUCACAUGUUUUGUUAAUAGCAUAUUCAUCAAUCUUAAUUAGUGAUAAUAUAUUCGCGAUACACAUGUUUAUUCAUAGCAUAUUCAUCAAUCUUGAUUAGUGAUAAUAUGUUUCCUACUUUCCAUUGUACAGAAUUUCAAUAUAUGGAGUUGUCAUUCUGUUUAUUUAUUAUGUUAUUUCUUGUGUUCACUUCAAUCUUCUGUGCAGUACUCACAGAUGAUGUUGAGCACUUGGAGAAUUGGGUUCGAUCAGAGGCUGAAAAGUACAGUGUUGCAGUUGAGCACAGGCAUCAUCUGGAGCUGGAUGCUUUUGCAGAACAACUGAGACUCAAAGAUGAGAGGUUAGAAGCUUUUCGAUGGCGCCUACUCAGUAUGGAACUUGAGUCAAAGAGGUUGCAGUCACAUAUUGAAGUGCUGGACCAUGAUCUAGCUCAGCUCCGGCAAGAUAAUAUGAAGUUGGAUGCAUUGCUAUUGAAUCGAGAAGUAGAAGUACAAUCUCUCAAACAGCAACUCGCGGAAUAUUUUCACCUUCCUGAUUCCCAGAAAUCCAAUGCAAAUGCUUGUCCAAAAGAGCAGGACAAAACCAAUCAUACAGUUUGGUCCAACGUGACACUUAUAAAGACAAAGCCAGGUGAGAAAGAGCAAGAAACAAAGAACCAUCCUGAGGAAACCUCUCAAAAGGUAAAAAAUGGAAGAAAAGUUGAGACCAGAACAAAUAACCCACAAAAAGACAUAAUUUUGACUCUACAGUCUCCUACAAAGGAGAUUGGUGAGGCGAAAGAUGGAGUGUCACAUCCGAAUGCUUCUAAGGCAGAACACUUCAGCACAGAGGAUGCUCGGAAUGCUGAAACAUCAACUUCAGAAUGUGAUAGCGAAAUUAAGAAAAACAAGUCACUGUGGAGGAUGGAUUUACAUGCUCUUGGAGUUUCAUACAAAAUCAAGAGGCUGACUCAACAAUUUGUCAUGCUUGAGAGGUUGAGAGGCAAACAAGAACCUGCUGGAAAUAGUGAAAACAAUGAUAAUGGACGAUCUGGCACUAGAGGAUUCCGUGCGUUGAUGUCUUUACUGAAUAAACAAGUUGCUCGUUACGAGUCCCUUCAGGGGAAAAUCGAUGAUCUAUGCAAGCGGAUGGUAUGUUUCUUACUAAGUAUUAUUCUUAACUUGAAAAAUGAUCUAUUUUGUUGCUCGACUCAUCAAUGCUAAUGACCUCUUGUUGUGUAAUAUGCAGCAUGAGAAUGACCUGAAUGUAAAUUGUGAAGGUUCAGUUAUACGAAAAACGAAGGAAGAAACUAAGAUGCUUGAGCACUUUCUUGAAGAAACAUUUCAAUUACAAAGAUACAUAGUUGCAACAGGGCAAAAAUUGAUGGAAGUCCAAACAAAAAUUGCUUCUGGAUUUGUCGUAGCUGCAGAAGAACUUGAUACACCAGCAAGCUUUGAUGUCAAACGGUUUGCUGAUGGCAUUAGAACUCUCUUUAGAGAAGUUCAGAGAGGCCUUGAAGUUCGUGUAUCUCGAAUUAUAGGUGAUCUUGAAGGAACUUUGGCCUGUGAUGGCAUCACAUAUUUCAAGAGAUAGUGCUCACAGACGCAGAAUCUUGUUAGCCUUAAGCCUUAAGGUACUUUCCAGGUCUUCUUAUCUUAACUUGAGACAGAAAAUUUACAUGGUGCAGCAGCUUAUUCAAAGAAUGUCUUCAGUUUUAUGGAACCAAAUCAUUAAUCCAGUCCCGGAUAUACAUGUAAAUAUCCUACAAGUAUAAAUUCCAAUAAUUCGCGUACAUAGAGAGUUGCUGCAUCAUCUAUAACAGUAUCAGUGUUUCACUUAUAUUCAGCCAUUGUUAAUUUUUGCUUUACAUAGUUUUCUAAAUAAACGAAUUCCGCCUAGAGGGGGUACAACUUGUGCAUGAAUCUCUUGGAUUUACUUCUGAACAUGAUCAUAAUAUAUAACAUGAGGAAUUACUCAUUAAUUUGUCUUCAAAUGACAAAUUUAAACGUUCAUUUCGAUGAGGACAGGCAGGGGUAAAGCGAUGGGUUGAUUACUCAUAGUUGAUCAGUCAACUAAUAGUUAUUAUUAUUUCAGAAAGUCAUUUUUCUUCUCGAUUGUAUUGCCUUCAACAAUGAAAGUGACUUUCUGAGAUAACUUAAAAUUAACUGAGAAAUCAACUCACAAAGCUAACCUUAUUAUAGAAAGUUUACGAUAUUGCAACAAGAAAACUAACAUUGCUAUACUUUUUUGGUUCAUGUAAUGUGGAUAUGUAAAUCUUUCAAAUAAUCUUGUCAAUAUUCAUUUCUCCUUUGCCUUUUUUACAUAUGAAAUCAUGGUCCUUUUAAGAAAAACAUUAUUGACUUGCUAUAAUCUUGUUGAUAUGUUCUGCAACAUUUUUCAAAUAUUACAUGAAUGAUAACACUUCAACUCUUAUAUCUGUAAAAUUGUUACUUCCUCCGGCCUGUCAAUAUUUACUUGUUCACGUUGACUUGACACACUCCUACGUCACACAGAAUUAUUAUAAAUCAUCUAAAUAUUGAGAAAAUGAAUAACACUUAUCCAUAAGGAUAAUAUAAGUUAAAAUGACUUUUUAAACUGAACAAGUAAAAUUGAACCUAAUAAACUGAUAGAGUAAUUAAUAGCCGUCAAAUUAGUUUGAUUUGGUUGUCUUUCCUAUCCUAGAGAAAGCAACUACUAAAUUGUAGGUGGAAGUCUUUAACAUGUUUCCUUAUUUAGCCGAACAAUUAGAUAUACUCAUUCACUUAAAAAAUAAGUGUCAUCUUAACAAAUAUUACGUAUAUUAAAAAAUUAAUAAAUAUAAUAUAUAGUUUACUAAACGAUUUAUUAUGUAAUAAAUGUCUCUUGAAAAUUGCACACGGAGUAUACGGAUAUACUGGGAAAAAACAUACUAAUUUUUGUCUUGAAUUUUUAAGAUGACACUUAUUUUGAAAUGAAGAAAGUAUACGACUCUCAUAAAUCAGCGAUUUUGUGAAUGACCCAAAAAUGAGCAAAGGAAAACAAUAGUAAAAGGUUUGGUCAUGAAAAAUACUUAUUCGCACCUGAUAUAUAAUAAAUCAAAUAAUUUUUACCUUAAAAGUCAUAAAAUAAAGUAAAAUUUAUACUCUCACUUAACCAAAUAAUUUGGAGACUUAAUGGCCUUCAUAUAGUCUGCAUCUAGGUAGGGUUGUUGUGACCAAUAUUUUCUUCUUGGGGUCGACUAUAAUAAAUGAACAUGGACCUAAGAGUAACAUGCAUUUAAUUGCUUCAUGACCAACAUCCUGUAACAAUUUUUAUUACUCGAAAUAUAAAAGAGUACAAAAUAUCGAGAGAAUUAAUUCUCAUAUAGUUGGAGCCUCUGUAUGUAAUUCGAUUUUCUGGAAAAACUAAACCAAAUUAAGUUUUUCAAACUUAAUUAAGUUGGAUUAGAAUUUAAUUAACGGCACAGAUAUUUUGUUGUGGCAGCAGAAAUUAAACUGAGAUGUGACCAAACCAUAUUAAUUACUCCUUAAUGAAUUGAUUAGUCAAAUUAAGAUAUUUCUGGUCAUCCCAUGUGGGAAUGAAUGUCCUCUAUGGCUUAAGCCAUCUUCUUUUGUCCCUUCUUUUUGCAACACUUUUUUCGGUAUUCUUUAUGUGUUUUUUUGAUGGUUGCAUUGAGGUUCGAUUAAAUCUAAAUUUAUAUAUUAUAGAGUCAAUUUCUAAGUUUUAGGAAGGAUUUAAUUUUUCAUACUUAUUCUAUCUUUUAUCUUGCAUAAAAUUAUAUUUAGAUUUCCUCAUAAUUUAUACAUGUAUUCCCUCCGUUCAACUAUAGUUGUCCAUUAUACUAUUUUGGGAUGUACAAUAAUAGUACUUGUCCACUUUAUGAAAUCAAUUGAUAAUUUUAUUUUAGUUCCUAAUUUACCUUUUUUCAUUAAUUGUAGUCAUUUCUCUGUUACAUUUUUCAAGACAUUGUAUAUUCAAAAGGAUAUAUGCAAAGUCAAUAGUAAAUAAGUAUUGUUGGACAAAGAGAGUAUUGGUUAUGCGAUUUCUAAAUUGCAAUUCAAAUACCAUAUUAAUUUUACAUGAAUAAUUUACCCCCUAACAAGUUAUCAAACAUGAAGUAUUAUUUAUGCAGAAUUUAAUAUACUUGCAUAACUCAUCUCCAAAUCAAUUACCAAAUGACCUCAUAAUUUUUGUCUAAAUUAUAUAUUUAUAUUACAAUAAAAUCAUAUGUUUAUUUCAUCAAACACGUAAGAAUUUUUUUUAUAUAUAUCAAAACAUUUCUUAGAAAAUCAUCUUUCGUGUCAUAUGAUCAUCUUAACAUUGCCGGCAAAAAAUUGAAUGCCAUUUGAAUGUUUCUUUUUCACCGUUAUACCAAACCUUACCUCCAUGACCUUUUCAUAACCCUCUUAAAUAAUCUAUAUUAUAUAUUAUAUAUAAUAAUAUUAUAUUUAUAAUUUUCUUUUGUUUAAUAAAUAACUAUAUAAUAUAAACUGAACGGUUGAUCUUCAUUACCGACUGAUGAGUAAGUCAUUAUGUGACCGUUGAAAGUCGUUAUCAAUUCUUUGUUUUGCUUAUGACUAAUUCAACAUCUUAAAAAUUGGCCCCACUCAUCUUUAAAUACUUCUUUUCAGUGUUAUUUGUCGUAUCUUUCUUUUACAUAUUGCUUAAUAAAAUACUCCUUAAUUAGAAUAGAUUGUGAAAAAAAUAAUUAAUUUUAUCUUAAAUUUUUAACAUAAUUUGAGAUUGUUUUCAGAAAUUAAAGAUGUAAUACAUAAAUAUACCUUUAAAUUUGAUCUUAUCUGAUAUAUAUGUCCUUCAACUUUGGGUAUGCACAAAUAAACACACGUGUCCUAUAAUUAUAUGUGGACACUCAAAGGACAUGCAUGCUUGUGUUAUGCAUUUGGGAAUCAUGACAGAUAAUUUGAGACUGAACGAGUAAUUAAUAAUAUUAAAUGGCCCCAUACCCUUAUAGUUAGGAUUAAGCUAAUCUUCAACGAAAUAUCAAUAUAUAUAUCCGUUACUCGUGAAUAAGAAGCGCCAGAUAAGAGGAGCGUUUUUACAACCCCUCAUUUUUCAUGCUUACACAUUUAAUUUUAUACAAAAUAUAUAACAUGAAGUGAGUGAAGAGUUUGGAAUUGUGACAUCAAAAAAAAAAUUGUAAAAUUUUCUACAAUAUGGCCUCUCAUAUUCAUCAUGAUGAUCAUACAAGUACUACUAAUUCUUCUUCAUAUUCUACUCCAAAACUUUCUUUAUCUAAACUUCCAAACAAACCAAUUAGAAACAACAUCAUGAAUAAUAACAACAAUCAUGUACUAGCUAGUAGUACUACAUAUGCAACUCCACCACUUCAUCCAACACUUACAAUUCCAUUUCAAUGGGAAGAAGCACCAGGAAAACCAAAAGUUACAAAGUCCAAAACAGCAAGGUGUCUAGACUUGCCACCAAGGUUAACAUUGUUGUUGAAUGAAGAAGGUAAAAUUACUAAUACGCCCUCCCCAACGACCGUGCUGGACGGUCCUUGUAACGUGGGGAGGUGUUUUUCGUCGAUUGACGAAGCAUCUCUUGAGAAGAAAGAAGAGAUUAGGAGUGGUAAUAAUAAGGAAAAUAUUAUGAUGGGAUCAUGGAGAUGGGAAAACUUGAAGGAGAAUAAUGAUAAUAAUAGAGGAGUUGUUGACAAGGGUAGUUUCGACUUUUCAGGUCCUCUUAAUUGUUCUACUUCAAGUGCUUAUGAUUUUGAUACACAUCAAAAGAAAUUCUUAAGGUUUACAAGGAAAGGAAGCUUCUUCAAUUUCUCUCGUAACAAUUCUAAUCUCUUGGUAAGUUUCCUUUAAUACCCUUUCUUAAUCUUGGCCUAAAUUAUGUAUGUAAGUUAAUUAAUUAUUAGCAUUAGAAAAGGAAAAUGUAUUCUUCUUUCAUCUUACUGCCCCAAAGAAAAAAGACAGAAUUCUUCUCAUCUGUCCUAGCCUUGGUGGACAGAGUAACCUGAUACAUGUUGUUGGUGGGAGGUGACACAUAUAUCGUGAAAUUAGUCAAGGUGCAAAAAAGAAGAAAAAAAGACAAGUAACUUCUCUCGCUAGACAAUAAAAAUUUGUAAAUCGCUAAUUUUUAAAACAUACUAUUAACUAUUUAGCGACAGAUUAAGACGAAAUUCUAGCCUAAGAUGUUAGCUAGGAAUUCAAUAUUAACAGUCACUUUUACUUAUAUUAUAGUAGUAAGUCAAAUCAGUACCAAAAAAAUAUAUUUUAUUCAUUUCAAUUUGUUUAUCGUAGCAUGACUGAAUUUUUGUUUUGCUUGAGUGGCUAAUCAAUUAUAAUCUGUUUAUAAUAAAUAUAUAUUAAUUAUUGUGUAUUGAUUUACAGGGAGGAAUUUACGAAAGCUUUAAGCAAGUGGUUCCAUGGAGAUGGAGACGACCAAAAAACAAAAGAGCUAUAUGAGCUAUAUAUUAUAUGAAUAUAAGGAAAAUUUUAUCCUAUAAUUAUUUCUCACUUUUAAUUAACAUGGAUUAAUUAUAAAUUGAGUCAAUUAUCUAUAAUGACUUUAUUAUUAUGUACUUGGUUGAUUAUAAUUAGUUCAUGGAAUUACUAAUCUGUAUUUAGGUGCAAUGUACUUGGAACUUGAUUAUGUAUAUAUAGGUUGUAUACGCCAUGUGAACUUAUCUACUAUUUCUACUGAGCACUUACGCAAUGAAAUUAACAUUUAUACAUGCACUGUAUAAACUUUGAGAAGUCUUUCAAAUGCAAGUAUACAUUUUUUAAUUAUAUUUGGACUUGUAUUUGUACAUAAAGUAUUAACUUAAUUCAUAUUCACAAGUUACCUAAGUAGAAAUAAUUUUUUUUAUAACUAUAUAAAUAUAAUAACUAUUUCUUCGUAUUAGUUGUUCACUUUCUCUUUUACGCUCUUGAGAAAUCAUAAAUAAGAAAACUUUUAUGAAUAUUUACAAAUUUAUUUACACCUUAAAAAAAGAAUUAAUUGCAAGGAUAAAGUGAAAAAACGUAAUUAAUUCUAUUUUGAUUUUGUAAAUUAACAAGCAAUUUUAAACAACUAUUUUUGCAGAGGGAAUAGUAUCUUUUGAAACAAAUAUUAAUGUGGAAUCAAAAACUCAUCUUUUCAAAAGAUACUUGAUACAAUUUUAAAAACUCAAGUUUCAAAAGAUAGAGAGGGAAUAACAUGUUAAAAACUCAAGUUUCAAAAGAUCUAUUUUUUUUUUAUACAUUUUGCAGAAUCAAACAACAGUACUAUACCAAAUGUAUUUUCAAAAAAUGAAAUUUGGGGGAGGAUAAAAUAUUGUACACCUACUUCAGAGGUGGAAAUAUUGUUUAUGAUACGUACUCUCUUGGCAAGAACAAAUAAUCCCACCCAAAAAAGAAGUAACUAAAAUACAAUUGAAAAAAAAUACAUGACAAUCACAACAAUAGUAACAAAAUCAAACUAUGUUGUAUAAAUUAAAACAAAAAAGUAGUUAUGGAGACUUGAAGGGAAAUUCUUAGCAAGACUUUUUGUAUUAAGAUCACAACCAAAAGGGGAAAAGAUUGUUAAGAUAAAUAAUCAAUGCCACAUGGCUAGAUUUAGACAUUGAUCAUAUACCUACAUUACUACUAAUUGUGCUUAUGAAAUUCUAGCCUAUGGUAAACUAAAGAAAUCUAGCUAAUAAGCCCUAUGGGAAAUUAAGGAAAUGAAAUUAAUAAAAAUCAGCAGCCAUGGCCAUGGAAGCCCUUCUUUUCUUGUAAUUAGCCUUGAAACAUGCUUGUCUUAGCUUCUUUGUUCUAUCAGUUAGUUCCAUUUCAGGCACUCUCUCAACCAUCCUUUGAUGCUCUUCCAGCAUUUCCACUUCACUUGUAAGUCCCAUUUCCUGCAUCAAAUAGCGUUACACUUUCAGAUGUUAUAUAUACCAACUUUCUCUAUUCACUAUAACGGAAGACUAAAUAGGGACACGUAAAUGUCAGAUCUGUGGAUAAGAUUAUGACACGUGUAUGUCUGUUAGUAUAAAUGAUAUAUAUGCUCUAGUUUUUAGACAGCAGGGCACCAAUGUCCUAAAAGUAUGACGAAGGAUAUCUGCAUAUCAUUUACAAUAGUUCGAGAUAUAUUUGUCCUUUUUCCCAAUAAUUUAUAUCAAAUCCGCGAAUCAAAAAUGUAAUUAUUGGAAAAAGUAUUGGAUACUCAAAUAUAUGAUAGAUAUACCAGUAUAAUAACUUAUAUGUUGUUCUAUAUAUAUACGAAUCUAGGGUACUACUAAUACAAUUAUUAAGAAUAACAUAUUAUAAGGAGUAUAUAUGGUCCACAACCAAUAAAGUAAACAUGAUAUGAAUAGGGCUCUAAUUAACUCUUAAUUAGUUCUAAUUAAUCAUAUUUAUACUUAUUAGUUAAAGAAAAAACGUACAUAGACAAAAUUAAGCACGUACCUUAACGCUAUGAAUUAGAGUUUGCAAGCUCUUAAGUUUACGAUGAGGCCAUCUCAUUAUAUUAAGUUCCCUACAUCUUUUCUUCAACACUGUCAAUCCAACUCUCAACUCUUUUGCUGCUUUUGUUAUUGGUACAUGAAAAUACCUUUGUAUUUCUUCCAAUUCCAACGUAUCGCUCUUCUUAUUCCUCAUAUUAUUAUUCCGCUUCUGAAUAAUAUCCAUCGAAUCACCACGAAUUUCAUAAAAAGCAGGAGUAGUAACCUGAGAUUCGCCUAAAGGGUCAUGUGCCACGUUCAGAGGCAUGGCAUUGAAAUUUGCAUCAUGAAUAAUGAGGGUAUUAUUGUCUUCUUGAAAUGGUGAUGGUAGUAAUUUCAAGUCAAAUGAGCCCAAAUCUUGGCAUAUUUCUUCAAACUCUACAAGCCCAAAAUAUGGCAAGUGGUUGUUUUUGAGAUCAUUGGGUAAUUGAAAUGGAUCAAAUUCAAAGUUCAAUAAGCCUCCAUUGGACAAUCUUGAAUCUCGUUGCCAUGUUCUAUUGAUAAAAAAAAAAAAAAAGAACAAUACAUUAAUUUUUAAUCAAGAAUUAAUAAAUAUAUAAAAGAAAGACGCAACCAGAAAAAAAUCAUGUUGACAGCGCCACCCUCAAAUGGGAGUACUAAAAAAAAAGAGAAGAAAAGACAUAGCUCCAAAAAAUGUACAAUACAUAUUAAGAAAAAAUAGUUUACUACGUUUUGAAUAAAUUAAAAUUUUAAAUACAAGUACAACAUUUGAUCAACACUACUGAAUUUUGUUGAACAUGUAAACAGAACUAUAGCUUUGAAAUUCGCCUAUCGUGACCUUCUUAUCAAGAAUGUCCUCUAAUAUUUUAUUUCUAGAUUAGCCGAGCCUAGCAAAAAAUGUACUAUAUACCAAAUAGUUAUAACAAAAGAUCGCGAACAUAAUAGUUAACUUGCUACGUUUAUGCUACUUACCCGAAGGUGGAAGGAGGGUAUUCUUCUUCAGAAUACAACCAAUCAAAGUGAUCAUUCUGAUUUUCCAUCUUUAGAACAUCAAGUACUUGAGAUUUCACAUCCAUAUUUGGAAGAUUUUUUUUUUAUUUUUUUAUGUAGAGAGUUUUAUAAAAAAUUAAUUGAAAAGGCCAAUGAGGGGUGUGUAUAUAUAUAAAUUGGGAAAUGGAAGUAAUUAAUUAAUUUGGAGUUCGUGCGAGAGGAUUAUGGGAGUUACAAUGUAUAGAAAUUAUGGAUUUUGAUUAAUGCGCACGGCUUUUAAAUAUGAAUUAGUGUAAAAAAUGUGCCUAUUAAUUGUUUUUGAUAAUUACAUGAUUAAUUGUGGGACACUAAUUAAUGCACUAUUCAUUCUAAAUUUCAUCUACAUACACCACAUACAGUAUGUAUGCGUGUGAUUUCGAUGUGUGUGUGUUUACACUUAGCAAUAUUAAUCGAUGCAUGCAUGCUUAUCUAAAAUGAGGUUCAUAAUUUUAUUUGACUAAAAAAAAAAGAACAUUUAAUAAAGGAUUUAUCCACAAAAUUUAUCGCUAAAUAGUUGUAGCUAAAACUAUUUUUUGAUAACUCAUUGCUAAUCCAUCGUUAAAUUGAAAUAGAUUUUUCUUGUUUUGUUUAGUGAUAAAAGUCGCCUGUCUCCCAUUUCAGUUGUUGUUUUUUAAGUAAAAAAAUGAAUGUAAACAAAACUUAACUUAUAUACAUAGAUAUAUUCUAUAUGAAAAUUUAUGUUGUUAGUGAAUUUUAACUUGUAGAAAGUUACCUAUGAGAUAUUUUUCUACUUAUUAGUUUCAUUUACUAUGGAUAAUUAUCUGUAAUUACUUUUUUGAUAAUUUGAUGGUGUAAAAAUAAGAUUUUACAUUAUCAUUAUAGAAGUUAAAUUCAACAAAUGCAUCUACUAGUUUCCAUUUUAUGUUUCUAAAUAUUAGAUUAUUACUGAGGGUAAUAUAUAUAUACGUUUAAGAAAAAUAAUCUCUAAAAAUUUUUUAUCAUUUGAAUUAAUUACAAAAAUCCUCCUUUUCCUUCUCUUUCUUAACAUCCCGGAUAUAUCACUCCACCUCUAUCAGAUACUCUACAUUACAAUAUUGUUAGUGUACGAUGUAUCUUGUACAAAUGUUAUUGUUGAUACAUAACCCCAAUUAUUUCAAACCUAAAUUAGUAUGAAUAUGGUUUAUAGUUAUGUAUCUGACACAUAAUUCGUGUCUUGUUUGCUAUGUAUCAGAAGAAGGAGAAACGUAUUUGUGAGUUCUGAAAAAUCUGAGAUUAUUAUAAUUUGAAAAACUUUCGAAUUGAAGAAUGAUGUAUGGAUAAUAGUGAAUGGAGUCAACAUAUUGGGAUUAACGUAGAAUGGAAGUUACAAAAACAAUUACUCCUACUAACAAGUAGGAGGAGAGUAUAAUUAGGAAUAAUUAUGAACACAAUUAAUGAACUCAAAUGCGCUCACGAAAUACAUUUAUGUUUAUCUGCUCACCCUUGUGUUUAGGGUUCUGUAAUGGGCUUUUCUUUGCUGCCAUCCAUCAAGACCUGUCCAAUAAAUUUAGGCCCAGAAAUUAGGCCCCAAACCCAGAUUUUGCAAGUUUUCAUGAAUAUGGCCUAUAUUUCUGGUUUUCCUCUUCUUCUUUUUCUCACUCGUAUUCAGUACUUCGCAUUGAAGCUCGACUAAAUCUGAAUUUCACGUUGCACUGAAAUGGUAGUUGUCGAGUAUAGUGGUGAGUUGGUGACCUAAUGGUGUCUGGACGGUGCUGUUUUGAUAUUUUUGAGUGUUGACAUUUUGGUAAAAUUCCACAUUGGAUACAUCAUAUUACCCUUUAAUUCGAGUAUUGAUAUUUAGGGGUUGCAUAUUGGUCGGUUCGGUUUUGAAGUUUAUCAGUCCGACUUAUUAAUUAUUGAUUUGUAGACAUGUUAAAUCGUUAUAGGACCAUUUAAAUAUUGACUUAUCGAUUUAUUGGUUAUUAAUCGUUAUCUGGUUCGGUUAUCGUUUAACCGUUAAGAUUGACACAAAAAAUAAUGAUUGAAAGUUGAUAGAUUGCAUCUUGCUCAAAAGCAACACUAACACAUUAUAGAAUAAUUAAAACUUGAGAUUAUCAGAAAUAAAAAUACAAAACUAAAUCUUAAGUCAAUGACUUUAUAUACUGAAUGGUAUAAACAUAAUUUAUUAAUUUACUAUCGAUUUAUCAGUUAACCCGUUGAGAAAAAAACCUCAAACAAAUAAUCCAAUAUAAAGAAAAACCAAAACCAUUAUUUAAACCGUUUAAUUAAUAACCCAUUACCCAUAAAUUAAUUAUUUAAAAAAAAAAUCAAAUUAUCAAUUUCGAUCCAAUUUUAAAUAGACCUAAUUAAUACUUUGAUAAGACAUUAUAGAAUAUUCAACUGGCCGUAGUUGUUGUAAUCAACUGUGUUCUUACACUAUUUUUCAUAUCAACGCAUUACUCAAAUGGGAUGUAGGGACAAAGAAAGCACAAUAAAAUUUGGUUGCUAAUUUUGACUUUUGGUUUGGUGGCAUGACAAGAAAAAAAAAAAGCAAUUUUGGAGUCUUUCUUGUGGGACCUCCACCAUUCACGGCAUAAUUGAUUUAUUUACUAUAUACUCCCUCCGUCCUUUUUAGUUGUCCACUUUAGAAAUGACACACAGAUUAAGGCAACAAUGAUUAGCACAGUAAAGUUACAAUUUUACCCUUAUGACAACUUUUCACUUCAAAAUUACAACCACUUAUUUGAAUUCAAGUGAAAUAAAUUUGAGGGAAACAUACUCCCUCCGUCCCUUUUUAGUUGUCCACUUUAGAAAUGGCACACAGAUUAAGGCAACAAUGAUUAGCACAGUGAAGUUACAAUUUUACCCUUAUGACAACUUUUCACUUCAAAAUUACAACCACUUAUUUGAAUUCAAGUGAAAUAAAUUUGAGGGAAACAACAUACACUUUUACAAUUUUCAAGAAGUGUAAAUAAGGGUAUAAUAGGAAAAAAUUUGUUGUCCUUUCUUGAUUUGUCAAAAUGGACAACUAAAUAGGGACAACUAAAAAAGGAAAUAUGGACAAGUAAAUAGGGACGGAGGGAGUACUAAAAUGACUUUACAUAGUUUAGCCAAAAACUUUAUUCAUAUUAUUUAUACACACUUUGGCUUAAUCAUAAUCACUUCUAUUAGUUAUUAAAAUUAGUUACAACUUAGUGUUUUGACCAAACUUUUUGAAAGUGAUAUCAACAAUCGGAAGUAUAAUAUUUUAGUUCACCCACUGCCAUACAUUAUUUAUAGAUAGUGCUCCUUUUUAUUAUAUUAAUUAAAUGAUAUAUAUUAUUUCAAUUAAAUUUUUCAUAGACAUUAACAUUAUAUACGAGUCUUGGCAUCAAUCGAUAGGUUGAUGAUUUGGAUUACGUUGAAUGGUAAGUGGAAAUAUUAUUGAUCCUCUUGAUAAGGUGAGAGCUGGAAGAAAAAACACGUGAGUUAAAUUUUAACUAAUUAAUCAAUUUAAGGAUACUCGAUAAAAUCGAAACGAUAUCGAAGUUUAGAAAUGUUCCAAAUUUUGGAAAAAAUACCAGAUUUUACUUUUAGCUACCACACACAACAUGUCUAGUCAUGUUUAUAGGCAAACAAUAAAUUAUAGUACGAAGAUAAAUUCUUUUAAUUUUUAAAAAGAAUAUUAUUUGUUCUGUUCUAUCGAAAUUCUCAUAUCAGAUCUCAUAAAUCAAGUUAUUUUCCCAAUAAAUAAUUGAUAACUACUCCAAAAUAAAUAGAAAAGUUAUACGUUCAUUAAUAUUUAAUAGGAACGUAAUAAAAAGAAAAGAGAUACUUUUAUCGGUUUAUUUUCAUUUGUCAUUUAUUUUAAAAAUACAUUUCAUUUUCAUUUAUUAUUUUUAACAUAUCAAAAAAAUAUAAUUAUUUUUUUCAUCUUUAUCCUAAACAUAAUUAGUUAUUCCUCAAAUCAUUUUCUAAGAUCAAUUAAUAUAUACAUUAUGACAAAAUACUCAUAUCAAUCAUUAUUUCUUAAAGAACAUGCAAAUUCAAAUGGACAAGUAAAAGUGAGCGACGAAAGAAAUUUUGGCUCGUUAAAAAGGUCUAAUGCCUUUCGAGAAAUGGAGUUAUUUUCAAAUUUAGUCCAACUUAUAAUUCAUCUUAAUAAAUUAAAUUAUACUUUGAUUAUUGUAUUUUUUUUGUUACUUAACAUUUAAAUCAUAUUCUCUAAUUGUUGUCAUUAUUCCUUUCUUUUAGAAAAUGCUAUGUAAUUUUUUUAAAUAUUAGUAUUUGUUAUGACUUUUUUACUUUCAUAGUCAUUUUUUUUUUCUAUAUGUGCUCUGAUUUGCUUUCUUAAAGUCAAGGAUUUAUUAAAAAUAAUAUUUCUAUCUAUAUACUUAUAUAUUAUCAUCCAUCCUAAAAUUAUUUCACUGUGAUAUUACACUCUUCUUUUUUAGUUUAAAUGUGGACCAAGUCCACAGCUUUAUUAAAAAACAUAAAUCAAUACCAAUUGGGUCCAAAAAUGGCCCGAUUGGAAACAACGAAACAAAGUAAACUACAGGAAGAAGAAAACAAACUAACAGAAAAGGAAAUAAACUCUAAUGUCUGAAAAAAAUUUCAACUUCUCCGAUGUGACAGUCGCCGGAGAAUCCUCCCAAAGUGACGACCAGUUUGUUACUAUUAUUGAUCAAAACGUCUUUGUAAUUUCUUUUGAAGUGUAUGACUAAAUUAAGUAAAACCAAGUGUGAUUAUUGACAGUAGAAUAAAGAUUUCAACAUAAAGUGAAACAUUUAAGUGUUUUAUUAAUAAUUAAUUACUCCUAUUUGCUUUCACUUUGCAUGCCCAAAUUCCCAUCUAGUCUAUCAGUAUUAGUUGAUUUUGCUACAAAACAAAUGGUUAAUAGAAAAUAUUUUUCACUCACCAAUCAAAUAUAAAAAAAUAAGUUAGAAAUUAACUGGAUUUUCAAGAAAACAAUUUUUUAUCAGAUAGUUUUUGUGGGUCAAUUGAUUUUAUACUCCUUCUAAAAUUAUUUUUAUUUUUAUACAUAACAAAUUUAAAAUAACAUACAAAAAUAAAAUGAAAUUACAUGAUCAUUUUCUUUUAUAUAAACUAUAUAUUAUAAGGGAUAUGCUCAUCAUUUUUCUCCUCUUUUAUAGCCACAAAAUAUUCCUCCAUAUUUGAACUUCUGUUACAAAUAUAAAAAACAGUCUCUUUCUUUAUUAAAUUAUUUAUAUAUACUCAAUAAGGAACCAAACUAAAAGACAUAAAUAGAAAUGAAGAGCUAUCAUUUUAAAGUUAUAAUAGAUACCAUGUCAUUUUAAUUUAACCUAAUUUUUAUUCUUAAAAAAUAAUUCUAAUUUUAAUUUAUUUAUAUCAAAUUAGAUCUGUUCAAAUCGAACCAAAAUCGAUAACCCGAAUUAAUAAUGAGUUAUUGAUUUAGCGAUUUUGAUAAUAAUUUUAAUUUUUUUUAUUAUCGAAUUAUAAGUUCUUAACGGUUUGAGAUUUCUUGACGGGUCAACUAAUAACUUGAUAGUAAGUUAAUAAAUUAUAUUCAUACCAUUCGGCAUAUAAAGUCCUUGGCUCAUUUAGUUUCAUAUUUUUUUUUUAAUUGUUUCAAAGUCUUGGUUAUUCUACCAUGUGACAGUGUUUGCUUUUGAGCAAUUUGCGCACAUUUCAUUUAGCUUAUCAACCUAUUUCUAAGUAAUUUUCAAUGUAUUUUUGUGUGUCAAAUCUUAACGAUUAUACCAAUAAUCGAUAAGCCAAUAUCUUAAAUGAUUCUAUAAUGAUUCAACAUGUCUAUAAAUCAAUAACCAAUAUAUUAAAUUGAUACACUUCAAAAUCGAACCAAACUCAUCGAUAUACAAAUCUAUUUCAGAUCAAAUGUUGUCACAUAAAUUUAAACCUAUUAUAAGAUUAAAGAAUAAACACGAGGACGACAUGAUCCACUAAAUAAAAGCAAACGUUGUAGUAAUGAUUAGAAAGAGGAUUUUUAAUUUUUUAUGUUUUUGCAAGAAUGACCCUAUAUUGUUUUUCUGUUUCCCAAAUCAGUACACAAUCUAUUAAUAUUCUCCAAAAUCCCCCUACCUUUUGAAAUUCUUGAAGACGUGCUCGCCUUGAUGAACGGCUGUCCCCAUUUUCUUCUCUCUCCCCACUUCUACUCCUUUGCCAUUAUCAAUUUCUCAACAAAAAAAAUCCUUCUUUGUCUUUUUCCCUUUUGUUUAGUCAAAUUCUUUUGUUACCAACAACUUAUAUUGGUCUCUUCAAUUGGGGGGCCUAUUUAUUUUCCCUCAUUUCUCUUUCAACAAACUCAUUUUUGUGUUAUAUAGCUUCAAUGUUGAAGUGGGUGUCGGUUUCUUUGCUCUACUAGGUGAAAAAAAGUAAAAAAUCUCAGGUUGGGUUCUUUUUUUUGAGUUCUUUUUUAGUUUUUGGUUUUGGGGUUUGCUCUAUUUGGUUGGUUAAUGAAAUAAAGAUUUCAAAUUUGGAAAAUGUGAUAGAGUUCAGUUGUUCUCUGCGAUCUUGUUGAUUUUGGGUAGAAGUUUCUUUUUUGGGGUUUGCCUAAUUGUGGGAUUCUCCUUUUUCACUCAAAGAUUGCAGCUUUUUCAUGUUUCUUGCUAUUUGAAGUGUCUUUUUUACUAUGGGUGCUGAAUGUGUGUAAGUUAAGAGUGUAAUUGUUAAGUUUCAGACAAAAUGAAUGGUUUGAUUAUUCUGGUAUAGUUGAAGAGAUAUUGUAAAGCAUUAUCCUGAUAUAGUUCUUUCUUUGUUUUUUUCCUAUUGUCUCUGUCUGGUGUGAACUGUUUGUUGAUUCAUUUAGCAGCUUUUCAGGAAUGUAGUAGUUGUGUUCUGAAUUCUAGCUGAACUAAUAAUUGUUGCAGAAGUGAAUUUUUAAAGGUUGUAGUGGCAAACAGUUACUGGUUUUGUUUAUAGUUUUUUUCUUGUCAUUUCCUUGAAAUGUCGGUAUCAUGGUUGUUACAGGAUAAGAAUUGGUUACCAGUAACUCAAUGGAGACACUAAAUUCACCAGCUACAAUGACCUUUCCCAGAGAGCCUGCCAACUUUGAUGAGGUUUCUAUGCAUCAAAGCAUGCUCUUUUCCGAUAGUCUUAAGGUACCUACCUCUUUUCCUGAGCUGAAAAUUGGUAUUUUUUUCUUCAAAAUAGGGUCUUAGAAACAUGAAAGCUAUGUCUCUUGGUUCGAGAUAGUUGUAGAAAUGACCAUCUUUUAUUUUCAUUCUGAAUAUUUGAUUCCAAUGUUUCAAAACUUGGAAGCUGCAUAUGGAAAAUAUCUUUUGACCAUUUUGCUGAAUUUCUAGAAAUCUUUGAUUUGAAACUUGCUAGUUAGUCAACGAAGGAGAGGUAAAGAAUCUGGAUUCUUAAUUGCUUCUUUGUUGACUUGGUACUUAAUUUCUUGCUAUUAUAUUUUCUGACUUGCACUGGUUUCUUCAGGAUUUGAAGAAUCUGAGGAAACAACUUUACUCAGCAGCUGAAUAUUUUGAAUUAUCUUAUUCUAAUGAUGAGCAAAAAGAUGUGUGAGUCAUCUGUGGACUUGUGGGAAAGUUCAAUUCCAUUUUCCAUGUUUGGUAUGGCUUUUAACAUAUUUCUCUUCUUACAGUGUGGUAGAUACGUUGAAAGAGUAUGCUAUUAAAGCACUUGUGAACACCGUGGAUCAUUUAGGCUCUGUGACAUAUAAGGUCAGUGAUCUCUUGGAUGAAAAAGUUGAUGAAGUUUCUGGAACAGAGCUGCGUAUCUCUUGCAUUGAGCAGGUAAUAACCUUUUCCUUUUUUGGAUAUCAGAACUUUAUGAAGACCAUCAUUUAAAUUCUGAUCUGAUAAACCAUGGCGUUGUGCUAAAAAAAGUGACCAUCAGUAAUCGCAUGUGUGACUAAUACUCUCUUUAGUGUCAUAUAUUGAACUUUGUUGAAAAAUACCUUUGUGACUUUAAGCGUGUGUAUGAAAUGGAGGAGAAAAUGUUUUCCAAUUUUACAUGUUUGGUCGGUAAAAAUAUUUUGGAAACGACUUCCAUAAUGGAAGUAGAGAAAAAAAGUUUCAUAAGUGACAUUCCAAGUUCAUGUCUCGUCCCCACCCACCCAAUGCCCCUUGACCAUCCCACCCCAUCCUAGCUCCAUAAUGUUCUUUGGAUAAUAUUUUUUAGCUUACUUACCAAACAGUCAAACACUAGAUAAUAAGUAAGAAACUCACUUGAUUUUCAAUGGAAAACAUUUUCCCUCAUACCAAACACACGUGUACUUCUUUGAUCUCCCUCCUCACCACACAAAUAUAGAAGAUCUUGUAACAAUAUUACUUCUUAUAGAUAGGUUGAUCGAAUGAACUCCACAACUGAAAUCAAGAUGCAUAUCAAGUUCCAUGUGGUUGAAGAAAUAUAAUUUGUUGAGAAUCCUUGCAAAUGAACUUUUACGGUUUUUUUCAAGUAUUGUAAAGGUAGUAGUCAUACUCUUAAGACUGCCACAUGCUAACACCUUCUGAAGAUCCAAUGCUUGAACAUAUCAAAUGCCUGCAAUUUUACUUAUAUUUUGUGUUCAAAGAAUUCUAUGUCUAAUAUGUUUUAUCGGUGAAGUGAAUGCACUGACACACACACAAAUGGUGAAACUAGUUAUGAUUUAUGAGGCUUUUCUACAGUUUUACAUUGUUGGUGUGAUCCUAAUUCAUUAGGCUUUCUUUGGGAAUUCAAGAAUUGGAUACAGGAUUUAGUUAAUCUAUUUCUGUCUUAUUUCUUGUUUGGCUUGUUGGACCUAAUUUGGAAUUUAGAGCUGGAGCCAACUGUGAGAAUGACUCAGACCCAGCAUAUUUGUGUAGAUAUAUGGCUAUUUGAUCUUGUUGCUCUACUAAAUGGAUCAAUAAUUGGAGCAAUAUAUUUUUGACUUAAACAGUCACAAUGCCUGGGAAAUUCCACCCCUAAGCCCCCUAACCCAUGGCCUUAAAGCAGAUUUCUGAUACUGAACAUAUGAUUACAUCUCCCAGAUAUUCUCGCUUGAAAAUAACAGCAUCACAGUCUUGUUGAUCCACCCUUGUGUUACUAUCUUUGUGCUUGGUUGUGAGGGUGUAGCUUGUGUUAUUCUGGUUCUUAUUCAUUUUACCUGAUUUUCUUGUAGAGACUAAAGACAUGCCAGGAGUACAUUGAUAAUGAGGGUCUGUCGCAGCAAUCAUUGGUUAUUCAUACUCCUAAGUAUCACAAGCGAUAUAUAUUACCAGGUAAUUAUGAUUACAUCACAUCAGUAUAUCUUUCAAAUCUGUUCCUUUAGCAGUAUUUGUCGCUCUCAAGUCAGAACUUAGAACAUUCAACUAUUUUUGAUAAUUUUUUUCCAGUUGGCGAGACAGCGGAUGGUGGUAACCUUACCAAGUUACAGUACCAAGGGUGUAGUCUUGACGAUCAAGAUGAUUGGAAUCAAUUUAGAAAUGGUAGAAUAUUAUGCAUUGCCUUCAAUUUUUGAGUUUCCAUUAACAUAUUUGUGAAAAAUGAUAUGACCGGAGCUGGUUUCUUUUGAUGCAGCUGUGCGAGCAACAAUUAGAGAGACUCCACCACCUGCAGCUGGGUAAAUUUUUCUUGCUUCUUGUUGUAUCCAGCCACCUGAUUUCUUUUAUGUUUUACCAUGCAUAACUAUGUAGAGAUUCAUAUACUGCAGGAAAGGAUUCUCCCCAUCACCUACUCCACGUCUUCUUCAGCAGUAUGGAAAAUUUUCGUUCUCCGGAACCACACCAAAAAAGGAAUUAGGUCUCUUUCCAUCAUUUUCUUGCAUUAUAAUAUCUUUGCAUCUUAGUGCGUAUAAUUUUCCACCUUCUUGGUCUCAUUGCUGCUUGUGAUUAAUUUUAUCCUUCUUUUUGUACUUUGGCUUAAUGUUCCAACAGACAAGCGGACAGUUUCACCGCAUCGGUUUCCUCUUUUACGAACUGCAUCUCUUGCUAGUCGGACAACCACCCCCAAAAGUUCUAGGCCAACCACCCCAAAUAAGAGUCGGCCUACUACUCCAAACCCUUCUAAUGGGAGACGGGUAAUUACUGGAUCCUAUAUAUUUUUCAUUUGCUUAAUAUGUUAAUAUCCAGAAGCAGCCUUAAUAACUCUUAAUUGCUGCUGAGUGCUGAUAAGAUCAUGCUCCUCUAUCCUGAGAUUCGGCAACUUGUCUUGUUCAUAUUAGACUUGUAGUUAUUUUCUUUUAACUGUUAAAUUGUGUUUGAGCAGUACGCUGCGGAGCCUCGUAAAUCAGCUUCAAUGCGACUUUAUGCUGACAAUAUAAACACCAAAGAUCCUGAGCAACAUUCCAGCAAAAGUAAACGUCUGCUUAAAUCUUUGCUCAGUCGACGCAAAUCAAAGAAAGAUGAAACGCUAUAUACAUACAUAGAUGAAUAUUAACAGGAACAAGUUCAAAGAAAAAUGUGACUAAAGGAGGGGUGGAUGUGGUGGCACUUGCAGCUGGAAACCAGGAACAUGAUCUUUUGCUUGUAUUGCAUUAGUGCUUCUCCAGUUGUUACACGGAAAAUCAGGGACAGGCUUUUUUAUUAGUGCACUGCUUACCUUUCCUCAAUUGUAUAUUAAAUUUUGGCAAUGUAUUGACAGUUUAUAAACACAAUUAUAAAGACUUGAUUAGUUGUCCUGGACAUCGUCUUGACAGAUCAUGAAGUAAUAUAGUGUCCGUUUGGACAAAAUUUGAGUUGAAAAUAUGAUUUCCUCAUUUGACAGUAAACCAACUUCAUAGUUCUCACUUCUCCAAUAUGUAGAUAUAAUGCAUAAUUGUUGAUAAGUUAAAUAAUUCUGAUUCUCUCAUUUUCUUUCACCCUUGCCUUUUGAAACAGCGAAAACAUAUUGAUGAAAUUCUUAUGGAAUGUUUGAAGCAUGAGGAAUGAGAAUAUCAUCUAAAACUUUGCUGUAUGCCAAAUGUUAUAUAUCAGUUUUUAGCUUUAUAUCAUACGAGGAUUUGAGUUGCAAGAGGUUGCUUGAGCAUCUUUGUUUAGGCCAAAGUAAGCACUCCAUUUAAUGCUUCUUGUAGUUCCAGAGUACAUGAUAUCAAUUAUAAAGAAUUAAAGAUGAAUAUAAUCUGAAGUUAAAUUAUCAGCUGGCAAUGAAUACCACUGUCAAUUACAAACAGGAAAUGGCUUCCUGUAUAUGGCACAUCAAUAAAUGAACAAUGUCCAAAAAUAUUCAAUAGAGGUCUCUAUUCCUUCUUUGGACCAAAUUCUUCAAUGGUUUUUGUUGUGAGUGUGAGUACAUCUACAAAUGCACUAAAUGAUGCACGAAGAAAUCUUGCUUCAACAGCCUCAAAAUUCCUGUAAAACAUCAGGAACAGUUCAGAAAACUGAAAUUUCGGCAAAGAAGAGUGAUAUUCUUCAUUCCUAAUCAGAGGAAGAAGCGUCAUUUUGAACAAGGUUUCCUUUGACCAAGAAAUUUGUUAUAAAGAUAACUGACUGGUGCCAAGUAUAUUUCAGCAAACAAGGAAGAGUUCACAAAGAACAGUUACAUCUGUUACCUGUCAAUUUAUGGCUCAGGCACGCAACCAAAACAUUGUUUUUAUCAUCCAAAAGAAAACUCUAGUGCCAUAUCAGUGCUUGAUUUCUAUAAAUGAUAGGAGUAAAAAUUAAGCAACUAGCACAAUACAAUUAUGUUCUUAAGAACUUGUACUUUUGGGUUCCUUUACAAUAUGAAGAUAUAUAUAAAUUUUGAUGAAGUAUGAAGAUUUCCAUAAAUUACCAUCAGACACACACACACACACACACGUACACACACACACACUCAUUUAUAUAUAUAUAUAUAUAUAUAUAUAUAUCCCAAACGUAUAAGAAAAUAUUGAAAACAAUGACUACUAACAGCAGUUGGAUCAACAAAAUGCAAAAGUGCAAAAAUCAACUGGUUUGAAUAAAUUCAAUGAGUAGAAGCAUGUGCUCACACUGAAAGCUUCCCGUUAGAUACAGACAUAUGCCUCUUCACUUUAUCAGGCUGCAACUGCAAUUAUUAAUAGUACGAGAGUUGGAGCACUGGUGAAUUGAAACAGAUGCUACAAUGAAUAAAAAACCUCAGUAUCACUAUACCUCCUUAUCAACAGCCAAUGCAGUAUAGACAAUAUGAGCAUUUUCUUCAGACCCAAGAUCUACUUCCAAGUUGCUGCAUAAAGUAUACCUCAUAAAAUUCACUCCUUCGCCAAGGAAUACAAAUCAAAAGUGCAUUAACAUAGAGUAUAACUCAUUAUUGCUAGGGCCUAGAUGUCACAAAUUUGCUACUCUGUUCUUCAGUUCUGAUUCUUGAGUUUAAGAAUGCAUGAAGUCCCAUUUCAUUGCCAAAUGGAACAGUAGACGGAGAUGUAUUUUUUGUUUAGUAUUAAUUCACAAAAGAACAGCAACAAAAUGGACAAGCAACAAUAGAAUACAUUAAGUAAAGGAAGAUAUGAAGAUAGGGUUGCAUCAAGAAGAGAUUAGACAAAUCAGGAAGGGCAAUUACACACAAGAUGUCCCGGAACCUGAAAUUUCUGCUCUUGCAGUUGAAAAAACCUGCUAGCAUAUAACAAUAAAACAAGAGAACUAACAAGCUUUCUCAGUGACAAUUCAGUAUGAGACUUUCCAGCUACUCUCCACCAACAAAGCUAAUACGUAACAUUCAAUUUACGCGAGUCUUGAGACCACAAGUUCAUUCCUAGGCCCUAGCUCACUGUCAAGCUUCUCUACAAGUGUCUCAAUACAUUAAAAAUAACAGAGAUAGCUUUACUAUGACCCAUUACUUGAAAACCAGCUAACCCCCUCAUCUACUACCCCUUAACCACCAAAAAGAAGAAGAAAACAUUAAAAAGGAGAAGUCUUUUUGAUAAGGAACCAAGUAAAACCAUAUGGGUAUGUUGAAAUGAGUGAUUAAAACCAAGAAAAAUAAAUUGCAAGAGCAUAAAUAAAUCCUUUUAAUAUACAUUUGUUCACAUAACAUAAACACAAAAGCAUUUUCUUGAUAUAAUAAGGAUUUCUUAGUUGUAAGAUGAAGAGAAAAUACCAGUUGAAGUCCCAUGGAGACGCCACACCAUCCAUUCCUUCCUGGACACAGUUUCUGUACAGCAGUUGAAGUUAUUGGUUGAUUAUUAGGGUUUUCGAAUUUUGGGUACUAAAAUCUAUAAACCCGACCCGCAAAAUGGUAAGUGGGUAUCCUUAUUAGUGUGAAUCAGAAAUAGGCCGUGUAAUAUAAUACUCUUUCCGUCCCUUUUUACUUGUCCAAUUUGACCGAUCAAGAAAUGACAUUUUCUUUUUAUCUAUUAUAUUCUUAAUUAAUUAAUUUUGAAAAAAGUAAAACUUCUUUAAUAAGUAAAUUGAUUUUUGAAUUCUAUUGAUUAAUAGGGGUAAAAUGGUACUCACUAUGUCAAUUAUUAUUUUCUUAAUAGGUGUGUCAAGUAAAAAAUAGACAAAUAAAUAGAGUCAGAGAGAGGGUGAAUUUGAGUUUAGUUAAGUCCCAAUAUAAAUAUUGGAUAUUGAAUGGACAACGCCUUAGCCUUUAAAAUUAUCGUGAUUUUUAAUUUUUGCUCCUCAAAUUGGUUGUUUUUAUCCAUGCUUCUCAUUUUGAUGAAAAUUUAUGAAUCAAAAUGCCUUAAUUAUAAACUAGUUUCGCAAGACAAAAAUUUAGAUAAGUUAUGUAGUAUAUAAUUUGUAAGGCGAAAGUUUAGAAAACUAUGGAAUAUGAUAUUGUGAGUUGUGAAAUUAAACUUAUGUAUUAUAAUGCAUAAUUUGUGUCUUGCUAUUCACAAAACAAAAGUUUAAACCGGAAAAUUUGCAAUUCUGAAAUAAAACUUUUUAUCUGAUGAUAAGAUAUAACUUGUGCCUUGCGAAUUUUGUUUUUUUCAGAUUUAGAAAUAUUAUUGAUCACUUUUUGUUUAUUCAAAGAGUUGAAAAUCAUAAAUUUAAGAGAUAAAGUUAAAGGCCGCAAAUGAUCCUUUUUGUAUUGAAAGGUUUCUUAUUAGUAUUAAAUUAAAAUAACGUUUUUUUUUUGGGUAUGUACCGUAAUUUGUCUAAAUUAGGACGCAAGUAAUUUAAAAAGAGGUUAUAAAAAGAAGGAAAAGAUAAUGUAAAAAAAUUGGUUACGUGUGUUUUAAUUGAUAAACUUGAAUCAAUGGAACUUCCACCGUCCAAUAAUAUUUUUUCGUUAUUAAUUUGACACACAUCUUAAGAAACAAUAAAUAAUAUGAAUAAUAUUACUAUAUUAUCCUUUGAACGUAUGAAAUUAAUGCUUUCGAAAAUGUAUUAGAUAUUGAAUAGUAUUUAAUAACAAGGGUAAAAUAGACACAAAUGGAUAAAUUAUCUCUUAAUUUUUUUAAUGUGAUAAAUAUUAUUCGAUAACUAUUUUUAUUAUAGUGGACAAGUAAAAAUGGACGGAGAAGUAUUUAUGACACCACUAUCCCAUUUAAGAGUCUGCUAAGAGAUUUAAGAGGUAUUAUUAAUCUUGUUUGGCUAGAAUUGUGUGUAUAAGAAUAUUCCACUGGUAUAUUACUCACUAUUGGCCCAUCUGCCACCUUAUUGUUAUUAUUGUGGGUAUAAUUUAGAUGCCAAUUUUAGCAUCUUUAUUUAUACUCUUUCAUUCAGUUUUUGUUACCCUUUUUCUUCUGUUAGCCAUACUUCACACCAAAAAAAACCAUGAGCUUAUGAUGCAUGUUGGAAAGUCUCUUUUCUUCUCCAAUAAAUAAGUUAAAUCAAACAAGGCAAGUUUCUUCCAUUCUUCCUUUAUAUGUGUUGUUAUUUUUUACUUUUUUAUUUUAUGAUGGUUUUGUUUGAGCGUGUUGUCACGCUUAUCCUUUCAUACUAGUAAUUUGCAGUAUUACUCUUGUAGUUUCCUUGUCCUUCUUAUGGUUUAUUAUUUGUUGUUUCUUGUACUUCAUUUGUCAUAUUAUUUUGUAUAUUCUUGUCUUUCUAUCGGUUCUGAUUUGUUGUUUCAUGUACUUUGUGUAUUAUUUUGUGGUAGUUACUAUUCUUCCCUUCUUCUUUUUUUCAAAUUGUUUUUAGCAUAUAGUAGUAUAUUUGCUUCGUCACAUUCGUUAUUUCUUUUACCAGACUGUUUUGUUUUGCUUCACUUUGAGGCGAGGAUCUACCGAAAACAUCCUCUCUACUUGCCAAGGUAGGCAUCCAUGUAUACUCUACUCUCUCCGCACUCCACUUUUGAAAUUACAUUAGUAUGUUAUUAUAUGGCGGGAUUACAUUAAGUAUGUUAUUGUUGUUGUUACACAUGGAUUAUUUUAUCGAGUAUCUGCUAGUUUUUGCCACCACAAGUACUAUAUUAGUUAAUUACCUCUGUUUGUUUCAAUAUUCUCUCCUAGUUUAAGGUUUGUUUCUUGAACUCUUGAUUCUUUUAAUUACAUAUAUAUAUAUAUGUUAAGAUCCAUACAUAGAGAGAGAAAUAUAGAUGAUUCAAGGUAUUUGUUUUUUGUUUGGCCAUUUAACUACUAUUACUUUGUUAAUUGGCUGAGAAACUCCACUUCUAGGAGAAAAAUAAACAGGUUUUGUCCAACAGUAUAUAUAUCAUAUAUGGCUUCAUGAUAAUAUUUGGUUGGUUGCCUGUAAUGCAUGUGAUUGGGCUUCUCAGCUUUUAUUUAUGAGUUUUAAGUUAUAUAUAUCAAGAAGGAGAAGAGGUGAGCAUAGUUUCACUUGCUUGGUAACCUCUUUCCCCGUCAGAGAUAAGAAAGAAUCCAAAUCUUGCAAGGAUGUUAGACUUCAACGUCUCUACACCAUUAGGUGAUCUUUAUCUGUUAUUAAACUCUUUUCAUGUUAGCUCAUCUCCUUGUUUGUAAACCUGGUUCUGGUUCCUUUUUUGAAGUUUCUGGUUUGUAGUUCUAAUUUUCUUGAUUUUGUUCGAUGAAACUACGUAUACAUGCCAGUUUUUGGUGGUUAAGUUUGCUGCCAUACAUAGUCAGGAAUAAUUGCAGAGUACAACAUCAGAAAUUGGUGUCUUAAGACUUAGCAUAAUUGCAGAGUACAACAUCAGAAGACUGUCAAAAAGGAUAAUUAUCAUUAAGGAAAAUGAACAAUGGUCUGCACUUAUCAAUACAAUGAAAUUCAGAAAAUGCACUAUGCCCUUAACCAACUACAAAAUAAAAAGUGGUUAAGGGCGGGCUAAAAUGUCUUGUUCUGAUCUUUUUGUCAGCACAGUGUAGCUUUGCCUUUUCAUGCAUUUCCUCCUUUCCCCUUCCUUCUGUAAUGUGAUUCGUGUAUGUGAAAAUGCUGUACAGUUUAUUCCACCGGUUAAGUCACCAGUGGACUGAAUUUGCCAUCAUAGGUUCAUGUGAGGGAUGCAUUUACUCUGACUGGUUUUACACGACUUACACCUCUUCGCAUAAACUCAAAUGCCAACAUAAACAAACCAAAAAAGAACAACAAGAACAUCUGUAGCCUUCCUAUAAUGUCGGCCAUGACAGAUGAUCUACUUCCUUCUGGAGAACUUUUUCUAGUAAGUGGAGUUAUAUUCCAUCCUGACAGAGACAAUCAACUAUUAAAGCAAUGCACCUUAACCAAUAAACUUAGGAAACAUUACAGGACUUUGUGAUAUAUGGAAGUUUAUGUAUCCUACAGAGACAUUAUUCCUCUAUAUCUUGUUCCUCCAAAUAGUCUUAGUUUCAUGCUGCUGCUUUCUACAAAAAAUAGGAACCAGUUAUUAAUACUUACCAGAGCUUUUCUUGGGCAAAUUUGUCCAGUCAUACGGGCUAAUCUUACUUGUGGAUGCCUUGAUCAACUCAAGAAGAGCGUCAUUGACCUAGAAUAUUUAAUAAUUGUCAUAUACUUCUUCCAUUAACAAUCAACACACAUAAGACUACAGCCACACAAAUCAUUUGAAGCCACAAAGAGUACUAAAACUUUGAGAAUCUCAUAACAUAUUAUGCAUUUUGAAUUCCCUAUUCAUAACUACCAAAAAGUUGAUUUGGCCUAUUUGUGACCACCAAGAAGAGUAACCCCUCCCCAGGUUCUUAGGAUGCUUUUCUUGACCUCCACCCUUAGUACGUUAUAUUUUUUUUUUUUGUUUUUGGUAACUAAGCAGAAUGGAUUUUUUUUCUUACUGGAUGAUUCUGUAUUUGCAUAAUAAAGACAUAAAAACAUACCUCUUCUGUCCUUUCAUGACUAACAAGAUGUCCUCCAGGAAGCUCUACCAUUCUAGCAUAAGGAUGUAACUUCUUCGCAAGCCUCUUUGCAUGGCUUAACUGAGCAAUGACAUCAUGCCUACACAGAAGAAAAUGUUGAUUUAUAUCUAAAUAUAAUGUAUCUGGCAAUUUGAGAUUGGAUCUCGUGGAUAAUGCAUUUACCUGCCAUGAAUUACAGAUAUUAGGAAUCCAGCAGAGCAGAUAGAUUCAAGAUCAGCCCGUGAUAUCUUAUGAGUCCAACAAGCAUUUAUCUGUCCAUCAAAUCCACAAUUUGACUGCAUCCCGGAUGCUGAUAUGCCUUUCACGUAUUCCUGGCACAGCCCAAAAAUAAGAGGGGGAAAAACACGUAAGCACCUUAAGUCUUGUUUAUUGUAGAUUACAUUUCAAUGGUUGAAAAAAAAAAAAAAAGAUGGCCUAAGAAACAUCUAGGUCACUCACUUGAUAUAAUAUUGCUCUUCGGGUCGUAGUUCCCACAUCUUCCUCGAGGUAUUCCUGCAAAGCACAAAUCACAAAUAUGUUAAGUCAUAUAUCACUCCCUAGUCGUGAUAAAUAUUAUCACUGAUUAGAAUUUAGAUCUUUUUUUUAGAAAUAAUAGAAUUUAUAUCAAGUGAUGAUAAACCAACUAAUCAGCAAUUGUACGAAAAGUAAGCACAUAAAACCAUCUAGAUACAUUUUAUGUUGUACAACAAUAGAUGACAUGCAUAUGAAACUUUGCAGUACAGGGGAACUAGGGAAGUGAAGCCUCAUAAUUUUCAACAUUAUUAAAUGAACAAUUAAUCAACCUUUGAAUAAUGGGUGUCUAAAUCAACAGCAGCCCUCUGUUCAGGAGUCUUUGCCUUCAAAAACCGGACAGCAAUUGAUAGAGUUUGACGAUCGAGCUGCAGGAAAAAAGACCACAUGAGUACUAGAAUCAACAAAAAAAACUCUUCAUUCCGUACAAGAAUAUAAUGAGAAACAGACAGAGGAAGCAUUGUGUUUGAGGUAUAACAUUAAUUUGGUUAGCAUCUUUUGAUACAAUUAGCACUCAUCAAAAUUACAGGAUCUUAUUCAUAACUAGCAUGUAUCUGUUCAAAAAAAAUUGUGCAUCUGACAUGAUGUUGCCAGUUACUAUUUUUUUUAAUCAAGUCAAGUAAUAUAAUUUUAUUGAUAAUGGAAAAGCAUUAGUACGAAACCAUCAAUCAAUUAUGUCUUAGUUCCAAAAAAGCUAGGAUCAAUUUAUAAAUAUCUUAAAUUAAAAGAAAUUCAAAUGACUCAGACAUUCAUGGCCAAUUUAACCUGAUAUUUUAUUUGAGCUGUGGAAGUAACCACUAAUGCUUGCAUUAGGGUAUGCUGUCUACAUCACAUCCUUUGGGGGUGCAGCCCUUCCCCUUCCCCUGUGCUAAUGCGGAAUGUUUUGUGCACCAGACUGCCCUUCUUUUCUUUUCCUAUUUCAUCAAUUGGGGUGCAGUUGAGUUGUAUAAAUGUUUAGGCUACACCACUGCUAAACUAAGAUAUAGUGACCACAUUAAUCAUUUUCAUUGUUGUCCCUUCAAUCUUCCAAUUUUCACUCUUCAAUGGGUGCAUUACUCAACCUUUUAUAGAUACCCACCAAACUAGGUACUUUUUUUUCUCAAUUUAUUUUUCCCAUAAGAGCUAUUAAACACACUGUUUUUCACCCUCACUCCUUUGAAAAAGUACUGUUUUCUCUUCUUAUACCACAUGAAUCAUCUCAACAGACUCAUCCCAGCCAUCUAUAACUCUUCGGAAUUGUUUCUGUGCUUCAGAGACAGCACAAUAUUAUUUAAUCACAUGCAUGAUGUUACUACCCAUCCCUUGAUCAGUAGUAUUCAUCUCCAUCAUACCUAAUUUCCUUCAGAUUUAUCAGUAGAUGAAUUUCUGACAACAUUCAGUGCUCAGGUCUUUGUUAAACAAAGUUGUCUUUCCAGAUAGUACAUUUUAACUAUGCAAACAUGACUUUUUUAUUAUUUGUCAGAUCAACUAUUUGGGUCUUGUAUGCUACCAAGUAGAAAAACAUUGUGGAAUUAGGAACAACUCCAUCAAAUGGUCAUACCGCCUAUUGAAGAAGCAGACUGGCCUAUAGCAUUUCACUGGAUUAAGAGGGGUCUCUCCUCACCCUCUGAGAAAAAUGCUGAGUACCUCCUGGCCUUUCCAGAGCAAAGGAGAAAAGGAUUACCUAAUCUACAAGUAUAAACUAUAGUUGUGAUAUGUGUUUAUCUCAUAUGUGAUAUGACAAUCUGAGCAUACAAACUUCCCCUUCCUUCCACAUGGAAUAUGCUACAACAGAAGAAUAAGAACAGUAUUCCCUCCUUUCUCAUACAGACAGACUGGAAUCUCUCUCUCCACACACACACACACAGAGUAGAGACACUCACAAAUGGACAAGAUGGGUACAUUCUUAAUAAUUAUGUACCACACCUUAUUUUUAUUUGGAUAACUCUGUAACUAAUAUCACCUUAUAAGCACCAAAUAAUUCUACCUUCUCCACUUAAAUAUUAGACUUUGGUCUGCUAAAGGUUCAACCCCGUAACGUGCGCCUAAUCUACACAUAGCAUGUUACACUUUUACCAUCAUACCAAAUCCCAGGGAGCUUGCAGUGUCCAAAUUCCACCUUGCUGCUUUCAUUACAUGACCACUGAUGCCACGCUGUGAACUUAAAAAAUGCUAGAAUGGCCUCAAUUAACGGAAUAUCUUCUAUUUUUUUACUUUCAGUAAGCUGAUUUUUGUAUAUCUUUCCUGGAAGGGGAAUGCAAUGCAAAGGAAAACCAAAACGGUCAUUCAAUUUUCAGAUAUAGCUGAACCAUUCACUAAAAUCUUUGAACAAUAUGUCCAAUGACCAAUAGUUGAAGAGAGGAUCUUACCCUGGGAAUACAUUCAUAGCCUCCUCCCGUGACAUUCAGUAAAGCCAAAGACAAAACUCUCUCAGGCACCAUUGCAGCCAAUUUGCAAGAUAUCAUAGCUCCUGAAUGAUUGGAAAAGAGUCCAAGUAAGCACAAAUGUUAUCAAAUAAGUGUUUUCCCAGCCAAAGAAUGAACUUGAUUCUCAAAUAUCUUGUUCCACAUUUUACACAAGUUGUUAAGCUGUACUGCAAUGAUCAGUUUCUAAAAUUUGAAAUGCCUUAAACUACUAUUCGAAAGUUUAACUGGAAUACUAUAUACUGCACAUUUUAUGCUUGAUGACAUACCAAGUCAUCAUCAAUAACGCCAACCAAAAGAACAGAAUCAGAAACUCACCCAUUGAAUGACCAAAGACAUGCGCUUUUUCCCACCCCAAGUGAUCCAUUAUAGCAAUUGCAUCUUUAGCCAUAAUACUAGUCCUGCACCAACAAACAUCCAACAUCAAUUUAACUUGCUAACUACUUAACUUUAGUUCUUAGCUAAGAAAUACUAGAAAAGUAGUUGAAGGUCUUCUCGUAUAUCUAAUUGGAGCCCCACCAACAACAACUAAAUUCUAUCUCGAAUUAGCUCGUAUUGGUUGUAAAUAUCCUACAAUAAUCAAAAAAGUUUUUCCUUUUCCUACUUUAUUCCUUCACUAUCAGAAUUUUCCUCAAAUAAGUUUGAAAAAUACCAAAAAACUAUGGAAAAGUAAUUAAAAGUACUGGUAAAUGGGACUUACGUAUAUUCUGACUUUUUAGUGGGUACAGAGCUUAACCCCAUUCCACGAUUAUCAAAAGCACAAACCUCCAUAUCCCCACCUUCACCGAAGCUCCGAUCACCGGCUGGCGAUUCAGAAUCAUUCGGCGUAAUCGUCCCGGCGAGCGCCUUGAUCUGUGGUUCCCAUGAACUAUGCGUCCCAGCCAAUCCUUUAAAUCAUUCAGAAACAACCAAACCAAAAUUCAAUCCACAUUAAGAAAAACCCAUAUAGAAAAAACAUUGAAAAAUGUCAAGAAAAACGAAGAAUACCAAUAAUCAAGAGAACUUUGACCGGGCCUUGACCAUAAGUUCUGUAAAAAAUCUUGGUUCCAUUGUUGCCAGUUGCAUCUACACCGUUCUGGUAUUUACCCACCUCACAGAAAGGCAUGUUUCGCUUUUUCCAAGGAUAAAAAUCAAGUCUUUACAGAUUUUUUUCAGAAAAAGAGCAAAAUUGGAGAAGAAAACGGAAUUAAAACUGAGAACAAGGGUGGAUUUUUUUUUUGAAAAAAUGUGGGUUCCUUAAAUCGACAAUCUUAAGGCUACUCGGUUUUGGUGUUAUUUAUUUCUAAAAAAUCAAUUUUGUGCCCAAUGUAUACGUGGCGGAUAAGGAACGGUUGGAUGGUAAAGUUAGUGUGGACGGUCGGCUUUGAGCAGCUUAGACUGGGAAGAAGUCAAAAGUCAAAGAAAUCGCUUUGUCAGUUUUUUUUUUUUAGUUGUUUUUAUCUGGUAUUCGGUAUCCAUGUUGAAAACUGAUUAAAUUUAAAUUUGUGACAAAAAGUUUUACAUUGUAUGUGUGAAUCUACACUUAAGGGCACUCAAACUCAAGACGUCUGAUUAACUAUGAAACAACUUAUCAUACCAUCACAAGUUCACAACCCUUAUUAGUGAAAGAAACCUUUGAUUUUGAAUCACCGUGGAACUUACGACUACAAAUAUAUCUAUUACUUCCUCCGUCCCAUUUUAUAUGAUGUACUUUGAUUUGGCACAAACUUUAAGAAAAAUGGAAAGACUUUUAAAACUUGUGGUCCAAAAUGAAUGAUAGAAAUUUGUGUGGUUGUAAAUCAUUUAAUUAAGGGUAAAAAAGACAUUUUAUAGGCAAAUUGUUACUUAAAAUAGAAAUGUGUCAUUCUUUUUGAGACUGACUAAAAAGAAAAGUAAGUCAUAUAAAUUGGGAUAGAGGCAGUAUAAUUUUGCACGCGAAGUGUGAGGAGGAUAAAAUAUAGUAAGAUUUAUUUUUAUCUCUAUAAAUGGAGAGAUUAUUUCUAAUGAACCAUCUCAAAAAAAAAUUAUCCGAACAAAGAUUGAAAAAAGAAGAAGUCAAUAUACAUAUAAUAAAACACAUGGGAGAAUAUAAUUUAUUUAUUUAUUUAUUUAUUUGAAGGAUUGAUAGGAGUAGUAGUUGAACAGUAAAUUAAGUUAUGGUGAUCAUUUGCUUUUCAACGUAAUUCUUAAUCUUUGACAAUCUUUUUUCUUUUUAAAUGCUUUGUAUAAAUAAUUUAUUUAUUCACCCUUUUUUUCUCACGUGCAACACAGAUUUUUAACGUUUUCCUUGUUUCUUUUUUUUAUUCUUAAGUUUUCUUUUUUCACCAGAGUUGAAAAGAAUAAAGAUAUUUAAGUUUUAGAGGUCAUAUUUGUUCCAACAACUUUGAAGCAUGUGGAUGAGAGGAAAUUUGAGUGUGUUUUGAUGUUAAAAGCUGAUUCAGAAAACACGCGAUUGCAUUUGGACAAAAUAACAACUUUUAUCCACUCUAGUACAAAAGACAGAAUUUCAGUAUAAUCAUGUUCAAUAAUAACAUUUUAUUAUGAUAAAUUUUUUUUUAAAAAAAUCGAUCAUUCAUGUUAUGUUAUAUUUCACUAUAACAAGAAUAACACAUCGAAUAAAACAACUUAUUAAAUUUGAAGAUAGGGGAAACUCUGUACCAUUUUGUGUCAUUAUUGCUUAUAAGUCCAUUUUAAAGGAGAACAUUGUAAUUCUUUAAUUGAAAACAAUUUGAUUAUAAAUUUUCUUAGACCCUUAAUAGCAUACUUUUAUAAUCACAUAGAUAUCAUAAUAUUAAUACCUAUGGACGAAAAGUUUGGGAGCAAUCUUUUUGUCUUAAAACUCCGUCGCAGUUCAAAUUGUGCCACGCAAAUUGGAAUGAAGGGAAUAUAACAUACAAAGAUUUCACAAACUUUUUAAUCAUCUGAACAGAGAAAGUAUAUACAGCUUGCCCAAAUAUAUUAAUAUCCUACCUACUGGAAUAAUCUCCAAAGCAUUCUGAUAUGAGAAAACACACAGCUUACAUAUGAUAUAAGACCUUAGCCCAACAAUAUUUACAAAAUGCCUUUGGGAUUGAGGCGUAGUAGUCGUAUACUUACAGAACGUGUAAUCCUAUCUAUCUCCGACUUGAUCUGAUAGAAAAAUGCAUGGAACAUACAUACGUGAAUUAAGCGAACCAGAAAGAUGGUUUAGAGAGCAGGAAAUAGCCAUCCCAUGGUCAAACCAAGUAGCAAACCAGCACCAGCAAGACUUAAACCCAAGGUAAAAGCUAUAGCAGACUUGUUUAUCUUGAAUUUUCCCUUUCCUGUCUUCUUCUUAAUAGGCUUAUUAUAUCUAAACUUCUUCAGUUUCCGUCCUUUGAUUGGGAUAACGGGGAAGCAAGUCGAAUAGUUGAUGGAAUCUUGCUCAUCUUUGUUCCUGAGCUGGAGGACAAGAGCUUCAAGCUGCAAAAUUUGAAGCCACUGCCGGUAAGCAAAGAGGUGAGAAGCCUGUCUGAAGAACAGCUUGAUCACGUGCUCCUUCUCGUUGUAGGCUUGCUGUGCCAGUUGUUCAGCCUCUCUUGCACGGGUUUGAGAAUGGCAUAGUGCUUCUAAUAGCUGUGUUUUGCUGAGAUCGCUUGAUCCUGGUUGGGUUUCUGAUGAGAGGACGUUGGCAAUACUUAAAUUGUCAUCACCACCACUGGAAUUAGAAGAAUACACGUUAGUGUUCUUAAUAAUUAGAGAAUGAGAUGAGAAGGAAACUAGGUCAACCACAAUACAUUUUGUGCAAUUGUUUAUGGAGUUUCACUAUAUUACAGAAAACUUCAACCUACGAAGAACUUCAUGAUCCCAGGACAUCCUUUAUUCAUUUACUUGAAAUGAAGAGAUUCUGCAAUGUUAGGUGAUUGGAAGAAAAAAAAGACCGAGUAACUAUAAGAGAUAUGUUUUAUCACUCUCCGGGAGUCAUUGUUGAUUAUUCCACCACAUUUGUCAACAGUAAGCCCCAACCAGCUUAUCAAAGUGGGUUGAAAUUGCAGAAAUGAAGGGAAAGAACAGUCUUUAUCUUUUUUUCUUUUCCUCUGUCUCCUUUGUACAGACACGAGAAAAGAAAAUCAAUUUAACUGAGAGAAUACUUCUAGGAGAAAAAGAGUUGAGGAUUCGACUCACCUGCAUUCGUGUCAAUGAAAUUUCAACAAAUUGAGGGCAUUGAGACUUUUAAGCUAUUAAUCCACAUUACAGUACUAAUUUACUACCUGAAUAUCCUUAAACUCUGCAAAUCCAUAUUUCAGGCCUAUAAUAGAUACUCUUUUUUUGUACAAAUAAGAAAAAUAGUUUUUUCUUUUCUCUCCUCCAUACGGUGGAGGAAACUUGCUUCCACUUUUUUUUUCAUGUGCUGCAUCUUGUUACAAGAUCGACGAACUAAGUUUACUUUAUUGUAUACCUCCUCCAUCCUAAGACUAUUAUUUCUUUGCUUAAACGGAAAAGACAGUAGCUAAAUCCAAAAAGUCAUAUUAGUGUAUAGUAAUGCUACUUCAAAUUAUUUUGAAUUCGACAUAGUACCUUUCACAUCUUUCAACCAUUAUAACUCACAAAAUAACUUCUUCAAACAUUUUUUCUUCAACCUCGGAAGAAGUCUUCCCAGGUCAUGUAAAAUUGGUAAACGAAAAUAUGUUAAAAAAAACAGUGUGGUGGAGAAAGAUAGUAGCUAGUACUUCAACCAGAAAUGAUAGUAGCUAGCUAUAGUUGGAUAAAUACCUUACUGGCUGUCCUGAACGACGUGUUAAGCACCCUUUGCCAACACACAAUAUCUUCUGUUGGCUUUGUGAAGGAUGUUGUCUUGGACAAUAAUCAGGAGUAACCAGAGAUUCCUUUUCUACCAUACUAACCUGGUUAGAACAAUUAUAUGACUCAAUUCCCAAAGACUGACGCCAUGAAUGAUCAGAAUACGUGAUACAUCCAGAUGAAUUGGGAGAACCUGAGGCAGAUAAUUCCUUAUCAGCUGUGCGCCACCAUGGUUGAGCCUUCUGAACUCCAAUCCAUUCAGAAUCCAGUUCAGAACAAGCCUUUUUAGUUUGUCCAGGAUCUAGGUCCAUGUAAUAAUCAAGUUCCAUAAAUCCUCCGGAAUCUGUAUAUAUUGGUGUUCUCUGGGAACCAUCGCCUACAACAUUUUGGAGCAUGUGCAAUUGGCUAUCUUUGUAAUUAUAUGCAGAGGGGUUGUAGCCUUUGAGGUGGUGGUCUAGCUUUGCAACAUCAUCACAAUAUGUUUGAGAAUAGAAAUCCUCAAUCAAUUGGUUUCCUCCGCAUAAUUUCAGAACAUGAACACUCUCCGCGCUCAAAACUUUGAGCUCUGACUCUAACAUACUUGAAGGUUCAUGUGAAUUAUCUUUCUCACAUUCAUGAAGUUCAAAAUCCUUGCCGCCCAAAAAAUCCUGUGACCCUCUUUUUGCAUUUCUAGAAUUGUGGUCGAACCUUAAUUGUGCUGAAGACAUUAGGAACAGAGAGAAUGUUGGAGCUAUCUCUUUAUUUCUAGAGAAGAACAGGUUGACAGUUCACUCUCAUAUGACCCCCAUCUUUGCAGCCUUUUACCGUAUGAUCCUUUCCUUGUUAUCCUGAAUAAGCAAUAGCAGGUUAUAACCAUAUCAGCAACAAGAUGAAUACAGGUUAAAACCAAGCAUCGAGAAGAAAUAAAUUAUAAUACAUUAAGAGGUUAUGGAAUAUGGCUUGGUUGAUUAUAAACCAAAAUCUAAAUUAAGCAUCAGAAAAAGCUUUGACUUAUCAACUGAAGUUUCCGCAACUGCCCACAAAUGGGGUCUAGGGAGGUUAGGAUGCAUUAACUUACCCCUACCUUUGUGAGGUAGAGAGAUUGUUUCCGCUAGACCCUCAACUCAAGAAAAAAGUCAUUGAAGCAAUGUAUCACAAAAAUAUGCCAGUAAAGUAGCAAAAUACAAAGCAAAUGAUUGAAGCAACACAUACUAAUACACAUUAUAGAACAAGAGACUAAACGACUACUAAAUAGCCCCUACCACUCCCACAUAGAGUGCAAUAACACUCAACUACUCACUAACCUUCUACCCUAAAUCUUUUAACCUCCAAACCUUCCUAUCUAUCUAGAGUCAUGUCCUCAGUAAGUUGGAGUUGUGUCAUGUCCCCUCUAGACAUGAAAUCAAAUUCACAGAAAACAAAAAACAGAACUAGCAAAAUUUUAUCCACAAAAUCAAAUCAAACCAGCUAAGGAAACAACAUACAAACCAAGAAAUGAACUCCACACAGCUUAACUCCCCAGUCAACGCAUAACAAACUAUGAUUUGCUCCCUUGCUUUACCCCUUUAAGAGUUUUUUCUGCUAAACAUGACACUUAAAUCUUGAAAGGAAUCAUAAAACCUAUAAUCACCUAACUUCAAAUCAUCACACCUAUAAUCAUCUUUACUUUACACCUUCCCAUAAUCAUACAUAAUCACUAAUAAAAAAAACCCACCUGGAAAAACCCUUUUCCAUCACACACCACCAAGAAAGAUUCAAUUUUUUUUCAGUUCAUGGAGUCUCUACAUGCUAAAAUCAAGAAUUCCCAAACACCCUUUAUCUAGUUAUGCAUAAAUAUCAGUCAGUCUUGUUCGAAUCAGGAAAAAAAAACAGUUUUUAAAUUCUAUGAACAAUCAAAAAAAGGCAAGUGGAAGAUAGUAUGAUGGACAGUUGAAGAAAUAAGUGAAGAAGAAAGUACCUGUUGGAGACAAUCAUGGAGAUGCUUCGAAGGAAAGAAAUACAGUAUUCUUCAUUCUAAAAUAUCCAUUUUUAUAUUCAACGUCUUACAAGGGAUUUUUAUUAAAUUCAGUGUCACUAUUAACUAAUUAAUAUUGCAGAUUAGAAUAAUUCCACGAAAAUUUGCCCAUGUUUAUCCAUAUAUCCUCGUACAUUUUAAUUUUUUUUCUCGAUCACUAUAUUUAAAAUUUGGAAUUCGAAUUUUUAGGUGUUAAUUAAGAAAGGAACGACCUAUUCAUUUACAAUUAUGCAAUGCAAUAAAAUUGUAGCUCUUUGGAGUAAGUAAAUUUAUCAUUUCAUAUAAUUUAUUUGCCGUUUCGUAUUAACUUUUAAAUUUAAGUAUUAUGUAUGAAAAAGAUAUCUUUAACCAUCCUAUUAUUUUCAAGGUAAUAAUGGCAUAUAUAAUUAUUAAGUAUUAGUAAUUGAUAAAAAGAUGUUCACAAUGUCAAUAUAAAUAACACAUCCUAUUCUUUUAAGCAACUAUAUAGACAAAUUUUAAAAAUCCUACUUUUUUACUCUAUCUUAUAUUUUACAUUUAAGUAAAAUGAAAAGAUCUUUUUAAAAAUAUAUACAAGCAUAGAGUAGGGCAUAAUUCUAGUCUCUAGUAUUAAAAAUAAUAAAACACCAAUUCCUCCACCACCUUAGUCUCUACUAAAUGCAUUAUUAUAACCCAUAGUUUCUUCAAUGUCCCCAUAUCUAAUUUUUAAAUUAUCAUCGUGGAUUAUUGUGAGAUAUUUCAAAAAAAUCUUGACCGGAAGUUCUUUUAUUUUCAAUUAAUAUGUUUUACGUCAUGCGAAUCUGAAUUAAUCAGCCCUUAGCAGAUACUAAACGGACCAAAAUUCCAAAAAGGAAACUUCCUAGAUUAAGAGGGCCCCUGCAUUGGUCCCCCUACUGCAGACUUUUCUCUGCAGUCAGCAUAAGAUUUUUCUACGUUCUCAAUUACGCUUUUUGGUAGUAAACGACAUUAUACUUGAAUAACUAAAAACUACUUGAUUUAAAAGUUGAUAUAAUUUAGGAGAUAGAUAGUAUUCCAAAUAUAAUGAUAAAAUCAACACAAUGUUUUUAAAAAAUAUGAUUCACUAUAUUUCUGUGACAAUCGAUUUACACAGAUAAUUCAGUUCCAAAAUAAGAAUAGCUCAAAUACAAGAACUGCAAUGAAUUUCAAGAAUCUGGACAAUGGGUAGUGCAAAAUGUAUGUCUUUGCCACUAGAAAUAAUUAGUAAGUGUAGGUUAAAUGAUGUCUUUUUGCUAUUCUUACAACAUUCACAUUGAUAGAUAUAGCAUAUGCUUCUUCAACCUUCAGAUUAGCCAGUUAUGUUGCAGGCUUGCAGCUGGAGCUUCUCUACAGAGCACCAUCUGAAUUUCCACUCCAAGUCCAAAAGAGCAUGUGCUUCUUCAACCUUCAGAUUGACUAAUUACCUUGCAGCUAUAAUUUGAAGAUUCUGUAUGCACCACCGAUGUUAUUUCAACUAAGUACAUCAAUGUCACUAUCUCAUGUAGAGGGAGUCGAAAGGAGUCAGCAGUGACAUUUUUCAUUGCCAUAAGAUGAUCAGGCUUGCUAUCAUUUUCCAGUGUUCAACUACAUUGUACAUUGUAGUCAAAUCAGAUAGUAGUUGGAAAGUGGACACUGUCCCAUUUGGGUCGACAUGUCCUAUCCAUUUCCACACCUAUAAGAAGCAAAGCAGUAGCAGGAUUAGUAGAUGGUAAGCAAGGCUCUUUUAACACUUUCAGACAAUGCAUCAAGAACCUAUAUGAUACCUUUUGGUAGUAUUCAUUUGGCGUUACUCUUGGAUAGAUACAGCUAAAAAGAAUCUUUCAUAUGCCUGUAAAUUUGUUAGUUUUGGCUGCCUUCCUUGUCCACCAUGGCAGGAAGAAACCCAAUCUUGUGCUAUAGUCCAGUGUCUCUUUUCCUUUUGUGGCAUGCAAACUCCCAAUAGAAGGACAUGUUUAUCUUGCAACCACAAUGAUCCGACACUGUUAAUAGCAUGAAAGCAAUUACACGUCAAACAUGCGGCCUUGUAGGAUCUUUAAUAUUGAACCAUUUGCUUAUAUUUAGUUCGGAGCUUUGAUAAUCUUCUUUCCAGAGGGAGUCCCUCAUGUUUCCUCCCCAUCUUCUCCAAGUAAUAUACAACUUUUUUAAGUGUUUCCAUGACUUCCUCACUGUCAGUACCAAAAGCUUUCUCUUGAAUUUUCAGUACCCUCUUGAGCAACUCCAGCAAUUCACCAUCAUCCUUUCCCAGCUGGGUCUGAAUGGAGACCAAACAGUCAAGAGCCUCCCCUGCAUACAUAAACUCUUUAGCCAAAAGGGGAGAAAUGAAAGAAAAGAACCUGAAAACACUAAACCAGCUACUUUUUUUUGGAUAAAGAUAAAGAGGGUAAACAAACAGUACAUGAAUGGUGAAACAGCUUUCAAACAUAUUGAUGGCAAACAUUUUUCACUAACAGAUCAAAACAUACUGCUUAGCAGUUAGCAUAAAGCAAUAGGGAAAAGGACAAGCUCACCAACUGGUAGAGAAUCUUCUCCAAAUGCCCUCUCCCGGAUUCGCAGAACCUCUAAUGCGUGUUUUUCGGCCUCCUCAUUACGGUUUAGAUUGUAGAGAGUAACUGCAAGAUGCAGCAUUGGGAAAGUAAUGGAUUGAUCAUCAGGUGAAACAUUCUUAAACAUAAUCUGCAAACUCAUCCUUAGCAAGCGCUCAGCUUCUGCAAAAAGUUUGGACUGUGAAUAAGAAGUGGCUAGAUUCACUAGAUGAGAGACUGAACUGGGAUGCCCUUCACCCUUGAACUUCUCAGUUAUCAACAAGCACUCCUCCAGUAGCAUACGGCCUUCUUCACCUCUGAAAGAUAAAUGAGUGUUAAAGCAGUACUCAAAAGAACAAAGCCCUACAAAGAAGCUUAAGGUUUGCACAAUUCUUAAGAACAAUUUGCCCCAAUUUUAUAUUAUUCUAUAAAAACUGAAAUGUGAGUAUUGAAAACCUUUUCAGAAUCGGUUGUAAUGUAUCAAAAUAUAACGGAAUUCUUCUUUUAAAAAGGGUUCGGAAAAAGUAAUUUACCAUAAGUAAUAUUCUACUUGAUUAAUCAAAGGGAAGAAAAUCAUGUAAAGGACCUAAAAACCCUCUUACACUAAAAGCCCCACACACACUCGGCCAAACCCUUAAUUUAUUUCAUAUAAGUUAAGUUGUGAAAAGUUCUAUCUAUUUUUAUUUCCAUGCUUCAUAUCUUCUUAAUGGAAGUAGCUAACAAUUCUCGAGCGCAUUAAUUUAGUCUAACUUAAGUCAUAAGGGCAAGUAACUUAAUGAAAAAAAGUCGAAAAAUGGAAAGUAAAGGAUAAAAAAGUUUAUCUGAUUUUAGUUUUCAAGGAAAUGUUGCUGAGUAGUAAAUAGGAAACAACUUUACUAAAUGCAACAAAAAGGGAUUUAAAAAAAAAUAUAGAUUGUAAGUUAGAAUUUAUUUUAAGAAGGCCAAAAUUUGUAACUCGUUAAAGUUUUAGAAUACAUUGACGUGAUCAAAAGUACUUAUCAAACAAUUUAGACAUGGGGGUGAUCCCAUAAUUUUAAUAAUCACAGGAAAUUAUGUUAUGUAACUAACCCUAUGCUUAAUUAAAACAUGAUCCUCACCUUCCAACUGCAUGAAGUAAUUCAGCCAAGUCUACUCUCAUCUUCUCCAUUAUGUGAUCAUCUAUGGCUAUAUAAUCAGAAACCUUCAGCCUGCGAAGAGCCUCUUUAUACAGAUCAAUGGCUUCAUUCACAUCUCCUGUAAAGCACGCACAUAUGAAAACAGUACCCUUUAUUGGAGCAAUUGUCAAAACAGGAAUAAUUUAAUGGACACAGAGCAUAGCAUCACAAUUUGUAAUCCUCCUACUUUUUGGAAUGAAAACCAGUUCAUUAUAAUCUAGCACUUGCAGGAAGCUGAAAGUUACAACUCACAAGCAACUGGAAUCUUUGGAACACAAGAAUGUCAAGUUCACCAUUAGUUAUUCAAAUUUACUUAGCUGUUCAAGCAUUAGUCCUAUCUUGUGCUGCUUUUGGGCAGGUUACUUCACUAUCGACCUUUUCGUUAAUUGCUUCAUUACUUGAGUAAUGGCAACCAUAGACAAGGAGAAGAUUAUGUGACACCAGGAACAACAAAGUAAGAAAAAAUUGAUCCGCCACAAGUAGGAAAAUCAUUAUAUUCACCUUUUGCACAUUUCACACGUGCAAGAUAACUCAUAGACAGUCCAACUCUGCCAUCCUUUUCUCCAUAUAACUUCAUGUACGUGGUCAAAAUUCUAUAUCGUAUGAAAAGAAAAGGGAAAAAGAAGUUAGUAUUGGUGACUACAGACACAAAGUGGUCACGAAGCAAGAUACAUGUAAGAACAGUGAUCACCUAUUAAAAGCAUUUUCUGCAUCAGUCACUCUCCUUUCCUUCAGAAGAAGAUUGCCCAUGCCAAAUAAAGGCACUACCAGUUCCUCACAUUCUUCACCCCUGCUAGAUUCAAUAAUUUUAACUACGCGAUGAUAUGUUUCUAUUGCUUUUUUGGUCUUUCCAGUAGAACCCAAAACUUUUGCCAUCCCUAACAAUGGAGUGACGAUAAAAGAACUGGUAUUUCCUGUAAUGUAAAAUAAAAGUGUCACCAAACUGCUUUCAGCCAUAUAGAAAAAGAAGCAGUGGCUUGAUAACAGUUAAGAAAGUUGCAAAUUUACAGAUUUUACCAAACAACCGAAUCAUUUAUUUCUAAAAAGUUAUGGAAAGCCAAAUCCAAUCCCAUAGUAAAUGAGAUAGAAUUCUAUUUUAAGAAAAUGAGCAGCACCACCAUCUCACACAAAUAUAGCCAGACGUAAAUAAGCAACAACUAUAAAGUGAAAAAAGAAUCUGACUUACCAUAUAGUCUCUCAACAACUUUGACAGCUCUUCCAUACACACAAAUGGACAUCUCAAAAUUUUCUAACUUUUCAUACAUAUUACCCAUAUGUGUGAGUAUCGAGUCCAGAAGAGGCUCCUCAUCUUUCAAGUCAUCAACAACCUCGCUCAACUGUCAGUACAUCAUGCCGCCCACCCAACAUACAGAAAAGGGUGACUAAAAUGAGGACAAGUAUGAACUCUAAAACAAUAAAGUUAUAUUAUUGCUUGAAAAGGGAAAGUUCUUAUGUCAAUAAAUGAUUUGUUCUUCACGGAGAAAAUUGGAGUUGGAACUUCAAAAGAAAAUGUUUGAAAUCAUGUCUCCGUGCACUGGUUCUCCUAAUUAAUUUUUGCAGCUUAUGUCUGUGCCUUUGAAAGGUCACUUGAUCCUUUCAUGGAUUUAUGAUACAGAAAGACUAGAAUCAGGAAUUAGCAUAUAUGACAAGGGAAGAAAUUACCACAUCCAACAGGGGUUUGACAGUCCUUAUGUCUCCAAGGGCCAUGUACCCUAAGGCUAUUACAUCAAGAAUAGCUGCUUCUUCUAUACCCUUGUGGCCUGCAUCAAUCUGUUCUUUGACAGCUUCAAAAUUUGCUAGAAGCAGAUCUCUGGCCUCAUUUUCCUUCCCUAUUCUUAUCAUGGCAUGGACUUCAUUAAAUAAGUCCCUCAGCUGCUCCUCAAGAAUAUUGAGGCUGCUAGGCAUGUUGUCCUUUAAAUCUGUAUACCUGCUGAAAAGACAUGCUGACAUUGUAGUUCUCAAUGGAUAUACUACACAAGUCUCCUAAAUCUAUACACUCUUAAACUAUUGAAAUGUUUAGAAUUCAUCGCAAAUUUUUUGAAGGAGAUAGUCUAUGUGAAAGGACGGCUAAUAUAUUCCACCAACUAAUGGGUUUAGCCAAUAGCAUCAAACUCAGAUAACGCUGGUAGAUUAUCCUCCAUCUGAAGGAAAUCACUACACCUCUUCACAAGUGACUUUUUGCAUAAACAAUGAUGGAGCUAAGUUGAUGUCAAAUAGGUGCUUAAAGGGGAUAUACCAAUCGGAUCUUCCACAAUGAGUUAAGCACCAAAAUAACAGAUGUUUCAUUACUUAACAAAAUAUAACAGCUUAUAAAAUGUUUCAGCUUUCAGAUCUUUUGGUUAUCUGUCCCAGACUUUGUAUUAUCUACUUUCUCACAAUUAAUGUUUACCAUGAGUCAAAUAGAAUAAAUAAUAUUAUCCUCUUGAAUUCUAGAUUGAAGAGAAGAUUAUAGAAACAGUUGUAUGCCCUAUUGAUUAAAUCGUCAACCAUUAUACGGAACUGGAUUGUAAUCUUAACUCAAAGUAGUAUACUUAGUAGUUAGUACAACUAGAGUAAUAAUAGGCAUUUCUGGAAUUUGCAUCACCCUAAAAUGUCAUGAGUCAGAAGUAAUGAGGUGCUUUCCUGAGGUAUGCCCAACGCCACACACCCCAAGCUUGCCUAAUAGUUUUGUGUCAAUGGAGUGCAAAAAACCGCGAUCAACUGUAUUCACCCUAAAAAUUCCUUAAGUAGUAUUGACCCUUAACUUCUCAAAAGCCCUUGCAGUGAUUCUAAAUACUAAGAUUUAGAAGAUGUGAAACUCAAUGGAAGUCAUAAUAUUGACAUAUCCUCCGCUUGAGAAUAAUAUGAGGUGAGUUUUGUUCGAGCCUUUCAUAAAAAAAUAAAAAAAUCUGGCUUCAUGUCUUCACUCCCACUCAAUCUUCAAGUCUUUAGUUCUCUGUCUUUCCUCAUCAAAUCUCUUCUUUUUUUCUAUUCUAUUCCAUCUAAUAAAAUUAAAUAGCAAUUUCUUUAUAAGGUAAAGUUCUAACAACAAUUAAAAGUUGCCCUAUGUACAUUAAUGGGUGAUGAGACCGAUAUUUUUAGUUUUUUUUUUUUUUUCAUAAACCAUCUGUUAGUAACAACCUAAAUACAAUUCUGUCAAAAUGCUACUAAUUCCAUUGAUGGAUUACAGUUAUUAAAAACUAUUUCUAAUUGUAUUCACUUAUGUAAAAGCACAAAACUAGCUUCCUAUUGAGAGCCUAGGGAAUGAUGACAUGAUUUUUGUUAAUUCUAUCAUGCUAGGGUACUCAACAAUCAUUUCUUCUAUCACAAGGAAACCAAUAAAACUAUCAAAAUGUGAAUAAAUCUGCAUUUAAAAAAAGCAAAGCCCAUACCUUUGAGACUCGAUACUUGAAUUAACUCCUUUGUUUUCGUACAAUUUGGAUGAGGUAGCCGAGACAACACAGCACCUCGUGCUAAGACGGGAACACAACCCACUAGUGGGAAAGCAAAGCUUAAAAUUGCAACUUUUAGAGGGACGGUGAUAAAAGGAGACGGACAAUAUGCCUAAAUUGGUGUUUGAACCUAUAAGAUUCAUCCUGAAAUAUGCAACCCACAAAACAAAAAUACUCAUUAAUUUACUAGUGGAAUUCAAAAGCUGGCCCGAACACCACGCUCGUAAAAAAAAUACUAUUGAAGUGCGAAAUGGAAUGGACGGAACGGGUUAGGUUACCUGCCGGAGUUGGUGAGUGGCAAAGGAGUUGAACGGAGCAGAGAAGUAGACAUUUGCAGUUUGCAGCAGCAGAGACACAGGAGAAAAUGAGGGAGGCAGAGAGAUUAUCCACAAAUAUGCAAUUCUAUUUGGGUUUUCUAAUUAAAUUAACCCCAGAAUUUCAUAAUUAGCAAUUUUGCAUUAUUAAUCACCCUUAUUGCUACAAAACAGCAAUGCUAAUUUUGUAAAACAUAUCAAAUCUAGAUAAUACUCUAGACUAUAGUGGUUAGGUUAUUUGUAGUAUGUAAAAUUUACUAGUAAAAUUAAAUAUUUUUAUCAUUUUUCUUAUUAUUCAUUCUCACGAAUUCUAAGUAGUUUGUUCAUAAUAACACAAAACAAAUUAAUUUUAUUUGAAACUUUUUAUGUUAGAAUCAUGUUUGAUCCUAAUUUUUAUAGUAAAUAUUUAAAAUUUAAAUGUACUUUUUUAUAUUAAAAAACAUUAAAUACAAUUUGAAGGGGGAAAAUUUAUUUUUAAAAAAAUUAGAAUAAAUUUGAAAAAGAAAAACUAAAAAAAAAAUGACAGUGAAAAUUAGAGUUUUAGGCUAAAAUCAUCCCUCAAAUAUAACUUAAACUGAGUGUACAUCCUUAUAAUAUAAUUUUGAACAAAAAACAUCCUUCAAUUAUCCCAAAACUUACUUUCUGUUAACUACUGUUCAAAAACUAACAUAAACAAAUACAUGUGCCAAGCACAUAACUUCCCCCAAAUCCCCAUAUAUUGUACGAUAUUUUUAUUGAUAUUUAUAUUGUUUUACCGGUCUCUUCAUAUUGUGUUUCUUAUGUUUUGACAAAAAGUGUGUUGUUUACUAGUGGUUUACCAAUUUUUCUAUUGUACUGCAAUUUGUUUUUACUGUUUUAUUCUAGUUUGGUGUUGUUUUGUUGAUUUUCUUGUGGUUUAUUUACUGGUUUAUCAAAAAAAAAUUAUUGUUUUUUCUAUUGUGUUGUUUUUUUGCUAGUUUGGUAUUAUUUUGCUGAUUAAUUUUUUGGCUGCUUUUGUCCUGAUUUAUCAGUUUUUAAAUCGUUUUUUCCAUUUUUUUAGUUGCCUUGCUGUUUUCUUGUGUGUAUUCUUUUUGUGCAAGUUUUGGUCCUAUUUUUCAGAUGAAAUAUUAGCUUUUUUGCUGGUUUUAAGUGUUAAAAUGCUCAAGGUGGAAAAAGAGAAAAAUAAAUGUUUUUAGGCAACUCAGAGUACUUUCAUUGCGCUUGACAAACAUACAAGAUACAUUUAAUACGAAAAAUUCAUGGCGAGAUUAAUACAACAUAAAACGACUACUUUUACUACAAUUUCAAAUUAUCAUCUUCUCUCUUUUCAAGAUGAGACCAAUCCUCCCUCUUGUAGGCUUACUUUUUUUCCAGACGCAAUGUAGUUCUAUGGGCGUUGUUUAUCAUUACCAACUCUCAGGGGUACCAAUCCUCUUUGCUCGCAUAAGAGAAUGAAUUUGUAUGACUCCAAGGCAUUAAUUCUAAGAGUUGGUAAUAUGCCCUCCCUGAAAGUGGGUUGUGUCAUUUUCUUGGUGUAGAAAAGCAUGGAGUUAAUUUUGUGUAACUAGGAUUAAUAGUAAAAUUGUAAAUGUCAAUAAUGUCGCACAUGAAAGUGUUUAUUCUAUUGAUUUCAUCUAGUUUCUUUGGUACUCCUGCAUAAUACAAUACCUAGGAACAAAAAUUCUGAAUUUUCUUUAUCAUUGCAUUGAAGUCUCUAUGGGUGACACUUUUAAUUAUAAGCACCCCAUCGACUGUUGAGAAAUCAUGUUUCUAGAGGCACCUCGCACAACUAAGAAAAAAUCUCUCUUCAGUCAAACAUGCUUGGUGUAUUUCUUAUUAAUAUGAGCCUUAUUGUCUCAUAUAAAUGCCUCUUGAUUGCUAAUUUCUUCUUCAAAUUGCGUCUCAAGAAUUUACAACAUCUUUUAAAUUAUCGAGUGCUAUUAGCUUCUUCCGAAAAUAUGAGCAGUUAAUUCCAACCCUCGGUUAGGGACACAUUGUCUAAGGAUAGACUGAAAGUGGGACAAUUGGAGCUGAUUAAUUUUUUGCACCAAAGCAUGAAAGAAAGUCUCAACUAUGAUGUAUGCUAUUAUUUAUGAAGAUGAAGAAAUCAAUCUAUAGCAUAUGGAGAUUUGGGGGGAGUCAUGUUUUUAUUUCUGUUAGUUUCUUAAUAGUAGUUAACAAAAAGGAUGUUUAGUCAUGUUUUGGGAUAGUUGAAGGAUGUUUUUUGUUCACAAUUUUACUAUAAGGAUGUACUCUAAGUUUGAGUUAUACUUGAGGAAUGAUUUUAGCCUAAAACUCGUGAAUACUGAGUUUUAGGCUUUUUCCAGAUUUCCAAUACAAUUUCAAAUUAUUUUCAAAUAAAAUCGGGAAAAAAAAACUGACCAAAUGGAUUUAUUUUAUUUUAUUUUGGUUAAAAGAGGAGAUAUUAUAUCAUAAUAUUAUGUAUCCAAUACAAACAGAGGUGGCUGCAUGAUGGCUAGCGCACGAGUUAUCAGGCCAUAUAACUUGGUUACAAUUCAAAUUACAUUGAGGCUUAUAGGCUUGUGGAAGAGGACUUUUUACUUUUUCUGCUUUUAGUAUCUUCCAAACAAAUCACGGUGGAACUCUCCAUUCCUCAAAAAGCUGAUCCAAUUUCAUCUUCUGGCCUUCUUUGGCUAGCUACUUUAUUCUUUCCUCGAGGCUCAGGCCUGAUUGGGGGUUCCCCAUCCUAUGAAUGGAUUUAUUGUUAUUACCUCCCUACACUCACUUCAUUGUUAUCGUCGAUUCAUCAAAAUAAAAUUGAAUUAUUGACUUAACAGUAUAUGUCAUUUGGAAAUCACUAUAUAUAUAUAUAUAUAUAUAUAUAUAUAAUGAUGAUACAAUAGUCAUAUAAUAAUUUCAUCACUAAAUCAUCAUGGUUAUUAUCGAUUUCAAAUCUAGGCUAUGCUAACUUUAAAUAUUAAGCCAGAAAGUAGACUGUCAAGUCUAAUUUCAAACGUAAGGUGAAGUUCAAAACAAACAUUUAUGGAUAUGCAUGUUUUUAAAUUCGUGAUUUUCUACUUUAAUCAAAUAAAAUUUUCGCAAUGAGUAUAUGUCUUAUUUCUUGCCUCAUCUUUACUUAAUACAGUAGGUUCGUUCAAAAAAUCCCAACGCCAUUGGGACAUAUCUUCCACGAACGGUUAACUAUUAAGGAUCACAGUUUAUGCAUAACUGUUGGUCUACACAAAUAAAGAAGCAUAAUAAACACUUCGUAACUCCUACAAAAUAUUAAUUGACACUACCGUUCAGCUUAUAAUAUUUAUUAAAUAUAUAAAAUAAAUUGGUACUACUUCUUUGCAUUGUGAAGCAUGUCAAAAUUUGCAUCACACUAAGUUCCCACUAUGUUCAUAUUCGAGGAAGAGGAAGAGUUGAACCACAAGGAGUCUUAUGUUUCCACAGCUCAAAUGCAACUUUACCAGUUAUAUCAAAGUUUGCUUCAUCUCAUAUAAAAUCUGUCCAGUUCACUUGGCUUACGCAGCCAAUACUAGACGAAAAUAUUCGGUAUGACAGAAGUCACGGAAAACAUGUUGUUUUGAUGAAAGAUGACUCGCAUCAAAUACCAAACACAUCUUUCUCUGGUGCUAGUAAGUUACAUGUACCACACAUGCCAUCAACUCAAACAUGACAUGUUAUUUAACACACUGAAAACGAAGGCAUUCUUCGUCCAUACAGAGACUGGCAUAGUAGCAUACUGUAAAGAUGCAGAAUUUCUUAGGUGGGGGGCAAAAGAGGGUUCCGUUAGGGAGGAGGCAGAGGUUGGUUAUCAAAGCUGACCAAAACAGCCACUCCCUACAGAACAAGUUUUGCAAGUUUGAAGCUCAUAAAUUAUGUCAACGUAAAGGAUGUUUUUUACUCCCCACCUCCUGCACGUCAUAAAGAGAAAAGAGGAACAAAAAGAAAAGGCAUUCCCUUUUUGUGAAAAAAUAAGCACCAGCCUGAGUUUGCACAAAGGCUUAACUACAUACAGUGCAGGACUGUUGAUAGUACAUUCCAAAUACAACACAACAAUUUGAGGGAUUAAGCAUACACAUAACAAUAUGCACCGAGUUUAUAUUGUACAUUCUUACUUGUCAGUGCCUCACGAUGGCCUAGGAUACCCUACAAUAGCGGACAAUUUCAGGGAAGUCGGCCUACAAAGGAAAAAUUGCAAGGCACCUCCAGGCUAGGAGCAUUACUUGCCACACAAACUUGUCACAGCGUUUCAGGGGCCAUCUUCUAGGGCUGAAUAAUGAAGCAAAGAAUUCGAUUAUUUGUACUAGCACACUCUAUUUUGUUCUCUUAACUCCCAAUUUCAGGGUCGACCUGAACAGAGAAUAAAGAUACUUACAACAACAGCAACAUACAGAGAAUAAAGAUACUUACUGCUUAAAAUAAAUCCUUGAAGCAGGCUUUGAGCUCUCUCUGCUUGCUCCGGAGUGCCUGAUAUUUGUAUGAUCUUAUCUGUUACCUCGGGCCUAUCCUCAAUCAAUUUAACAUUUGCUCCUGACAACUGUCAGCAAUAAAAAUAAUAUAACUGUGAUACUUGCAUUUAGCCAAAUGUGAUUCUGAAAUGAAGUGGGUGCGUUGAAGAAGCCAAAACUGACCUCACUAAUCUGAGCAAGCUUAUUUCUUGAUUUUGUUAUCAGUUUGGGUGCUGCAUGUGGAGGUAUGACAACUUCCAAUAUACUUCUAGUGACCAAUGUUACAUGCAUUCUGCAAAAUGAGAAAGUUAGGUUCAAAGACAGCAAACUAACAUGGUUUAAGAUAAAAUAGAAAACUGUUACCUAUUCAAUCCGCUCGGAAUAUCUUCACGACGCUCACUUUCAUUUUGCUUGGCUAUUUCACUGGCAGAUGCCCCAGUUUCCUACAAAAUAAACACCUUUUUAGGAAAUAUAGCAGGGGUUUAUUAAUCCAGGCUAUCCUGCUAACUUGAAAUUUCUCUGAGACAACUAUGACUAUUUGGUAUGCUAACUUUCCAGCUCAUUAGGAUGUCACAUUUAAGGUUGGGGAUUAGAAAAUUUAAGCUCAUCCGGAAACAGGCAAGAAAAGAAAUUAACUCACUUUUACUGGCUGUGCGAUUGGUUUGGCUGGUGUAUUUUGAUAGAUUGAAGUUGGAACAUCAUUAACACUGUAGUUUUGUUGAGAUGGAGAUGUGUUAUUGAAAGAAUUUUUGUCUGCUCCAAUAGUACUCCUAGCAGGGCUUGAGGCAGGUAUUGCUGGUGAGGGUAUAUCCUUUUGAAAGAACUCCCGAUAAGUAAAACUCCGAAGCCUCGAUGUCACUUCAACAAGAGCUUCUCUAGCUGCUUUGAUCUCUCCAACAAUCUGGAGAUAUGAAGAAUUACAUAGCAUGUCCAGAAAAAACAUAAGUCCAACAAUUGGAGCCCAGUACUACUCUAUCCAAUAAUUUGGAUUCUCUUAUACGCAACCAGGAAUUUAUACUAAGACCAUAACAUUUAGGAAAAUUAGUAGAAGCUGAUAAAAUUUCAGAGACAAGAUUCCCCUUGUUGCACACUCUGUGUAACUUGCAAAAGGAAUGCACUGCCCAAAUAUGCACCACCUCUGAUACACAUAUCAACUAAAGAACAUGAAAAUCAAAUUAGCUACCUUUUUAUCAUCAUAUUAGAAGCUUAAAAGACAAUUGUCAGACCUGUAUAACUUCAUCAGUCCUUGACACACAUGGUGGAAGUUCUUCCUUUGGUAGAAUCUUGACAGUAGCACCAGUUAUUUUCUGCAUAUCAGAUAAUAGUCCAUCUCUUCCUCCCAAACAUUCAACUUCAUCUGUUUGCACAACUAAACGAGUUGUAAUAACAUUUUCCUUCUCCGGAACAAGAUCAACAAUGCGGGUUUGAAUAUGCAAAAGAGCUUCCUGAGCAGGAAAUAGCUCAUCAUCUGGACCCUAAAAGACAAAUGUAAACCAGAUAUCUUUCAGAAACUUUUAAGCAGCAUCCUAGAAAGAUCAUUUUAUGAGGUUUAUGCUUGAUAGGGUGUAACAAAUUUCAUAAAUGAGGCUAAAAAGAACAAAGCUAAUGGAAUCCCAUUCUAGAAAACAGCAAACUGAAAUUAGAACUUUCAUAGUAAAAAAAAGGGUAAUAACUUACUGAGACCUGGACAAGAAAGAGUAGAGGGAGUACCUCAUCAGACGAAAUGAUUAUGACCUGUUCAUCUGAGCUGGCAACGGGAUUCAAAAUCUUCACAUCCACACCAAUCUCAUUCUGAAGCAACUCUAUAAUUCCAUCUGAUUCCCCAGCAACAGUAUCAACCUUGUCAACUGGACAUAGAAUUCGGAACACAAGAUCUUCAACAUACAUGACCUGCCCAUUAUCAUUGUUGGGAGCGAUUCCAGAUUCAAUGGCAUAUCCAGACGAGGAUGAGGAAUAGUUGUUGCUUCGACCACCGCUCAUACCAGCAGGCAGCCUUGAUCCAAAAGCAGACCCAUUUUCAGACGUCCUGCGAGCUGUACUGUUCAUGUGGGGAAUAAAUUCGUCAUCAGGAGGGCCGAACCGUUCAGGAGAAUGUGGCCGACCAGGAAAGUGACCCCGAUCACGAUGCUGGCUCUCCCUCAAGCGUGAGGAAAUAAUUUCUACAGCUUUUUUCACAGCAUUUAUUUCCCCAACAACCUGCAAGCAAACAAGUCUCAGACAUAACACAUAACACUGAGCUACUAAUGAUUGCUUUCAAGCAGGCAGUAAUUAUCCAAUACAAUCCACCACAUUUAUACAUUUACCACAAGCGAGUCCAAUAUACCUUAUACCUAAAUAUCAUGAUUUAUAUGACUCAGAAAUCAUCAGUGAUCAGACACAAGAAAAUUAGCUUACAAAUCAAUAGCAGCAGUAUUUUAACAAUCUUUAAUUAGAAAUCUCCUCUGUGUAAUACAUCAGAAGGAAAAAUUCAAGAGCAUUGUCUGAGAAUUACCUUAACGGCAGCAAUAUAUCAGAGGAACUAUAAGGAAAGUCAAAACAAUCGCAAGUACAAUAUCCUUUUACAUGUUCGAAUGAAGGCAAUGAACUGCAUAAAUGUAUCAAUUUCCAUAUUUCUUUGAAUUUUUUAAAAUCAUCACGUGAACUUCAAGAGGAAAAAUUAUAUAGUCCAAGAUGCAAAUGUUUUGAUGGUUUCAGAAGGAAAAUUGAGCAGGAUAUGCUCCAACAUAGAGAUGUGCCAUCAAAUCAGAAAGUACUAUGCUUGAAAGAAUGGCCCAAGAGUUUCGGUAUCACUAUGAUCACCAGGAGAUACAAGUUCCUGAUGGAAAUCAACAGUUAAUUUGUUCUAAUUGCUUUUAAAGCAAAAUUUGUUAAUGAUGAUUCAAAUUUAAAUGACACCUUGUUAAGCUCUCAGCUGAAUCAUUAAAAUGAAAUCUUUGACAUACAUAUUGACCUCCGACCAAUUGGUAAAUGCCGGACAUCAAAUACUUCAUUUAAAGCAUCUAUUCAAGGAAUUUUCACAGGUCAAAGCCCAUACAAUACAGGAGUAUCAGGCAUCCUGAUCGUUUGUUAAUAUGUACAUACACGAGAAGUAAUAUGCAACUAACACUAGACCAAUGUCUAUUUCAGAAUUGAGUAUGUGUGUCAGUGUGUGAUAUCACUGAUAUACACUCCAGCUGAUUCUAUCAUCAGCUUGUUGCUAUCCAUCCCUAUGCCAUCAUCACAUUUUAUAAAAAAGAAAGCACCAUGUCUUUUCAGAAAAAAAAGAGCCACUUUCUGGAUGCAAGCUCCAGUAAUGACAUAACCAGGGCCUCGGAAAUUUUCCUGUGUUACAAAAUGCAAUAAAUGUUACAGAUGCUGCUUUAGUGCAGCCUAAAAAUAAGUAUCUCCAUCCUUCCAUCACACCACUUCCCUUCAGAACAAAAGUACAAACCAGAGGAAGACCAGAGAUAAGGAUAGAGAGAGAGAGAAGAUUGGAUCUUCAAAAAAACACAAUCAAUCGCAAGAGAAACAGCUGAGUUGAUUCAUUAACAGGGUUCAUUGAAGAGAGAGUUGUCUAAGACACAGAAAAAAAGAGAAACGAAAUUUGAAUUUAUUGAGGACUAAAUGUGGUUAUUUAAAAAUCACAAAUCAUUAAUCACACAGGGGCAACAUCUAAGUUGCUUGGAUUCUUCAGUUUUGGUGCCGUAUCCGUGUCAACACGACAUGGGUGUGGGAUCCAUACCAGAUAUGGUCAAUCGAUUUUGGGUACUUUGACCCAAGUCAUCUGAGAAAUUCGGGACAGAUCUAAUGAUUUCUAUAAUCAAAACAAAAGUUAUAGUGAAAUUGAAGAAAAACGAAUACCUCGUAUACAGCAAGUUCAUCGAAUAGCUUGAAUAUAGCAAUUUCUAUGUCAGUCAUUUUCCUUCUAUCUCCUUCUAGGGUUCUAUAUUUUUUCCUUGGAUACCUUAUAAGUUUUCCACAUAAUAUCUCAUAAUUUAGACAAAUAACUCUAUUUGUAGAUUUUUGAAUUAUUUUUACCCGAACCCCCUUAAAAUUUAGAUAAUGAAGGAUCCGACCUCUAGAUCCACACCCGUACAGGACACCCGCUCACGAGUCCGAGUAACUUAGGACAAUAAUACCAUCUAAAUUACUGAUAAAAAAAGAAUCACAAAUAAUAAAGUUUCCCAUGAAUUAACUUGUCCAUAUCCAGCAUGUGAGAGGCACUAACUUUUUACCAGAAGAGGUUAAUGAAAUGUUAUUCACACUUCUUGACAAAGCAACUGAACAUAGAGAAGGGAGAUACCCUACUAAGCAACAUUAGACUUAGAUGAGCUUAAAUGGAGUGACAUGGACGAUGAGGAUUCAUAUAACCAAGACCAAUUUACUUGGAAUUGAAGUGUAGUAGUAGUCGUAGCUAUUUAUAGAUACACUACUCAGCAUAUAGCAGAAAACAAUUUGGGUUGUCAAAUGUAAUUACAACCUCGACGAGGAAUCUUAGUAGCUCAGUUGGUUGAUUACCUAUAAACUUUCACCUUGUUGGUGAGGGUUCGAUUCCCCACAUCAUAAUCCCCUCCCCCAUUUUCCCUUCCCCUACACCUACCCCCAAUUUAUUUUCUAAAAAGUAAUUACAACCUCAGUGGGGAAGCUUAGUAGCUCAAUUGGUAGGUUACUUGAACUUUCACCUUGUUGGUGAGGGCUCGAUUCCCCACAUCGUAAUCCCCUCCCCCAUUUUCCCUAUCCCUACCCCUACCCCCAAUUUAUUUUAAAAAAAGUAAUUACAACCUCGGAGGGGAAGCUUAGUAGCUCAAUUGGUUGGUUACUUGAACUUUCACCUUGUUGGUGAGGGCUCGAUUCCCCACAUCAUUAUCCCCUACCCCCAAUUUUUUUUAUAAAAAAAGUAAUUACAACCUCAGCCCAGUAUUAACAAAACUCAGGAAAAUAAAUAUAAGUGCUCAAAGAUCAUGGCUUAAAACAUUAGGCAUUCAUUAAAGUGUCAUUAGUCAUUCAUUAUUUAAGCCAUUUUGAUUCAGAUCUUUUUCAUUUUUGUAUCUGAAGUCUGAACUGAACUCAGGUAUCAUUAGUCUCAUUGUUAAGUGAACAAGUGUUUUUUUCUACUUAGGAUACAUGUUACCACUCCAACUUCUUAUGCAAUUUCAGAUGACUCCUAGCUCCAAUGGUAGAGAAAUUUUUCAAAGCUAUCUUUGUCAUUAGUUUCUUUCUUUCAGCAACUAUAUAUGUGCUUCAAUUAAUGGUAUGGUUCUGGGUCACUUUAUCAAUAAGGAUGUAUAAAGUCACGGUAUAAGGUCAUGAUUUUUGCUGGCUUGAAGUCCAAUUCAAAUUAACCUGAACAAGGGAAUAAGAUGUAAACCUGAACAAUCUCCUCUGACAUUGAAACGCAACGCGGCAAACUGUGAUCUCUGGGCAAAAUUCUAAUAUGUGUCUUAGUCUCGAUCCUCAUUUGCUCAAUAAUUUUCCCUCCUUUCCCUAGCAAACAUCCCACAUGCAUUCUAGUCACCACCAACCUUGUUACCGCACGAUUAUUCCCACUGACACCUCUCAUCCUGAACUCCUCCUCCACAUCCAUCCCACCACUGUACCCUCCUCCUCCUCCACCACUAUCACUAUCCAAAAUCCUCUCAUGUAUCAUCAGCAAUGCCUCCUGAGCUGGCGAAAACACCGGCAUUCUACCAUCAGGAUCCCUCCUCCUAGUGUCCGAAAUCUCAAUGAUACGUUCAUCAUCUCCUGGAAUCAGUUCAUGCACAUUCACCCAUGCCCCAGUAUGCUGCCUAAUCGCCUUAAUAAUACUCCCUGAUUUCCCAAUAACACCACCCGCCUUAACAUCGUGGCAUAAAAUCCGAUAAGUAGUAGUAACCAUAAGUGCAGGGUCCUGCAUUUUCCGACCUCCUCCACCUCCACCGGAAACAGGACGGCGGUGAUGAGUCGGUGCAUAAUGGUGAGGGUUGUUGUACCUCUGUUUAGUCCUGGGUAAGUUCUCGGAUUCGUAAUCCUGGUCGUAAUAGUAUCUCUUAGAUCUUGAUCUGUCCAUUUCUUUUGGGGUUUCAAAAGUGUAUCUCAGUGAAUCUCGGAAACCCCAAAUUACAAAAUUAAGCUAUUAGCGUUAGGGUUUUCUUCACAAUUUUCCAACACACACACAGCAGAACAGAGCUUUUUUCUUACUGAAAAAGUUCAAAAACCCUAAAUCAACUUGCCAUAAUCAAGCUUUUCUUCAUCAAUCUUCUUCAAUCUGUUCAUCAUUUUUAGCUUCUUUUUUUUUGUCUGCUUUAUUUACUUGCUGUACGCAGCUUUUUAUAAGCUUUGAUAAUUGAAGGUAUUUUUGGCGGUGUGGGACCCAAUACAGUGGUGGCCGUAUAACUCACGUUCACCGCUUUGACGUCGUCGUUUUUUGGAAGAGUACUUUUUUAUCGACUAUCUUAGUUUUAAGGAAAAGACGGAAGGUUCCUUCUUUGUUAGACUUGCCAGUCAUACUUGAAUUGGGGCCGCUGUUUGUUGGCCGAACUAAUUACUUCGGCCGAUAACUAACGAAUUAAUAUUUGUACUAUGUAGUUUGUAGUGUGUAUUACUACGUUUCUCACAUUAUUUUUGUGAUUAUUUUAAUUUAUUAAGUAUUUUUAUAUUUAUGAGCUACGAUAAAUGCAUGCUGAAAAUGUUUAAAAUGAUGAAGUGAAAUAAUAUGGAGAAAAUCUCGUUUAUAUUUUUUUUUUCUUGUUAGGAAAGAUUUCAAGAAUCUAAAAUUACUCCUUUUGAUUAAGGAAUAAAUAUAUUCACUGAUUGAUGACUUAACAAAAUUAGUUAAAUUUUUAAUAUGAAGCCUUGAAUCCAUUUGUUGAAAUUCAUAUUUAUUUCUAUUUACGAUUCAUUCUUCCAACUUUUUGAGGUACAAAAUGAAAUUAUAUAAACAUAUCUUAUUGAUAUAUAUUUAAAUUAUUUUUUUAUCUUCUAUGAAAUUCUUUUAUGAGCUAAUGAGUUGUUGUGUAUAUUGUGUAAGAUUUUCAUCUAAAAUAUUUGUUCCAUUUAUUUAAGCAUUUUCAAUAUUUCAUGGUGAAUAAUAUAUACAAACUAUAGUAAAUGCACAUUGAAAGAUCAAAAUGGUGAAUUGCAAUAUUCUAGAGGAAAAAUCAUAUAUACCUAUAUUUUCUAAAAUAAGCAGGAUUUCAAGAAUCUAAAAUUACUCAUUUGAUCAAGAAAAAUAAAUAUUCAUCAAUUCAUGGCGUUAAAAAAUUAAUGGUAACAUAGCUACUAUAUCUAUACAUCUUAAUUACUUAUUUCAUCAAGAAAAACAAAAAUUGACAAAUUCCUGGCGUUAAAAAAUUAAUGUUAACAUAGCUACUAUAUCUAUACAUCUUAGCUAUAUUUUUCAGAAAUUAUGACUAUGAAUUUUCUAGUAAAUCCUACCGUUACACAACAUUCCAUAGUUUCACACCUAAAUAGAAGCAUGUAUUUGUUAUUUUCUCUCACCAAAAUUUAGUCUUUUUAUAUUUCUUUCUCACCAAAUCUUACUCUUCUCUCUUUUCAGAUUAUAUUCCUAACUAUUUAGUACCUUAUACAUAACUUUUCUUCAUCUUCAAAUCAUGGUUGAUUUUCAAAGUUUCAUUUUGAUAUAUCAUUGGUGGAAUCUAGUGAUAUUAGGAAGGUGACUCAAGAUACAGGUUUGAACCCAUUGAGUUGAAGAGCGAAAGCCUCAAAACUGUACAAAAUAAGUUAAUUGAAUUUUUUCUUUAGAUACAAGUUGCUUUUGGUGUAUCGACGUUUUAGUAGGCUAUUAAAGAAUCAACGUUACUUCGUUGGAGAUAACCAUCUUUGAAGGUUUGCAAUUUUCCCAAAAUUCAUGUCAUUUUUGCUAAGUUUUUGUCGAAGUUUUCCCCAAAAAAUGUACUUUUUAUCAAUUUUGUAUUAGAAAUUUCCCAGUGACUUCUUCAAUAUUCACUCUCUAUAUAACACACAUGUAUGUCAUAUCUAUGAAAAUUGUAUUUUAAUUUGUAUGCUUAUGAUUAUAUUUAAGAACAUGUACUUGAUAUACACUCAUAACAUACAUACAAUAUACAUUUUAGAUGAUAUAUAUACAUAACAUGCACUUCACAUACAUUCAUAUAUAAUUGAUAUUUUCAUAUGUAUUCGACUUUUAUUUUUAAAAGAUGUACAUGUACAAUUAUAAUGUACUUUCUUCUUCUCAAAGUAAGUAUUGUUUUAGUUCUUUUCAUGCUCAUUAAAUAAAAGAUAUUAUUUACCAAAUUACCUUUAUUUAAUUAAUUGUUUAUUAAAAUUUGAGCACUAUUAAAAAACAUUAAUAUAAAAAUAUUUAAAUACUUAAUAACUAAUGUCUUGAAUGGAUUAUAGUUUUUUUUGGAGAAAAGACAUAAAGUCACCAUUGAAAUUGUCCCGAAUUUUCAAAAAGACACCUCAACUUUGCAGGUGUCCUAUUACCCCGUGAAACUAUCUAAAUCCACAAUAAAUAUACCAUUUUGACUAAUUUUAACACCACUCAUGUUGUCACGAAAAUAUAAGCGCGUGAAGACUCUUGAUACAACUUCAGACCAACGUAAAAUUGUCAUGUGGCACCCCAAUUUGACUUUUUUUAAAAAGAAAAACAUAAAAACCCAUGUAUUAAUUUUUUUUACUUUAUUAGGAAUAUUUUUAUUUUUUUCUAAAUCUCUUUUUCUCAUCUUCCCUACCAUCAUUAGCUUACCCAUAAUUUCUUGGGGCAUCCAUGUCUUCCUUCAUUUUUUUAAUUUUUUUUUUUUCCUUUCUGGUCAUUGUUUUUUUAAAAACUAAUGUUAUUGUGUUCAUUCUUCUUCUUCUUCUUUUUUUUUUUUUGAAAAACAAAUUAGUUCCUCCUACAAAUCAAGAUUGGGAUUUGGGAAUAGUAAAACUAUGAAAAACUUGAUUUGGGAGUAAGGAGUUGGAGAAAGUGGUGAUUUAAAUUUCAAAUUUUGACUUGAUGAUAUUUUGAAUAUUUAGAUUUAGAUUAUUUGAUGAUAUUUAUUUUCAUAAGUAAAUUAAUUGGUGAUAGUAAGUAGGCAGAAGUGAAUGUUGGUUGCUAAAGGGACACAAAGCGUAAAGAAAAGUCCAUUGCAAGACACCAACAAAGAACAUGAAAUAAAAUUUCCCAAGGAUGAAGGGAAUGGAAUAGAAGAAGACAAAAAAAGAAAAAAAAAGAUGGAAUAGAAAUUGAGGUGAAGAAGAAAGAGAAAAAGAAUAAAUGAAAAAGAAAACCAAAGAAAUCAAAUAAAAAUAAUUAAAAAUUAUUUUUAACACGUGGCAAGUGACUAUUAGUGCGUGACUUACAAAUAUUUUUGUAUAAGUGGUAUUAGGUGAAAAAUGGGGUGUACAUGCUAUUUUGAAGUUGUUCAAUUGGAUAAUAGGAUAUCCGCAAAGUUAAGAUGUGUUUUUAAAAAUUCGAAACAAUUUUAGUGGUGACUUUAUUUUUUUAUUUUUUUAGUUGUUGCUAAAAUUGAGAGGAGGAGGGAGUAUUGCAAAAAGAGGGCUUGCAGGAUGUUAUAUUUGCGAAACUGCUCUAAAAUUCCGAAAAUCAAGAAACAAAUGAUCACUCUAUGAAUAACCAAGGCAUAAGUGGAACAUUUUCAAACAUCAGGGGUCUAUCUGCCAAUAAAUUAACUUGCAAAGUUGAAAAAACAACAGUAGGAUAUCAUUUGCGUUAUCCCCUUUCAUCAGAGGGAGAAGAGCUCAAUCGAAGGGCGAAAAACAAUGGCAGCAUCAACCCUGACUUUCAGUAGCUUUUCAACACUACAAACUUUCCCCGUAAGCUCCUCUUUCUAUUUUUACUCUGUUUUAUAUUCGCCGGAAUCUUCGCCGAUUUCCAGUUUGAGUCUCCGUUCUUAAUUUGUGAAUCCGGAGAAUGAUAAUUUGUCUUCAAUGCAGAGAAUUGCAGCAGUUGAAAAUACUAAACGCGUGAACUUCUCCAUUCGGGCGCAGGUGAUAGUUCUUCGUUGCCGUCGCUAGUCUAUUUUCAGUUGUAAUUUUUUUUUUUUUUUGCACAAGUGUUUGUAACUUUUGUUUUAGUUUGGUGUACAGAGUGCGUCGAAUUCUAAAAAUGAAGGCCGUGGAGAAAGGCGAAUAUGGAGGCGAAGAAAAUUGGUGAGCUGAGGAAUUCUAAUUCUUGCGUUUUCCUGCUCGUUUCAUUCUGUUUGUUUUUAAUGUUAUUUUCCGCUGUGCACCAUUGAAAUUACCGGAAUUAGAUAUAAGAGUAGGAUCGUUUCGUAAGUACUGUGCUUGCCUUGUAUAGGCUAUAGUUGAAAGGAUUUAAGCUAUAUGCACAGUCGAUUUUUGUAGUAACUUCACUGAUUUUGGCAGGUUACUUACAUCAAGUCAUGCUUACUAUAGAGUCAUAGGCAUAGACAAUUGCUUGUAGUUAGCUUUUAAGUGAUUACAUUGCAUAAAUACGUUUUACACAGUUAACGUAUUUAGUAGAACGCUAGUGAAAACCAUAUUUGUGGUAGACAUAUUAGACUAUGCUUGAUCUAUUAUUGUAGGCUGAUAAUACUUUUCUUCAUUUUUGCUUGCUGUUUUGUUUUAAAGGUUGGACUUAUAUUUAUUUUUUUUGGUCAUUUUGGGUGCCUUGAUUUGCACGAUAAGUUUCUUGGUUAAUUAGUUUUUGAAUUCUUAGAAUUGUUACUUGAGCUUGAUUGUAUCGUCUUUAGAAGAUGGAUGAUAUCCACAUUUGAUGCCAUCUUUCCUUUUUGCUUGGGCUUUAUGUAUUCAUUAACUACAAACCACUGUAGGCAAAGUGAUAGAUAUUGAAACCUAACAGAUCUCCCGCAUCAGGGGUUCAAGCUUUCUGUUAGUACAUCACUUCUCUCCGGAUGCUAAUGCAAAACCUGACCCACUAGAAAUUGAAGGCAGGGGAAAUGAUGAUUUCACUGUAUUGCAUUUACGUGUUGAUCUUGUUUGGACCCUGCAAGUAGAUAAUACCAAGUUUGGAGAGUGUACUGUUAUCCUGACUUAGUUGUAUGUCCAAAUGAUUUAGGCUGAACACUAUAUCCCGAGUAUCUGUGGCUUGAGAUGUCAUGGUAAGGCUUCUGAUUUAAUAGGGAUUUCUUUGUAUGUAUGCGGCUAAGUUCUGACUGGGUUCUUUUUACAGUUGAUCAUGUCCAUACUCCGAUAUUCUGGUUUUGUGGUUGCUGCAAAGAAAAUUUUUUUACCAUCUGUAUAUCAUUUUUGAGCAGUAAUCUGAAUUAAAAGUACAAGUCAUUCCUUGGUAGAUGGUUCUGUCUCACGAUUUUACCUGCUAUUAGGUUUUCAUAUGAGGCCCCUUAGUAAAGAGUGAAAGCUAGCAUAUUCCCCAUAGUUUAAGAUUUUAUUUGUUAUUUCUUGAUUUGGGCAUGUCAUCCUUGCCCAUAGGCAUGCUAAUCUUCUUUAUGUCAUUCCAGUUUUAUUUGUUAUUUCCUGGUUGUUCAUGGAAUAAUGAUAUUUUUAAGGGGUCCUUUGGCUGAUGGUAUAGGAACAAUUGAUCUCAGCAUAAUUCUUGCAUCGGUCCAUCGGAUAAUAUAGUGUAUGGUCAGCCCUAUACGGAAAAAAUUAUCUCCGCAUAAAUAAAAUGCAACAUUUGGUUGGCAGUACUAAAUAAUACCUGAAUUAAGUUAUGCAUGAAUUUAAUAUUAUUUUAUGCUUGAUAGAAAUAAUAGCACAUGUAGUAGCAAUGUAGAGAUUAAACUAUUUAAAGAUAAACUGCCCUUUUAGACUAAGUAACUCAUAUGUGACAAUCUUUUCAUUACUAAUAUCACUGCAUAACAAUUAUUUCAUUAUUGAUCACAUCAUAAAGGAUUCUUGCAUUAUAAACCAAACGUCCCCAAACUUUGUUACCCAUAUUUGUCAAGGUUUGGCUUCUUGAGACAAACUUGUAGUUGUUUCAGCCUUUGCUAAAAUUUUCCUUUUAUCCAUCAAGCUUUAUUGCACAACUUUGGGGAUUUUUUAUAUUUUCUUUCCUCCGCAAAUUAGCCUUCAUCUCUUGGUUUUUCUCACUUCAUAUAGUGAAUCAUCUCUAGAGUAUCCACUAACAUUUGGUGAUCUUCUAUGGUCUGACUAGGAAUAGAGUGUAUUUAACCUUGAAGGCAUGCUUCGAUGGUGAACAGUUGGGUUUAUUGCCUAAUCAAACAUCUUUAUAGUUCUAGAAUAGAGGAUUUGAGUUGAUGAAAAAAGGGGUUAGCUCAGAGAAAGUUAUGGAGAAAUAAAUAUUUUCUUAUGUUUGAAAACCUGAGUAACAUACCUGUGUAUCUAAACUUUGUAGUGAUAACACUGAGUUAUUACUAAUCCAUGAAACUAACUCUAAAAGCUAACAGCUAGCUUACUAUAUAUAUUAAGUUAAAUAAUUACUUUGACUGUUUUGACUUCAAAAUAAUCAGUAUUCAGUAUAAUCAAAAUUAUGGAACUCGAGAUAACCCAUAUGUUAUAACUUUUGAAUUUUCUUUAAGUAAUAGAUGAACUCUCAGCAAUUCAAAGUACUACAUGAGCGUGGAAUUUGUUAUGUGUUUUUCCAGUCAGUGACUAUUGAUGGACCCCCUUACUCAGGGCUUUAUCUAUAUGUGUACUCUUGGUUGGUGGACUUCAAUCUUUGUAAGGAUGGAGGAUGGAAUCUUUAGUUCCAACAUCUCUAAGCUUUUAUGUGCAAGUGUGUUAUGUAGCUUUUCUUAGCUGAUAUUCUCUAGGAAAAACAUUAACUUUUUCCAAGCCCCAAUAAGAUAAACACAACAGUACUACUCCUUGAUAAUGGUUAACACGAUUGUCACGAGAUUGCAUACUUACGGAGAGAGGGGUAUACUGAUUAUUCUGUUGGAAAAAUAAUUCCACAGUGGUUGACUUAUCAUUUGUAAAACUUUGUACCUUUUUAGAUUAGGAUUUAAAAACUUCUAGCCUUUCUUAUUUCUCUUUCAAAUAUGAUGGUGGAAGGGCGAGAAAAGAAUCUAGUCUUCACCGUUAAUGUUUGUUUUGAAUCAUGCUGAAAAUUUGUCAUCCAUUAUACUUAUAGCCUGCAUAUUGGGCUUGAAAGUAUAUUUACUUAUUCUAAUUUUGGUUUCAGACGAAAAAAGAUGAGACAUUAGAUGCCAAAAUGGAAAGGAUUCCAUUCCUUGAGGAGCAAGUGAGGAAGAUAAGGGAUGGGGGUAAACUAUUGACAAUGGACAUUCAUAGAUUAUUGCUGAACGAGGACAACCGGUUUGAUUUUGUCAAUGAGAUCGCAGCAGAGGCCAAACAGUAUGUUGAGAACAACCGAGAUGAAUAUGGUGCGAAGAAAGCUAUCCUUCACGUGCUUAGUAAUCGUAUGAAUGAUGCUGGAGUUUAUCGCGCAGAAGCAUACAUGGACUCUGACCCCUUCAAGCCAGGCCCUGGAUAUUUGAAAGACGAACUACUAUAGAUCAUUAGUUAGCUAUGCUUUCUGUAUUCAUAUAGCACUUCUCUAGUAUAUUCACUUUCACCUGAGGGAUUUAAUGCCAAAAGAUGAGAGGUAAAAAAAUCAUAGCACUUCAAAAAAAAAAAACACUCUUUAUAAAGAUAGAAGACGAUCUGUUUCUGUAUUUAAUUAGUCUUUAAUUAUUCAUGGCACAAAGUAGUACCGUAUUCUAUUCAGAUACAUUUUCAUUUACAUAGUAGCUAAUUUCCCUUUUUAAGACAGAUAACUGGUUUCAUUGUGUAAAGCAUUACAUAUACUGACACAAACAAAAUUACCACCAGUUUUUGAAUUACUUAGAUGAUAUAAAUUGUUGUGGCACAAUUACUCAAUCAUUGGGCCACUACUUAAGGAAGUUUUCAGCCCAAAUUCUCUUGCCCAGAAACCACAAGAAGUACCCAUCUGGCUAUCAACUAGUGGUCAAUAAUUGGUUAAAAAUCAGUUAUGGAUUCUGCCUUCCAAGUCUUCUUAUCCUUGGUUAACCUUAACCAAGCAAAUUUCUGCUUACUGGGGGACGAUCUUACACUAACUUAGUCUGGUGAGAACCAAGACUCCUCCAUAUUUCAUCAAUGGCCUUAUCUAGUCCCCACUUGCAAAAGGUUCUUUUAAACAAAAUUUGCAGUUACAAAAUUGCUGCCAAAAAGAACAUAAUACAUAAACCUGUUGGUGGAGGUGGAGGUGGAGGUGGAGAGGGAAGAGGAAGAUGCUGCUCUGCAAUUGCAAUCGACGCGCCGACUCCUUUAACCAGUGUUUCUGGCAUCAGAUGGGGUUCAACUAUGGUCCAAGGUCCGCGUGAAGAGAUGGAAGAUGAUGCUGUCAUCGUUCAAUUGGAUGAUCUUGAUGGCUUCACUUAUGCUGCUGUUUUUGAUGGCCAUGCUGGCUUCUCCUCUGUCAAGUUCCUUAGGUAUGUCAAAAAUCAAUAAUUCUCGCAUAUGUAGUUGGCCCUUUUUCUGUUGAGCUGUUGAAUUGUGUGACUGUACUCUCGUCUAAAAGUCUUAAGCUUUAGGCCUUUUUAAUUGAGAUGAUCACACAAUUCAAUAUGAUAACAAAGCUGACAGAUAAAGAAAGAAUCAGACCCACAAAUGAGGUGUGUGUGUUAAAGAUAUGAUUAAGUAAGUGAUUCUUUUAUAUGAAGGAUUAUAUGAUUCAACAUAACUUACAAAGUUUCAUUUUUCUUUAUAUCGUCUUUUACUUGAUAAAGAGAUUUAUGUAGUUUCUAUGUGUCUUAAAGAAAGAUUUACUUUGAAGUUCUGCAUAGUUGGAUAACGGAUGUACUAUCAAUAGGGAAGAGCUGUAUAAAGAAUGUGUUACAGCAUUACAAGGUGGGCUGCUAUUGAACAGAAAGGACCUAAAUGCAAUCAGGAAGGCACUACAAGAAGCUUUUGAAAAUGCGGAUAGGAAACUCUUGAACCGGUAAGCUACUGCAGCAUGUAAAUGAAAAAAAAAGAAUCCAUGUAGUUUCAUAUUGUAUUCUGUAUGGAGGUUUAGAUGCUGUUUCUUUUUGGAAAAGGCUUGAGAGUAGCGAGAAGGAAGAUGAAUCUGGUGCGACAGCUACUGCUGUAUUUGUUGGGAAUGAUACACUGAUUAUCGCGCAUGUUGGAGAUUCAUCUGUGGUAAAUGAGCAUUCAUUUCCUGCUGACAAUGAAAUGCUUAUUGUUGAUAUGUUCUUUGAGAUGGAUAGGUGUUUUCUUAACCAUCGGAAUCCCCAAAUGUUAAUGCAGGUGUUGUCCCGAUCUGGAAAAGCAGAGAUACUAACCAAUUCACACAGGCCCUAUGGAAACAACAAGGUUUCUCUCCAAGAAAUCAGAAGAAUAAAUGAAGCAGGUGGAUGGGUGUGUUUCCUACACUUAGACCCCUCCCAGCGUCCCCUAGAAUAGUCGAUUGUUUUAUUCAUCUACUUCUAUUCAGCAUUCUUUCUUGAAAUACGGGUCAAAAACUCAAUAUCUACAAAUGCAAACAAGUAAAUGACUUGCCAAAAUAAUACUCCCUCCGUUUCAAUUUGUUUGUCUGGUUUUGACUUGACACGAAGUUUGAGGAAAUAAGGAAGACUUUUGAAUCUUAUGGUCUUAAACAUGACAUGUGGAAAGUUGAAAUGGCUGAGUUGCCAACAAAGGAAAGAAACAUUAUUUUUGGAACGGACUAAAAAGGAAAGUAAGACAAACAAUUUGAAACGGUGAGAAUAUAUGAGAAAGAGCAAAUUACGAGUUCAGUACUAUUGCUUUCAGGAUGAACAUUAUUCAGCGUGUGUGUUGACAUUGGAUGUAUAAUUUGUCUGCAGAUUGUCAAUGGAAGAAUUUGUAAUGAUAUUUCAGUAUCCCGUGCUUUUGGUGAUAUGAGAUUCAAGACAAAGAAGAAAGAGUACGUUCUUUCUGAUUUUCUGUUAAACUUAUAGGAAGCAUAUGCUCUAUUCAUUUGCAUAUCUUGGUUUCCCUGGAAAAAUAAAAUAACGUGUUCUUUCUGAUCAUUGCUUAUUAGGAUGCUGGAGAAAGGGGUUAAAGAAGGCAGAUGGUCUGAAAAGUUCAUUUCUCGGUAAUUUCCAUUUCUUGCUUGAGCUGCAAAUCAUACCGAUGAUAAUGCUGCAUUAGCUCAUGCAUCACCGAGAAGUACAAGCUGUCUAUUCUCAGCAUCAUUAUGACUUCUUGCAAGUAAAAGCUUUGUUUCUGUUUAUUUUUCUAGGAUUCAGUUCAGGGGAGACUUGGUUAUAGCAUCUCCAGAUGUUUUACAGGUGAAUCUUGGAUCAGAUACCGAAUUUGUACUAUUAGCAUCUGAUGGAUUAUGGGAUUACAUGAAAAGGUCUGGAAAAACAGGAUCAUUAGACACUACAUCCAAUUGAAUCUUUUAAAGAUCAUAAUCUCAUUAGAGUUUUUCGUCUUACUUUUUCAGUGAUGAAAUAGUAGAUUUCGUUAGGAACCAGCUUCGAGAGCAUGGUGAUGUUCAGGUAAGAAAUAUCAUCUGCCUAAUUAGUUUGUGUGCAAUGUUGUAGCACCAUAUAUAACUUGCCUCUUUUUCCCUCCUAACAGAUAGCCUGUGAAGCUCUUGCACGGUUAGCCUUGGUACGAAAAAUCUCUGCAUUCUGUACUUAACAAUCUCCAAACGCGCACACAAGUGUAUAUACUUAGCUCUUUGAUCUUACAUUUCAGGAUCGACGGACACAAGAUAAUGUCAGCAUUGUCAUUGCUGAUUUGGGGUAUGCACUUGAUCUUUUGCAACCAAUGUACUUUUACUGAUAAUUUCAGAAACUUAAGGUGUUGGUAGGUGACUUGAGAAUGAAAAUAAUAGUUUCUUUUAAGGCUAGAUAGUUCUUUGUACCCUCUGAGUAAAGGUAGCCGGACUAGGAUUUUCACCAACGGAAUUCAAAGUAUAAAGAAGUAAAAACACGAAAAAACCAAAGGGAUUCAACAUCUAUAACAAAUACAUGAAAAAUAAUUAUGACCUUUAUAUAUACAGUGUAAUUUCCCAACGAAAAGAGAUCAGAUGAACCCCUUGAUAUAUAGUCAAACUUAUUUAGCUGUGAAAUUCCUUUUGAUCAUCAUUAUCAACUACAAAAAAGUCAAUACAAUAAAGUUUUUGAUGAAGACAUAAUGUGAUUACACACCAUUAGAAAAGGUCAUUAAGUUGUAGUGGCUGAGCUUCUUUUUUUCUUACAUUUUUUCCCAAAGUUUGACAUGCUUUUAGUACUUAUAUUGUGGUCUACAUAUCCACAAGAUUUUUCUAUUUUACUUUUUUUUCCUAACAAUUUAGCACUAUAUAUUAUAGUAUGAUUAUAUAUCUACUUUAUAUUUGUUUCGAUAUAUCUACAGGAGGACGGAUUGGCGAAAGUUACCAGUAAAGAAACAGAAUGUUGUGUUAGAACUGGGACAAGCUUUAGUGACAAUCAGUUUUGUGUCAAUUGGAAUAUGGCUAUCAACAAUGAUUUUCCCUUAGAAGUUUGAUAGUAAUAUUAGUUAAUUGUAUAUAGUAUUUUUGUAUGAAAAGGAACAUAAAGCUUCAAUUAUACCUUGUACAUUUGCUUGUCAAGGUAAUUAAGUUAUGUAGCAUUUUAGAUAGUAUAUUCUAAAAAUAUGGAAAAUUCCAAAUUUAACUGUUGAAAUGUGGAAUGAAUAGUGAACUAACUAAGGGUCUAUGAUGACAACUUUAAUACAUAAUUCAAAUGAUCUUGGCCACCAGAAAUAUAUAUUUGUAUAGAAAAUAUGACACCCUUAUAAUGAUAAUUCUCAUUUUAAUGCUUUACAUAUAAUAUAACAAAAAAAUAUUGUACUUUUACCCUAUUUAUACAUUAUAAUUUCCUAACAAAGAGGAUCCAAUUAAACCCCUGACGCUACAUAACUCCAGCCAUUCAUCUAUGGAGGCAAAAGUCGGUUGGUUUGAAUUACAUGUAAUUUAGCUUUUUUUUCGAGAAUCACUUGGAUUUACCUUAUACAUCAUCAUAUUAUGGUUUUAAAAGUUAUCAAUAGUGAAAAAAAGUUUUCUUCUUGAGUAAACAUGUAUGCAACUUAAAAAAUACAUGUGAUUUCUGAACCCAUUGAAAUAACUUUAGAAUUUGUAUGCUAGAUUUGUUCCAUUUAGGCAAAAGAAUUGUAAUUAUAAGUGAAAUAUCAAUUAUUUAACCAAUUACUUUACUAAUAAUUACGCUACACCUAUGAAAAGGUCCACCAAUAAAUCCUUUGGCGGUUUCAAUUACACAAACCCAUGAUUAGUAGGUUAUACAGAAAUAACUUUACCGUUGCACCAAGACUCCUUCUUCGAAAAUGUAAAAAAUGUACAAACAAUUCUAAUCAACUUUCUUUAUUUCACUAUUUCAAAACUCAAACAACAUAAUAGUGCUAACAUAUAAUACUAUCUAGCUUACAUAACAGAGAGGCACAAGCCAAAACUCAAGCAACAUCUCAUCAAGAGACUUGCAAUUCUUAUUAUGCCCUGAGGCAACAAUAUUGUAAACAAAAUCUCUACACACUCAUAGGAGGAAUAAAGAUAUUGAAAUUAUGGGCUCUGGAUUCUAGAAAACGCAGCUUACUGAGUUUUUGACUAAUUAUUUAUACAUAUUUUACGUGAUUUCUUAACAUAAAAAUAUAGAAUUUGAACCAAAACUACUGAUUCUUUUGAACCCCAGUAUGCAAAGUUUCUUCAAGGGUGAUUGCCACCUCUCUUUCUAGUGGGAUCAUGCCUGGGAUUAGGUCCUGCAUAGUCAUAAUCUAACGUUGCAUCCACCACCAUCAACUUUCUUGGUAUUUCUCUCAUCCCCUGAUCAAAUUUUGCAACAAAAGUUUAAUUAUAAUUAGUCAAAUGACAUUUAAUUACUUGAGUUGUAAAUGAUUGACCUAAGAUUCUGUUUAUAUAUAUAUAUAUAUGCACUCUAACGAUAUAAAGGUUAAAGAAGGAUUUUCUUUUAUGAUUGUGGUGUCCGAGCCAGCUUUCGUGCAUAUGGACUAAUUCCACGUGAUACCUGCCACCUGAGGCGUAUCCAGGAUUUAUUGAUGAUGGGUGCAUUAUUACGAAAAGGUAGAUCUAAGAUAUAAAUUAGACUGAUUAGGUUCUUUUUACAUAAAAUCAUUAAAAAUUUAAAAUUAUAGGUCCAAAAUUAACUUUUAUCUUUCCACACCUGUUACAAAAUCUUAGAAAAAAAACUAAAACAAGAUAGAUAAAAGAUUCAAAUUUCUAACCUCACCUAGAGAGGUGCACCCAAUCAUCAUCGUACGACAUUAUAUGAUACUUCAAGAGUGGGGUCACACAUCUAUAUUGAAAUAUUUUUUUAAAAAUAUAACACUAUUAUAUAUGAUUUCGGGAGGGUACCAUGGGUUCACGUGAACCCGGUAACCCCCUCUUGUAUACGCCCUGGCCACAAGGGUAGAGCCAGCCUUGUGUUAGGCUUCGCCGGAAAAUAUUACUAUUUAUACAUGGUUAAAAUUAUUUUUUAUGUAUAUAUAGUAGAUGUUGAACCCCCUUCGAUUAGUUCGUGUGUUUAGCUUUUCAGAUUUUGAACCCCCUAAUUAAAAAUCCUAGUUUCACCACUGCCUGGCCACCUCCCACCAGCAACAGGUACCAGGUAACUCUAUCCACCAAGGCUAGGACAAAGGUUAAAGAAGGAUAUGAAUCUAAGCAAUGUAUUAUUUUCUUGUUAUAUUGACAUAAAUUAAAAUGAAAAAGAAAAAACAUAAGCUGUGAGAAAUAAAAGUUUUAAAUUCUAGCAAAUUGAAGAUUGUCUUGAUGAAACUUGUUGAGUAUUUAAAAUUGAUGAUAAUUUCUAAAUGUUGGUUAAAGCAAGUGAUAUGAAGUUAAGAGUUCAGUAUAGUUCAUAUAAAAAAAAUGACUAAUUUUCUUCGUAUAAAAUAUUUUUCUUGAAAAAUGACUUUUAUCGUACAAGUACCCUCUAAUACCUUUUGAAAUUUGUGAAUGCUGUUUAAGCCAUUGCCCAAGCUGCCUUCAACAGUACCUAAUAAAUAAAGCAAAAGCAAAAACAAGAUUAAUCAAUAUCAUACACAUUUUAAGCUAUAUGCAAGUAGAAAAUUAAAGGUGAUAAUUGUCAUUUUUAGCAACAAAAAAAAAAGAAUAAUCUAAACAACCUUAUAUGUAAGUACAAAUUACCUGAUGACACAAAGAUGAGAAAUAAAAUAAACAGAAUAAAUGCUUUGGAAGUAGGUCUCAUGGCUGUGUGCUUAUUCAAAAUUUCUGCUAUAAGCCAAAUUAGUAGAAUAGAUCAAGUUGAGAAGUGAAGGGCUUUUUAUUGUGAGGAUUGAAGAGGGUAGGGGUAGGGGUGGGGGGUGGGGGUGAUGGUGCAUCCCACCCAUUAGGGGUAUACAUAAUGAUGAUGAGUUGCAACACCUAUAUGCCACAAACAACAAGUCAAAGUUGCACUAAUAUGAUACCCAAUUUACUACAUAUCUAACAUGUUACAUCAACAUAUAUAGAGGAGCCAACAAUAUAAUAGUGCAAUACCUAAUAUAGUUAUCAAUGGAGCGGGUGAAAAUUGUAGUUUAAAUCUCAACAAAGAUUUUAAAAAAUACUACUAGAUAAUUCUUUCCAUUUACAUAAACAGUUGAUAGCAGAGUUAUUCAAGAAUUAUGUUGUUGGGAGGUAGCAAGUAUUCGAUAAAACAUUUUUCAUACUACCAACAACAACUACAAUAAUUAAUAUAUUAAUUAUGUCUCAUGAAUUCCAAUCAAGUUGGAAUCAGCUCUAUGAAAUUACACAUAAUAAAAAGAGUUAGUACUAGAAUUUCUUCGUAUUUUCUAUAGGCAUAGCUAAAUCUCUGAUAGGACAAAAAGACGCCUAACAUAUAUAUAUAUAUAUAUAUAUAGAGAGAGAGAGAGAGAGGGGCACUAGAGUAAAUGUACGUGUCGCAACAUGUCUAAAAUAUAGUAAACCCUAUACAAAUCUUGUCUUCUUAUAAUAGCCUAUUUUUCGCUAGGUCUGCAUGAAUUCAACGAUAUCUCGAAACAAAGAAAGAAAAAAACAUAGAAGCAAGUGUAACUAUAUAUGCAUGUGGACAUCUUUGACAUUGGUAUUGCAUGGCUAAAGUUGUGCCAUUUAGAGCUAAUAUUUUUUGCUCUCUCUGUUUACAUCACCUUUAUGAGAAGUCAAUGUGCUUUUCUAUAAUGCUUGUGUACCCCAAUAGCUCAUGCUGUGUAUCAAUCCAAUCCAUCUUCACAUAAUGCUUUUCCAUCUUUUCCCAUAUGUCCCCUCAUAUUACAAAAUCACUAUCAAACCCUCCAAAGUGCUAUUUAAUUGGAUGUUGCUCAACUCUUGCACUAUUCAUCAUUUGUUUUCUGUGGAAAGGACUCAUGACUUAUCUCAAACAUUUACAUAGAAAAAGAAAAUACUUAAAUAAGAGUGAAUCUAAGAUUUAAAUUUUACGGAUUCUAACCUUUUAGAAAUUGAACUUUAAACUUCAAUAGUAGAGAUGUACUCGAUAACUAUUGUACCAUAAGACUCUUUGAACUUAGGUGCACCUAUAUAAAUAUAACAUUGAUAUACAUGGUUUAGGAAGAGAAUUAUGAUGCACGUAAACCAACACUCCUCCCUUUAGAUACACCCUUGCAUACAAGCAAUAGUACUAAAGUUGGGAAUUCUAAGGAGAUGAUUCAAAAAAUGUAAGUAUGACAUAUCAAGAAUUCAAACAUGCGUUAAAGUAAGUUUUUGUGGGGAGGGGGUUGACUAGCCUUUUUACUUUUCACCGGAGGUGUACCUAUAAGUCACAUUCCCACUCAUCAAUUACGUUAUUCAGUUAACUUGCACUAAUUAUAUUGGAAUUAUAUCUAUCUUCUUUUUUGUUAUUAUUGUCAAUAAAUCUCUUCCAUAUUCAAUUAUAUUUUACGUUUGAAUAUUUAUAUAAAUGUUAUUCUGAUCUAAGUGGCCUUUUUUGUCCAUACUAAGAAGCAUUACUCGUUUCAUUUCAAAUUCAAGAAUACAUACCAAUUGAUCUAUUGGUAUGUACGCCUUUUAUUACCUUUUCUAUUCCUUAUUCUUCACAUACAAUUCAAUUCCUCUAUGGCAAAAUUUCGAUUAGUGCAAGCCUUAUGUGGCUUCCUUGGGGAAAUAUCAAUUUAAUUUGGGGAAAAGGGUCUGAAAAAUAUUUCAACUUUAGUCGAAAUUGUUGUUAUGAUACCAAACUUUAUGGAGGACCUUUUACCCCUUGCACUAUUUAAAAGUGUAUUUUAAACGUAUAUAUGUGCUCACAUGGACACAUUACUAUUUAUUGUUACAGCAAUUUCGAUCAAAGUUCGAAUAUAUUUCAGACAUUUUCCCUUUAAUUUGAGUCUCUAUCUCUUUAUUUAUUUAUUUUCAUGAUAUUGACCACAUUUAUGAUUCCUAUUUGCAUUUUAGUAAGUUGACAACCUUUGCCGCUACACUGAAGUUUUCUUAAAUAUAUAUCGUAUUUUAAGGGAAUUCAUAAUUUAUACAAUAAAUACAAUAACAAAAAUGUUUUAUUUAUACAGUAUAAUUUUUCAACGAAAAAGAUUCAACGUGGACCAUGUAGCUCUGUCAACUUCUUUUUACAGCAUCAUCAAUCCUGUUUGAUUAUUAUUACUCCGACCGUCUCAUUUUUUUAUGACACUAUUUCCUUUUUAAUUUGUCCCUAAAAAUGUUAUAUUAUCAUAAUUAGAAAUAAUUUAAUUUUAAAAUUCUCAUUUUAUCCUUAAUAAAAUGAUCAUGGUUAAACAAAUAUCUAAAAAUUAAUUUAGACCACAAAUUUGAAAAAAAAAAUCUUUUCUUUUAAAAUAUCGUAUCAAAUUAAACAAUGUCAUAUAAAACGAGACGGAGGAAAUAUUAUAUUUCCUUUCCUCAAUGGCCAAAAAGAAACACUUUCCUCAAAAGACAACUUUUCCCAAAAUUGACUUUUCCGUAGUACCAAAUAUCAAAUUAAAGUAAAUUUGUUAGUGCCCUCUAAUCCUAAUAUUUCGGCUUUCGUCACUUUUGAAAAAUCAACUAUUUUAUUUUAUUUUAUUUUAUUAUUAUUAUUUUGGGGGACAAGAAAUGGACAUUGGCCUACAAAUGAAAUGAAUGUAAGCCCCUUCUUUUAGAGGGUUGAAAUUUGAUAAAAAAGUCAUAAUGUGGAAGUGGAAGGCACUACCCAAAAGUAGACAACACAUUAAAUUAAUUUUUUCACUUAAGUCUGUUAAUCAUUCAUUAAGACAAGGUUUAAAUUAAUCAAAUGUUGAUAAUGAUGGUGUAACUUUAAUUGGGAGAAUUUGAGUACAAUUAUUAGGAAAAAAAAGGUUUUGUUCUCCACCAUGGUUCUUAGGUUGCCGGGGAACCUAAAACAACAUUAGUACUACUAAUUAAUGUUGGAUUGCCAAUUAACCACAACAUAGUAAAGUAGUACUAAUCACAUUAAAUAAUCAUAGUACUAAUCUUUAUAACAGACAGUAAAAAGCAUGACAACGUAGGAAACUAGACAUUUCUUCUUGUUCUAUGCUUUGAAGACAAUAAUGCCAGUGGCAAAACCACUUUGUUUCCAUCAGUGUUAUUUGACACUCCUUCGCUGAAAUUCUUUAUUUUUACAUUUACUUAGUACUUCUUUUGUUAAACUCCAAAUUGUCAAAUCCAAACUUGUGUACCAGGUAGAAGUACAAUUUCCAUCGAGAGUACUUACUUUUAUAAACUACUUAGAUACGUGAUAAGGUAUUGUAAAUGUCAAAGUGGUCAUGAUUCACUGCGAUUCAACCCUUUAUCACCUUAAUUCGUCAAUUAAGGGGUGUCAAUGUAGACACUAUAGUCUAGAUAUUAGAGCUGUUAAAGCACCAAGACACUGCUGAAUAUGGCAGCAGCUGUUCCUCUAGCAUGAUAACAAAUUCUUGUCCUUUAAAAUUUCGUCUUUUUUUUUUUUGCCAUUUACAUUGUUGUUUGGACUUACCUACUAAGGUAAGGAUAAGCUCACAUAUAGUUUCUUAGUACGACAGGUCAAAAUGAUGAAAUGAAAAAUAGAAUUUUACUUUUUAGAGUUUCCCCCUUCUAUUAAUACUUUAUGUCUUGCAUUUUCUCCACUUGUAUUAAGUCACAGCGUCAAAGCUUGAUUGACAAUUUAAGGUUCAUGCACAUAGCAUGUCAAUUAUGGGUCAAAAUUCCUAAAUAAAUAUGCCAUCUUCGUAGUUCCAUAUUAAUCGUUUUCAUUCCGAUCGAUCAAUCAGUCAAGACGGCUAGCAUAGUUUAUUUACUAGCAUGGAGUGGUGGAGGGGGUGGGGGAGUCGUUCUACUAAGCCACCUCACUAGAUAUUGCAUGUUCUAUUUCACAUUUUCUUCCCACACAAUCUUUCUUCUGGUAAGAGAUUGUGUUCCGCAAAUGGAACAAAAUUUUCUCCAUCAGCAUUUGUUUUUUUGCAAAUUUGGAUAUGAUAAAUAGAAGUUGAGCAAGUAGCAGAUAUCAGUUGCCUCUAGUAUCAAGAAUACUGGGGAAACGAUUUCAACAUUUCUAAACUGGACAAUCAAUGGACACAGCAACAUGUGAAUCUAUUAAGAAAAAAACAUCUUCAAUUCCCAUUGCUUUGAUAACAUGCCCUCCGAAAUGCAACCAAAUAUAUUAUGAUAUUACGAUCACAAGCAUGAUCCUUUUCUUUUAAGAGGGGAAAAAAACUGUAUCGUAACAGCAUGAAAAAGGAAGCUUACAUGCUUUCAUGGAUGCACAAUCUGCUACUGAUGUGCAAAAAUACCUACUGCCGGAAAACAACCCAGAAAGAGAAAUGUGAAGAUGCAAACACAAUUCCCUAUAUAAAAUUUUAAAACAAGUGGGUUACCCCAUGACCAGUAUAUGCAAAAGAAAUGAAUGAGAUGUAUGCAAUUUGAAAUAAAGAAAAUGCAGCUGCUUUGACCGAUGACGACUGACAGACCCAAAGAAAAAAAAUAGAUGGGACAAUAUCAAAGAAGCUUUGGCUUAAAGUAUCAGGACUACCAAAACUUUGACCUUACACAUUAUGACACUCAAAGCCCUUGGAGAAGACGGCAGCACAGGGAUGAUCUGGGGCACCUCUUCUUAGCAGAUAGACCCACGGAAAACCCAACAAACCGGCAGCCUGAUUUGUUACUUCAGUAAGUUACAGCAGACCCCUUUCCACCCCAAUACACAUCACCAGCAAAGUCACAUGCUGAAUGGAAGGACUUUCAACUCUUGAGUAGUAACCCCCUCUCCCCCUCCCCCGGCAAAACAAAACCUCGACCCAUGGUGCUGGCGCAUGAGUUAACGACAACAAGAGUGUAGAUUUCUCCAUUGUCAGAUAACAUCAAUGACAAGACUCGUGAAUGCAAUCUCGGACCCAACUGGACACAACCAUAUGCAUGCAUGGACUUACUAAAAAAAAAAGUAUGUACCAAAGCGGCCACCUCAAACUGAAAUGGCACGAGUGAUGGCCAACUUUGCCCACUCAGCAGAUUCCUUAAUCAAAUGGUCAUCUGAUGACAAGCAUUCAUUCAAGAACUCUUUGCUUGAUAAUGAUUGUUGAAUCAACGAACCAGCAUUACUGCCCAGAGUAUCUGCUAGAUCUCCUAGAACCCCAAUAGCUGUUUUCAUCACCACAUCAUCCCUACAAUUCGGAAGAAAACGAGGAUAGAUCCAGGAAAUCAGAACAAAGAUCACAUUAUUAAAUAGAGAAAAUGUACAAUGCAGAGGGAAUCAUGCAAUACUUACAUGUCUUUCUCCAUGUAAAUGCUAUCCAGGAAUUGCAGGAUAUGAGGUGCAUAUGGGAUCAGAAGCUGUGUUUUAGGGGAAUUCUUGAAGCCCUGAAAUAUCCCUGAAUAAGCCUCCAAGAUUCCAUUCCUCAGAAGAUUUGUGUAUUCUACCAUCUCAUCAUCUGCACCAGAUGUGUGGGCAGACAGCUCAGCAGCACUCUGGAGCAUUGGCAUGGCAUACAUCAAGUACUUUUCAAAAUUCUCUCCUAUUGCCAAAGCUAUGUCACCAAGGCAUGAAAAUAUUGGAGGCUUUACAGAUCGAUGCAGCUGGUUACUUGACAGGUCCUUGAGAAGCUGAGUCAUUAUACCAUCACAGUAAGGUAGGAUCUUAUCUUCCAAAGCUCUGCAUACAUCACCCACAACACCAACCGUAACAGCACACACUUGGUACUCCUCGAAAUUCUGAAGGCCCAUUUCCAGGUACUUGUAAAAUUCAGGCAUGUACUUGGCAAAGUCGGGACCAGUUGCAUAGGCUAGGGCUCCAAUGGCAAGCAUGGCUUCCUCAUGCACCGUAGCAUUUCUACAUGCAAAAACCCUGAGAAAAAGGUUCAUGAUCUGAUCUGCAUACUGCAUGAAAACAAACUUUGUUGGCUCGGAAGCCCCUAAUUUCUGAAUAAUGACCUGUAAGCAACCACACAGAAGACCUUGCAACUCACUCUGCUUCUCUCUCUCGUCAGAUGAAAGCUUCUGACCUUCGAGAGUCUGGUGCAGCUCUGUCAUAAUGAUAGGAGCAAGCUGCAAAACCAUUGGAGCUGUUUCAUCUGUUGAACACCUAACUACUUCAUUCAAUGUCUCAUAUGCCGCAGUCCUGAGUCGCGACUCACCAGCAUCUUCUCUGUGGGUAACUGUUAGAAGCUCUUGCACGAUUUCCUGGAAAUAAGGUGUCAAGGGAGAUGAUGCACCCAUAUCCUCAUAGCCUUGAGCAAGGAAAUAGAGAGCACCACAGGAUUUUUCAGCAACAUUUGGAGCAUCUUUCAUGGCCUGAAGUAGAACUGUGAUUAUCAGCUGGCAAUUUGCAGGAGUAAUAAUGGGUGUCUCCACUGUAGAACCAUGAAGAAACUCAAAUAUCCUUCCCAGGGUCCAUGCAGUUGUAUCCUUCACAUGGCUAUUAGGAUCCUUUGUCAACGCAGUAAGCAUGAAGUUCAAUGCAACAUUAACAAGAGGUGUCAACUUGUCAGGAGAAGGACCUUCCAAAAUAGAACCAAAGGCAUAUGUUGCAGCCUCUCUUUGUCUCCAAUCAGGCUUUGAAAUGUUCUCUUGGAUGAAUGGCAUAACAAGUGGAACAAUCUCAUCCCCUACAGUCCGGGCCACCAGACCAAGGCAAGUGCCUCCAGCCAUUGCAAGAUUCCAAGCACCUUCAUCCUGGUCCUGAUCUUCUUCCUGCUUAAGAAGUGUCUCUAAUAGCAUAGGCACAAGAGCAGGGAGAGCCUGCUUGAUGAAAUAAUAGCAAGGAACAUCAGAAUCUGCAGUGAAAUCACCCCCAAAAUCUUCUAAAAUAUCAAUCUCCUCAUCACAGAUUGAGCUCCAAAAUUCAAUAGCUUGAAGAGCAACAGGCUCUACAUCCUCUUUAACAGCCUUUGCUGUAAUGUUAAAGAUAUCUUGGAUGUAUGGAGCCAAUUUCUCAUAGUAUGUUGAUGAAAUGGAGACUAAACAUUCAAAGGCAGCUUGUCGAAUUUUGACUUCUGGGGAUUGAGUAGCCUCACAUACAACUCUCAUUAUAAAGUCACGCUCCAUGUCAUUGCUGAAGUUUGCUUGAGCAAAACUAAGAGCAUUAUAUAAUGCUCGGGUAGCAGCAAGCCUCACAUCAUUGUUCCCUUCUUCAGCGUUCAUACCCUGAACUACGGCUGUAAGGAUUUUAUUUACUUGAUCCUGAUCCACAACUUCGGGAGAAACUUCUUCACAUAAAUAACCCAGUGUCUCCAAAGUAGCUUGCUUGACAUGAGCAGGGACCUGGUGAAUAUUUGAAAGGAGUGACCCAAUCAACUCAGGCCACUGCUUCUGAGGAAGCUCAAUGCCAGCAACCUUAGCAAUGACUUGUGAUGCGGUUGAAUGAGCAUCAGGCACAGGAGAAGAGAGUGUCUGUAAUAAACAUGUCUUUAUCUGGGCCUUCACUGCCAUAUCAAGUGAUAGCCAUCUUUGCACAAGCUCAAAUUUCCUAUGUUGUUCCUUGGCAUCCAAGGCAUUUUUAAGUAUUAAACCAGCCAACUUACGACUGUCAACUGGCUUCUCUUCAUUAGCAAGCUCUCCAGAUAGAGACAACAAGAAACCAGGAAGAUUUUGCUCCUGAAACUGUUUUAGAGUUUCCUCGGAAUGUUUCCGCACUGUUGAAUCAACUGACUGUGCAUUAAGAAGGAUCUGGGUGACUUCCAUUGCCAUAGUAUAUCUGCAAAAACAUGAUAAGGUCCUAAUUAGAUUCCAAGGAACAUCCAAAUGAAGGCACCCGAAGUAAUGCUCCUAAAAAAUCAUUAGACAGAACGAAAGUAGAUAAAUUUAAUUAAUAGAAAAAAAACGGAAAUAAGCAUAGCAACUGUCCAUCGGAAAACCAUGUUGCUAGAUUAAUGAAGUCUUUCUUAAACGGAAAGAAAUGCAAUCUAGCCUCAACGAGAAGUUCAAUGGAACCAACCAGGAGAAUCGAGUUAGGGAUAAACAAAUGGAAAACUUUAACCAAAUCGAAUCUAGAAUAAGUAACCAUAUAUAGAAAAGUUCAACAGAUCAGAUUUACACAUCACAUAAUAUACCCACCAACAGAUUUUUUUUCUGGAUAAGGCAGUGAACACACCACCAUACCCAGACCCUGUGGGAUUACACUACCAGACAAUACAUAGCUAAAAUAAGACGGUAAUGGACCAACUUAAUUACCAAUCCAGCAAGAAAAACUUAUGGCAUGCCUAUUGCCAAUGCAAAAAGGCAACAUUUUUUCUUUCAUUAGUUAAGAGCAACAACAAAUCACAAAAAACGAGUUCUUCAACUAUCAACUGGAGAUAAUGAAAACUCACUAAGCAUUGCCAAAAACAAGUAUAAACCAUCAUAGAACCCUCAAAACCAAAUUACCUGUUUAUCAGCAUUUCCCACUACAUCAAUACAGUCAUAACUUCACCCCAAAAAAAAAGCUUUAAAACUCAAUAAAUCAGCAAAAGUAAAUCCUUAAUGAAAAUAACCCAAAGUUAUCAUUGCUGACACCACCAAACUAACUAUAUUUACGCACAAACCAAACUAGGAAGAAAAUUAACAGUUACAAUAAGAUCAAAAAGUAUUAAAUUAAAGCAGAAAUGCAUAGAUCGCAGUUCAAAUAUCAAACAUUCAUUGAAGCGUGAUAUUUUCAAAAAAAAAUGAAACAUCUUUGAAACUAAUAGAUCAAACAUCAAAUUCAGUUGAUAGAACCCUAAUCCAAAAUCAAAUUAGAUAAUAUUUGGAAAAAAACAAAAAAAAAUUGAUGAAUAACCUGAAACUUGUGAAGAUCGAACAGAGCAAAAGCGGCGCCCCCUGAAACCCUAACAGGGAGAAAAAAAAAACAGAAAGGGAGAAAGUGAAGAGAGAGAAAGAGAGACAGGGGGGAGUUCAAGAGAGAGAGAGAGGAAGAAGAAAACGCGGAUGUAAAAGCUGGAAUUCAAUUAUGCAAAAUCUAAUAUCUGUUUCAAUUAUUAUUAUUAUUAUUAUAUUAUUAUAUUAUUAUAUCAUAUUAUUUCUGCUUUUAUUUAAUUGGGUUUGCGAUCGGCUAUUGCCGCAACUAGCCAGCCUAGAUUGAGAUCAAAUUUAUUUCUUCAGUGGACCCCAUGUCAUAAGCGCGGAAAAUUGAUAGUUGGUUAGAAUUAUGCAAGUUACAUAUUAUGUAUACGAGUUUUAAAAUUACAAAUUAAAAAUCAUAUUAAUAUUCUAUAUGAAUAAUUUAUUUUUUUAACUAGCUAUUAAAUAUUGUAAAAAAUUACUACAUACGGAUAGGUUGCAUGUCUUGCCUCUUUAUAGGUGUGUUAAUAAUGAUGAAAGGGAUUGUUUAGUAGAUAAGAAAUAAGUUAUUUGUUUAUUAAUGUUGUAUAACUUAUAUGACGUUUGAUAGCUAGAUAGAAAGUAAGUUAUUCAUGUAGAAAAUUAAUAUUACGUUUGGUCGAUAAUUUAGAAAGUCGCAUAACUAAUACAUGUAUAAGUUAUGAUGAAAUUUAUAUAUUAUUUUAUAGAGGAUAGAAAGUGAAAUAACUAAUAUAUAAAUAAUUAGUCUCUUCAUAACCAAUUCCUACAUUGUUAAUACAUGUAUAACUCUAACCAACUAUCAAACGAUCACAUAUUAUUUGUUAUGCAUUACUUAAUUUGGCUCGAGUUUAGAAAAUAAUUAUCAAAGGUUAAGAUUUGAUUUGCUAAUAAACAUUUGACAAAAGAAUGUCAAAAUCAUAAUAACCCUUAGCAUAAGUUGGCUUUGUCGCUACAAAUAUGUAAAGGAUUACGAAAUCAAAUUAAUAAGGCAAGUUAGAUGUCCCACAUGAUUUUACAUACUACCAAUUUUAACUUUGAAUUUAUAAAGCAAAAAAAAAAAACUUUGAAUUUGAGCCCCUUUGGGAAAGUUGCCUUACUGGCAAGAUAUGAUUAAGCACAUGAAAUUAUUGGAUACAAUAUCAAAAUAUCAGAUUGCCAACUUGAAACCAAAAAAAACCCACUUCUCUUCUUUCCUUUUUUUUUUUUUUCCCUCCUUGUGUUUUGGGAUAGUUUAGGGAGUAUUCUUUCUUCUGUAUAUACAUGCCCAACAUAGACAAAAUACAAGCUAUAUAUAUAGUCAUCUCAAGGUUGAAAUGGAGUUUUUGUAAUCCCUUGAUUUCAUUUGACUAAUGAAGAACGAAAUGUCAAAUCGGUGAUUAAUGAGAUGAGUUAUCUCAUUACAAUGAUUUGGAUACAUACAAUAGUUGAAUUUGGUUCAAUGUUUAUAACAUUGUGUUAGAGUAGAAAUCAUGGAAUUAUUAUUUUUUGAUGUUGGGCUCUAUAUUAAAGUUACUCAUGCGCAAUUCUUACUUGAACUAGUUUUUUGUAUACCCAAAAAUAUGUAUAGCUAAGCUUAUAACAUGAUUUAAAUGAUUGAUGAAUUGAAUUGACUGAGCGGAUAGUAAAACGAAUUAAAGUAAACAAUAUAUAACAAUAAAUCAGAUACAAAUAAUCAAGAAUAACAAUAAACAAAAUUGUAUUAGCCUGAUUUUGAAGUUGUCCUUGAUGAAGGCCAUUCCAAAGGAGUUUCGAGCGUGAAGAACACUAUAAGACUUGAUAGAAAAAAGAAAUAAGAAUGUUGAUCUUUAAUUUGCUUCAUAUAUAUGUAUGUGACAAUUGUUAAACUCAAAAUUGGAUGUCCUUUAAUAUGAAGAUCAAGCUCCUUUUAUAGGGGUGAAUCCCAAGAUUUUGAUAAUCAAGAAGUAUUUCCUUUUAAUUUACAUUUUGAAUGAAUAAUCAAAUAACAUUUAAUUAUAAGAUAGGAAUUUUAUUCUAUAGAGAUAGUUCCCAUUAUAGUCCGUCAAAGACUUUGGAGAAUGCAGCAAAAAACAAACAAAUUGUUGGAUCGGUCACUUAGGCUUGGAGUUCAAAUUUCUCUAUGAACCUUCCUUUUCGUGUAUACGGACUCAUUUCUUUGUGAUUCCUUAAAAGUAGACUUCCUUAUAAAGAUUAUUUCUCAAUUGUCAAAACAUGUAAAUUAUUAAUAUAAUUUUGUGAUAGUGUAAUUAAAUAUUUUUUUGCUACCAACAUGGGUUGUGGUGCACUGGUGGAGUGCGCGAUUCGAUUUAAUCGGAGCUUCAAUGUGAACUUCAAACACCAGAUGAGAAACAAAAAAAAAACCAUUUUUUACUAAUUACUAGAUUUGUCACUAUAAAAUUUAUGUCUAAUCUUAAAUAAUAAUAAUAAUAUUAAUUAUCUUGAAAUCCUGAAUUCACCUUUCAUGUUUAGGUAUGCAAAACAUCAACACACUGUCAAGCACAAAGGCAACUGCCACCAACAAGGAGCACAUGAAUCCUACUUGGUGACUCUCCAUUUGAUAAAUCAAAACCUAUUACGAGUAUGAUACUUUGUUGAUAAAUAGUCAACAUGGUAAAGAGCAAGUUUAUAACUAGGCUUAGGAUUUCAUAGACAAAUGACAUAUGUAGUGUAUAUUCAAUUUCUUGAAAGCUAGCUAUCUAUAGUUUAUUCAACAUGUUGCGUUAGUCAGUGGCGACAAAUAUAUACACUUUGUUAAUAAAGAGUCAACAUGGUAAAGAGCUAGUUCAUAACUAGACUUUUCAUCGGUAGGAUUUCUUAAACAAAUGACCUAUAGAGUGUAUAUUCAAUUUCUUGAAAACGAGCUAUCUCUAGUUUCUUCAAUAUGUUGUGUUAGAUUCAGUGGCGGAGUCAAAAAUUUCACGAAGAGUGUUUAAAAAAAAAAGGGGAGGAGGGGGGUUACUGCUAGUGAGAUCCGAACACAUGAACUCUUAGAGAGCUGUCAAGACAUCCAAAUUUUUAUGUUCCCAACAUAAGUAUACAAUUAUAAUUUUCAAAUAUUCCUUUUUUCAAAUUUUACAAUUUUUAUGUUCGAUAACACGUUAAGAAAUCAUGCUAAUAUGUAUUGUUCAUUUUUUUUUUUUUUAUCGAAUAUCUCUAAGGACAAAAAGAAAAGAAAAAAGAGUUAAAGUAUAAGUGAACGUUCUAGCAACCUCCUGAAUACGUGGAAGUUCUUAGGUGUGAAGCGGUUAAUGGUCUACCAAAUACACCUCCUCUUAUCACCAUUCAUCACCCAUUCAAUUAAUUAAUCCAACGGUUCAGAUCUAUCCAUCAAUUAAAACAAAGCUGAUUGGCUCCUACCAUGUGUUCCUCAAUUCUAAUUGGUCCACGUCACGAAACGUGACAUGCACAAAAACAAUCAGCUCCGAAUACGUGCAAAAUGAUGUGGCAGCACCUCAUUGGCUAAAAUAUCGACUUCUCUUAUAUCUGAUUGGUCCACGUCAUCGUGAGUGACAUUGUUCGUCAAAAUUCAAAAAGAAGACCGACCUUCUUUAUAUAACAGAGAAGGAGGCUCGCAACUAUAUAUAGCAGCCGCAGGGCUUCAAUUGUUGAUCGGAAAAUCGAUAACUACCUUUAUCUGUCAUCGGAGAAGAGAAACGAAGAACACAUUGUUCGUUUGGAUCUACGAGCUAUGGCUACUGCGUUGAAGAGACGCGCAUCCUCGAUCGUUUUCGCAAUCGUCCUUUUAGGUAAGCAUUGGUAUCCUUUUUCUAUAGCUGCUUCGUUUCUGUAUACAUUGAGAUUUGAGCUAGUUAAGUUCUGUGUAGAUUAGGAGAAUGAGGAGAAUUGAACCGAGUGAACGCAACAAAUCAACAAUGAUUAACUGCAAAUUCGAUGUGUAUUACUUUUGAUGUGUUAGUUGCAGUUAGUUGUGAUAUGGCUAUGUAUAUGUUUUAGCAUCAGAUCUGCUACUUAGUUUUUUAAAAAGAGUUGCUGUGUAUGAUAUGUAUGUUUUUUUUUUUUUGAGAGAUUAUGCAAUGAGGAGAAUUGAACAGAGAGACCUAACAAAGCAACAAUGAUAACUGCAAGGUUUAUGUGUAUUAUUUCUCGAUGUGUUAGUUGUAAUUAGUUUUGAUAUGACUUUGUAUGUGUAUCAGUUCUCAGAUCUGCUACUUAGUUUUUCAAAAGAAUUGCUGUGCAUGAUAGGCCUGUUUUGUUUGAGAGAUUAUGCAAUGAGUAGAAUUGAAUCGAAGUUGAUGUGUGUUAGCUGUAGUUUGUUUUGUUAUGACUAUCAGUUCUCAGAUCUGCUACCAGUUUGGUCAUUUAUGUGUAUUUGUUUCAAUAAAACCAUCCAGAUUUUAGAGUUCAGAUUUUCGGUUAUUUUCCACUUUUGCGGCUAUUAUGAUCAUUGACAUAGUUUUGUUUGUUAAAACUGUUAUUGUGUAAAUAGAAAGGGUAACUUGAACAAUGUUAUUUGUUCAAGUGUUGUUCUUCUUUUGCUUCUCUUAAUUAAUGAUGAUAAAUCCUGAACAAUAUGUGAAAUAUUUGACCAUCCUGAGUUGUCUAGCCAGCUACAAUUUUGUGUCAACAAGUGCUUUAAUACUAAAUAUCCGACGUAGAGAAAGAAAGAAUAGAUGAUGUAGCAACUGCGUGAAGAAUAACAUUUAUUGAACUAGUUAAACGAGUAAUAACUGUACAUCCAAAUUUCUCCCAACAAUGUCUAGGAAGAUUUUUGAUCUCUGCAAAUUCUUUUCCUUUCCCAUGAUAUUUUGUCACUUCAACAAGUAAUAAUUUUAGAUCGACAGUCACGUACAAUGCACUAAUUGGGUUGUUGGGUUUGUCAACAGGGAGCUUGUUUGCAUUCUCUAUAGCUAAAGAAGAAGCUACCAAGUUAGGAACCGUUAUUGGCAUAGAUCUUGGAACAACUUAUUCUUGUGUUGGAGUUUACAAGAAUGGACAUGUUGAGAUCAUAGCAAAUGACCAAGGUAAUCGUAUCACCCCUUCAUGGGUAGCCUUCACUGAUGGUGAGAGACUGAUCGGUGAAGCAGCUAAAAAUCAAGCAGCUGUUAAUCCAGAGAGGACUGUCUUUGACGUCAAAAGACUUAUCGGGAGAAAGUAAGGCAUUGUUCUUUAUUUUGUAGUGUGAAAGUCUAUCUGAUAUAAUCAUGAUAAUGACGGCUUAUAUCUGUGACAGGUUUGAAGACAAAGAAGUACAAAGGGACAUGAAACUUGUUCCCUAUAAGAUUGUUAACAGGGAUGGGAAACCAUAUAUCCAAGUUAAAAUCAAAGAUGGGGAGACCAAGGUCUUCAGUCCUGAGGAGGUCAGUGCUAUGAUUCUGAUCAAGAUGAAAGAAACAGCAGAAGCUUUUCUUGGAAAGACAAUCAAGGAUGCAGUUGUCACUGUUCCAGGUAUCAUCAAACAUCCCCCGUUUCAGAUAGAUAAUAUCUGGUUCCAAACUUUUGUGUCAUACAAUUGCUGAGCAUAUAUGUCCCAUCUCUUUUGAAAAUGCAGCAUACUUCAAUGAUGCCCAGAGGCAGGCCACUAAGGAUGCCGGUGUCAUUGCUGGUUUGAACGUGGCAAGAAUCAUUAAUGAACCAACUGCAGCUGCCAUUGCCUAUGGAUUAGAUAAGAAAGGUGGUGAAAAGAACAUCCUUGUCUUUGACCUUGGUGGUGGUACAUUUGAUGUUAGUAUCCUUACUAUUGACAAUGGUGUUUUUGAGGUUCUUGCCACAAAUGGAGACACUCAUCUAGGAGGUAAUAAUGAAGUUCAAAGUAUUAAAAAGAACUAAUAACUUUCAUCUUACCAUCAGUUUUGUUCACAAGUUGUCUGUUGUUUCUCACAGGAGAGGAUUUUGACCAGAGGAUUAUGGAGUAUUUCAUUAAAUUGAUAAAGAAGAAGCAUGGUAAGGACAUUAGCAAGGAUAACAAGGCUUUGGGAAAGCUCAGGAGAGAAGCUGAGCGUGCCAAGAGAGCCCUGAGCAGUCAGCAUCAAGUCAGGGUAGAGAUUGAGUCUCUCUUCGAUGGUGUGGAUUUCUCUGAACCACUUACCCGGGCUCGUUUUGAGGAGCUGAACAAUGAUUUGUUCCGUAAGACAAUGACUCCUGUCAAGAAGGCUAUGGAGGAUGCUGGUCUAGCAAAGAACCAGAUUGAUGAGAUUGUCUUGGUUGGUGGAAGUACCAGGAUUCCAAAAGUUCAACAGCUUUUGAAAGAUUACUUUGAUGGCAAGGAGCCUAGCAAAGGUGUCAACCCCGAUGAAGCAGUUGCUUUUGGUGCAGCUGUACAAGGAGGUAUCUUGAGUGGAGAAGGAGGUGACGAAACCAAAGGUAAUGCAUCUUCCAGACUUAUUUUAGUCAUUUGAUACUGGAGAAUAUUCCAAGGCAAAAACUAACAUUUUCUUCUGAAUUUUGACCAGAUAUUCUUCUCUUGGAUGUGGCUCCACUGACUCUUGGUAUUGAAACUGUUGGAGGAGUGAUGACAAAGUUGAUCCCAAGAAACACUGUCAUUCCUACUAAGAAGUCUCAAGUCUUCACCACUUACCAGGACCAGCAGACAACCGUCACAAUUUCGGUAUAUACUUGAACACUAUUUUCUUCCUAAUUUGCUGAAUGUGUUGUGCAGAACUCCAGAAGAAGAUUUUUAUGGCUCUUCUGACUUGAAAUUCUCAUCUCCAGGUGUUUGAAGGUGAACGCAGUAUGGUAAAGGACUGUAGACUACUGGGGAAGUUUGACUUGACAGGAAUACCUCCAGCACCAAGGUACUUAUCCUCUACCAGUUAUGAUAGAGAGAGUACUUCAGGAGUUGCAUUUGCUUGCUUGACUAAUAAUUUUUGUUGUUUUUCAACAGAGGAACACCUCAAAUCGAAGUAACUUUUGAGGUUGAUGCCAAUGGUAUCCUAAACGUGAAAGCUGAGGAUAAAGCCUCUGGAAAGUCAGAAAAGAUUACCAUCACGAAUGACAAGGGUCGUUUGAGUCAAGAAGAAAUUGAACGUAUGGUGAAGGAGGCUGAGGAGUUUGCCGAGGAGGACAAGAAGGUGAAAGAAAGAGUUGAUGCCCGAAAUAGCCUGGAGACAUACGUAUACAACAUGAGGAACCAAAUCAAUGACAAGGACAAACUUGCAGACAAGUUAGAGUCUGAUGAGAAGGAGAAGAUUGAAACCGCCACAAAAGAAGCACUUGAAUGGUUAGACGACAACCAGAAUGCUGAGAAGGAGGAUUAUGAAGAGAAGCUGAAAGAAGUUGAGGCAGUGUGCAACCCAAUUAUCACGGCUGUGUAUCAGAGGUCUGGUGGAGCACCAGGAGGUGCCAGUGAGGAUUCCAACGAGGACGAUGAUUCACAUGAUGAGCUGUAAUUGAAUUUGUAGGUUAAUAGUUUUUUCUUGUUACCAAAUAGAUAUAAAUACUCUUUUCUUUUUCUUUUGGUUAUGAUUUUAUUUCUCUUUAUGUAAUUUCACCGUAUGAAGGGUGGAACGUAGAACAAGUUGGGAAGAAAUCGUGAGUGAAGCUGUCGCUCUAAUCUCUUUCCUCUUGUUCAUUUUUUCGUACACCUGUAUAGGGACGUGACUUUAUUCAGAAUUUAAAUUUCUUAUAUCCAUGUCAAGUAUUCAGUUUGACUAUAAUGAAUGGUCUACUUUGUUUUACAGUUAAAGUUCUGAAAAAGGCUAUCAGUCAAGUAGUUAAUAAAUCCGAGGUUUAGUCAGAGCUUAUUCGUUACUUGCCAAAAAAUUUGAUACUCUCUUGAUCUAAUUUUUAUGAUCAUUAGGCAUCUCCAACCUUAUCCUCUAUUUUACUCUUCAAAUAUAGAGUUUUUUUUAUUUUUUAAGGCAACCAACUUCAACUUAAUUUUCUAUUUUAUUCUCUAAAAAUGAAUUUUUUUCUCUCUUUAAUAUUAUAUUAUUAUUUCUAUUUCAUUCUUAUUUUCUUAUUUCAUAAUAUAAAUUAUUUCUUCUUUUUUGCAAAUAAUCACUCUAUAGUCUUUACGUAAUACAAAAUUUUAUUUUAUUUUAUAUUCUUCAUUUAAUAUAAAAUUAAAUUUUAUUCUAAAUUUCUAAAUAACAUAAAUUGCAAUAAAUAUUAUAUAUAAUACAUAUUAACGAACAAUUCAAAUAAAAGUGAAUUUAUUGAUGAAAUAUAAUUGCAUCAUAAAUAUUAUAUUAUCAUAAAUUACAUAAAUACUCAAACUUUUAAGACUAUUACGUUACUCUCAUGAAUGUUCUAUUAAUGUAUUACAGAGCUCAAAAUGAACAUUUUUGUCCUUAUUUUUUUAUGUGUAGCUAAAAUUUAUUUAAAUUAACAAUUUCAUCUUGUAUCCAAUUAUUUCGUGUACUAAUUUACUUCCCCUAUUCCAUUUUGAACUAUUGCAUCAAAUAUUUUCAUGCUCUUUAAAAAAUGUAGUUUAAUAAUUUAUCACUAUAACUGUAACACCCCGACUUUUCAAAACGUCUAAAUUAACUCGUAUCUUCGUGGAAAGACAAAGAGGGUGAGUAAUAAAUUAAAAAUGAUGUGUUAUGUGAUAUUUUAAGUGUUCAAGUGUUGUAUCUCAAGGUUUGAAGCUAGGUAAGUGGCAAAAUAAAAGUUGGCGAAAGUUACCGUAAAUUCCUUCUUAAAGAUUUCUCUGAAAUUUGGGUCAAAUGUCUUGGAGGUUUUCUCCCAAUCUAUAAAGAGUUAUGGGGCCCACAAACUAUCGAAUCGAAGGUCUACGAGUCUAGUUUCCAACGCAUCAAACCGUUCAUUCAUACGACUUCAGAAUAGAGAGAUAUUCGCAUUUUCGUGGGACUGCGCAAGCAGGCACGUGAGGUGGGGCCCUAAGUCGGUGGAUUGUUACAUAUAUCUUCUUCUUCGAUCUUUUUCUUCAUUUUUAAGUUAGAAACCAGAGAAAUUAGAGAAACCCAUUUCUAGGAUCAAGUUAAGUAUAGAUUUUCUCGACUUAAGUCCUUGACGAAAGUUGUUCUACGCGUUGGGCUCAUCAUCGUGGUAUAAUUUGUUUUAUCGAUUGCGUAGCAUAUCACAUUUUAGAGUUGGGACAGCAGGGGUUUGAAUAUAUUUGAAGGUUUUGAGGUGAAUUACGAACCUAAGAUCGAGUAUCGAGGGAGUUAUGAGUAAAAGUCGUUAGGCCACGUGAAUUUAGNNNNNNNNNNNNNNNNNNNNNNNNNNNNNNNNNNNNNNNNNNNNNNNNNNNNNNNNNNNNNNNNNNNNNNNNNNNNNNNNNNNNNNNNNNNNNNNNNNNNNNNNNNNNNNNNNNNNNNNNNNNNNNNNNNNNNNNNNNNNNNNNNNNNNNNNNNNNNNNNNNNNNNNNNNNNNNNNNNNNNNNNNNNNNNNNNNNNNNNNNNNNNNNNNNNNNNNNNNNNNNNNNNNNNNNNNNNNNNNNNNNNNNNNNNNNNNNNNNNNNNNNNNNNNNNNNNNNNNNNNNNNNNNNNNNNNNNNNNNNNNNNNNNNNNNNNNNNNNNNNNNNNNNNNNNNNNNNNNNNNNNNNNNNNNNNNNNNNNNNNNNNNNNNNNNNNNNNNNNNNNNNNNNNNNNNNNNNNNNNNNNNNNNNNNNNNNNNNNNNNNNNNNNNNNNNNNNNNNNNNNNNNNNNNNNNNNNNNNNNNNNNNNNNNNNNNNNNNNNNNNNNNNNNNNNNNNNNNNNNNNNNNNNNNNNNNNNNNNNNNNNNNNNNNNNNNNNNNNNNNNNNNNNNNNNNNNNNNNNNNNNNNNNNNNNNNNNNNNNNNNNNNNNNNNNNNNNNNNNNNNNNNNNNNNNNNNNNNNNNNNNNNNNNNNNNNNNNNNNNNNNNNNNNNNNNNNNNNNNNNNNNNNNNNNNNNNNNNNNNNNNNNNNNNNNNNNNNNNNNNNNNNNNNNNNNNNNNNNNNNNNNNNNNNNNNNNNNNNNNNNNNNNNNNNNNNNNNNNNNNNNNNNNNNNNNNNNNNNNNNNNNNNNNNNNNNNNNNNNNNNNNNNNNNNNNNNNNNNNNNNNNNNNNNNNNNNNNNNNNNNNNNNNNNNNNNNNNNNNNNNNNNNNNNNNNNNNNNNNNNNNNNNNNNNNNNNNNNNNNNNNNNNNNNNNNNNNNNNNNNNNNNNNNNNNNNNNNNNNNNNNNNNNNNNNNNNNNNNNNNNNNNNNNNNNNNNNNNNNNNNNNNNNNNNNNNNNNNNNNNNNNNNNNNNNNNNNNNNNNNNNNNNNNNNNNNNNNNNNNNNNNNNNNNNNNNNNNNNNNNNNNNNNNNNNNNNNNNNNNNNNNNNNNNNNNNNNNNNNNNNNNNNNNNNNNNNNNNNNNNNNNNNNNNNNNNNNNNNNNNNNNNNNNNNNNNNNNNNNNNNNNNNNNNNNNNNNNNNNNNNNNNNNNNNNNNNNNNNNNNNNNNNNNNNNNNNNNNNNNNNNNNNNNNNNNNNNNNNNNNNNNNNNNNNNNNNNNNNNNNNNNNNNNNNNNNNNNNNNNNNNNNNNNNNNNNNNNNNNNNNNNNNNNNNNNNNNAUAACAUAAAAGUAGAUUGUUUGAAUUAUCAUGUAAUUUUUGUGCAUACUUCAUAAUGAAAAAUAAUUAUAAUCUAAAUUACAUAUUUAAAUGACAAAAAAAAAUUUAAAAAAGUAAAUUAGAAAAAUUGUUAAUUCGGGAUGGAAGUAGUAUACUUAUCAAUAAUAUGUUUUAGAUGUUAUAUUACUUAGAAAAUAAUUACAAAUAUUAGAGACAUAAUUAAUAAUCUUAUAUAAUAUAAAUAAUAUUAUAAUAACUUUAAAUUACAUAUUUAAAGUGACCAUUUCUUUUAAAAAAUAAAAUAGAAAAUUAUUAAUUUGGGCGGAAGUAGUAACUUGUUGAUAAUGUAUUUUUAAAUGUUAUGUUACAUUAGAAAAUAAUUACAAAUGAUAAAGACUCAAUUAUUAAUAUAAUAGAAAUAAUAUUACAAUAAUCAAAAAGUAAAAUAGAGAGGUGAAUAGUAGUUCUCCAAAUAAUUGAAGAAUAGAGAGUGGUUGGAGAACCCAUUCUCUAUUUUACUCUCCAAAUAUAGAGAAUGGAGAGUAAAAUAGAGAUGGGUUGGAGAUGGUCUUAGUCUAUUAAAACACUUCUCUCUUUCUAAAAUAAAAUUAAGUUCUUAAUUUACCCUAAAACUAAGGAUAAGCAUGCUCUUCUGUUAAAAACAAAACACCUUGCUCAACCUUGGUAACGGAAUACUAAAGGGAUUAAGACCCAAAGGUUCACAGUGACUAACAUUUUAAAAUGUCUCCUUUCAUCAUAUUAAUAUUAGAAAAACUUGCAAUUUUACUACUUGUCGUGUAACUUUUAAAUAUUUAUUUUUCUUUAUUCAAAAUAUCAAAUUAAUAUUAAUCUAACUAAAAAGUAACUACCUUCAGAAGUCAAUGCUUCAAGAAUCAAGUAGUUAUGUCAGAACAAAGGAUGGCUAUUGACGGGAAUGUGUAGACAUUUUCUUAACCGCAGUUUGCAUUACAGAUUAAUCAUCUGCACGUCAUACCGGAGGUUGUGAUCAUGACAUGUUUUACAUGUAAACAAAUAUUUAAAACAGAAACAGAUAACAUUUUAACUUCUUAGAAACAAUGUUACCCCUGACAUUAAGAAGGGUAAGCAACCAAUUAGUAAACCCCAAAAGCAAAACAAUUAAUCACUCUUAUAUCCAGUGAUUCCUUUCUUCAAGUGGCAAUCUUAUUGCUCCAUUUAUAAGUGACAGCAUAGAAGCUACAAAAGAUAGCAUGCUUUACUUUACUAAAAUCUAGAAGAGAAAAUCCCUUCCUCGAAAGAUGAUAAAUAGGUGGCUACAUAAGCAUGUACAGACAGCAGUAACAUGAUCGAUCAGUAGAAAAGGAGGAAAAAAAGGACAAAAUAUGAUAUACGUUAGUUGUGGACAGUGGUCUGC